CCACAGGGGUUUUGAUUCUUGACCUCGUUUACGGCACCAUAGUCUCUCCAAUCAAUACUUUGAGGCACCGCGGAGAUGUUUACGUCAUCAAAUGACACCACUGGCUCUCUCUCGAUAUUUAGUGGGAGAGAUACGCCGGUAUAUUGAGCAACAAAUUCGCUUUUUGUCAUAUCGGUAAACUGAUUGAUACCGAGAGUGUACGAAUUUCCGUUGCGACUGUUAAAGGUUUCGAUAUGCUUCACGUUGUUCUUGAAUAUCUGAAACCGGCGCAUCUUCUCGUCGUCGUCCUUGUAAACUCGGCCGUACUCCGCCAUCCAUUCUUCAAACCGCUUCAUCAUGGGAUCAUUGGGUUCGUCACGAGAAGCUGCCGAUGGCGAAGCCCACAUCGCACAGAGAAACAAGAAAAGAAACACGAGUUGAACUUUGGAAGCCAUGCUUAUGUAGCACUAAAUAUCUAGUAUAUGUAUGAGGAACUUGGAGAUUGAGCUACAAGAGCUUUUGUUGCUGAGAGUAUGGUCUCAAGAUCGAGUUUAUAUAGAAGUUCAUGCCUUCGAAUGUACGGGGGAGAAUUAAUGGGUGGGGGCCUACAAGACGUCACAAAUCGCCAUCAAAUUAAGAUUAAAUAGUUCUGGACGGCUUGCGACACCACAUCGUGUGGUCACUAGUGUAGUGAUCCGCGCAUUACGCCGAGUAGAUACUAUUAAAAUAAAAUUUUGUAUAAAAUAAAAUAUUAGUUUAGUAUGAAAAAAUAGUAAAUAUAGUCUAUAUUAUAAACAAACACUUCUAAACAAAAUAAAACUAAAAUGAAAAAAAAUUAAUCGUUUCAAUAAAAUUAUUCAAGCUUGUUAAAAAAAAAAUCGCAUAUCAUACAAAUGGAUGAUUAAAAUUAAUUUUAUAAUACAAUAAUCAGUUAAAAUAUCAUAUAGCAGUUGAUAUGACUAAAAAAAAACUCACAAUAAUUAAUAUGCAAGACAAUUAAUAUAUACAGAGAUAAUGUGAAACCAUAUAUACAUUAUGAGGAGAUGAUGUGAAGCCAUACAUCCUUACGUGUCUGUCGAGGUCUUGAAGUGCGUGAUGUUGAAAAUAAUUAUUACAACAGAAUUACAUUAUAAGAACACAUUUUCAGAACACUUUUGUGUAAUCAUAUUUAUACUAAAAUUUUUAAAAAAAAUUUAGUAAGAUCUAAAUAUAAAGCGCAAUUCAAUUAAAAACAAAAAGUCUCCUACUCAACUAGCCGCACUCAGCCCACUCGGUCUACUCGGCCUGAUUACAAAUAGAAAAAAAUAAAAAUAAAAAAUUGAUCACCAUCUUCUCUUCUCCUCCUCCGCCGUCGCAGCAUCUUCUCUUCUCCUCUGUCGCCGCAACUGACGAGGUAGAAUUCCGGCGGCUGGAGUUCGGUUGCGAGAAUCUCGCAGGGACCGUCGAGGGCUAUAAUCGCCACAUGUCCUUCUGUCACAGUUUGCUAGAGGAGUGAGUGACAAACAUCAAAUCUGCCAUACAUAUAACGACCCCACAUAGAAUAACACUUUUAAAAGUGUCGGUAAUUUAGCUAACAUCAUUUUUUUUUACCUAUACUGAAAUUUAGAAGUGUCGCUAUGUACCGUUUUUGUUGUAAUAUUAAUGGAGGGGGAACCUACGGUUUCGAACGGAUUGUUGCUUGUAAUCUAAAAAUUUUAACACAUUCUCAAGAAACAUCAACAAAACUUUUAUUAAAAUUUAAAAAGGAGGGUGAAAGAUCAAACGGUAAAGGAGAAGAGUAAAAAAAAAAUAAUGUUAGCUCUUUAAGCCUUAUUAAAUCUAAAGAAAAGAAGAAAAAGUUAAAAAAAAAAGUAGACCCUACUAAUCCUAAAAUUUAGUCAUAAAGAUUAAUGUAUAGAUAUAGUAGUAUAGAUAUUCUAAUCACAAAAAUAUUUAAGUUUCUCUACUUUUGUCACAUUUUAACUUUAUAAUUUCUUUCGUAGGACAUUAAGUGACUAAAUAGAACUCGACGUACCCCUACUCGUCAUGAGAUCAUCUUAGGUGCAAGCAAAAGGAACGUACGUUUCUCCAUUUCUAUCUUUUGACUCUCUAAAUUUAAUCUUUCGUGCAUAACUUCUUGUCUAUUUUUCUGUUGCUUAAGCACAACGCAGAAAAUAAAAAGACAAGUGGUUUAGCCCAUUAUAAAUUUAUAUAGAAGCCUAGUAUCAUUCAAACUCGAGGCUACGUCAUCUGAUAUUAUGUAAAACUAGUGUAGAGACUCGCGCGACGCAGCGGAUAGAUAAUUGAAAUAAAAUUUUAAAGUUUUAAUAAAAUUUAUAUUUACAGCUUAUUGAUGUAUAGAAAGCUAUACCAUAUUAAGUACAACCAAUUUGCAUGACUAAAUUUAAUUUUUAAAAAUUUAAAAUUAUAGUUAGAAACUUAUAUAAUUUUUUUUAAAAUUAUCGAAAUAUAGUAAGAGACAUACAAUUUUAUCAUAUUAUGUAACUUUUGAACAUUCCAUUGUAAAAGAUAAAAAAGAGCCAGCUCUAGUUGUAUCAAGCACUUCUGUCCAAGUAUCAAAACAAAUUGAGAAUAUGAAACACAUAAACAAUAAGUUAACGUAUCUGGCUUAAGAAAAUUUUGGGUGAGAUCUCAGGUUCCAAUCUCCAGUUCUCCACAUCAUACUUUUUAGUUUACGAAAGGGACUUUACCUACAACAGUGCCUACUCAAAAAAGUGGUCAUGGGAUGAAAAUAAAAUAAAAACAUAAAUUAAAAAAAACUAAUAAUUUUUGGAGCACUUCUUCAUCCACACGAGCUUGCUCAUCCAAACCUUAUAUAUCUUCUUAAAUUCAGCUGGUAGUUGCCCCCCUCGUCGAGUCGCUUUUGGAUUUCUAUUGGGAUUUAUGAACAAACACCUCAUCUGCAUUACCAAACUGUGAUAUCUAAACCGAUAUAGCCUUAUUAUCACAUCAACCACAGAAAUUCUAAUUCUAAAAUAAUUUGGAUUUACUAAGAAGUUCCUGCGAUUCUCAAGAAGCGAGCUCCCGCGCAGCGUCCCCUUGAAGAGGUGGCUUAGAACGCCGCUCGCCUCGGCCCAGUUGUGGGUGCACGCGAGCUGCGCGAGGAGGCAGCCGAGGCAGUGGCGGUUCACAGCUAGCUGCUCGGCUUCGCAGGAUGAUAAUUCUCGAAGGAAGCAACGUUCUUUGCAGGCUUUUCUUCUUCUUCUUUUUCUUUUUCUUCUUCAUCGUCCUCAUUAUUUUCAUUAAUGCAAUGAGAGAGAGAGAGAGAGAGAGAUGAGCGUUGUGGUGGGAGAUUAGAUGAUAAUGUUGCAUGAAAAAUAUCAGGUCAUGCAAAAAGUAGAGGGCGGGGGAAUUAAUGGAGGAUGGGAGUUGAUUGGAGUUACAAAACCCACUCAUUAAUGGAGGAGUUACAAAGCCCACUCAUUAGUAGGGGGCGGGAUUAAUGAAGGAGGGGAGUGGACUGAAGUUAUAAAACCCACUCAUUAGUAGAAUAUCAUGUAUGUAAUUAAAUAUUACAUCAUGAAUUAAUUAAUUAAUUUAAUUUCAAGGUGAGUGCUAGAAAAAUCACCUGUGGAAGAGAAAGAGCCAAGAAAGAGCCAAUGAAGAAGGUAGCGCCUCCGUGAUUUAGUAGAUUUUUACUUUGUUUUUCUGUAGUUUAAAAGUUGCACUUAAUUAUCAUAUAAUUUUAUUUUUAUUUUACCGAUAGAAUUUUGACAUAAGUUAGCAAAGUAAAUUUUUUUUAAAAAAAAAUCAUAAAGUGAUAUCCUGCUUAACAAUAAAUUCUUACAAUAAAAUAAAAAUAAUAUUAGUAGAAUAGUUAAGUACUAGUGUAGUGACCCGCGCGAUGCAGCAAAAAAAAAUAUUUUAAUAAAAAUUUACAAAUUAAACAAAUAAAUAUGAAUGUAAAGAAGAAAAAAAAUAUAUAACUAAAUUUGAUUAGACUUAAUAAUAUAAAAAACACAUUAAAAAAUAUUUAAAAUGGAAUCACAACUCAACAAAAAAUAAUAAAAGAAACCGAAAAAAAAAUAAGAAUUAUAUGAGAAGAAAAAUUAUUACAUAGAUAUUAUAAAAAAAAAUUGAAAUAUUGCAAGUGAAAGAUAACAAAUAUUAAAGAGCACACUGAAAAGAUUUUAAUUGACAUUUAACAAAUCAAAUAAACAGAUUCAUCCAUUCAAUUCUUUUUUUGACGCAAAUAAAAUUUUUUUAAAAAAUCAAUAGUGAAGUGACCCCAGCAUUAUAUAUAUAUAUAUAUAUAUAUAUAGACACACACACGCGCGACAUCGACGCGAUAUUUUAAUUAUUAUAUAAUACACCAUGAUAAUAAUCCAAUAUUAUCAGUAUCACAUUAGUGUCGGCUUGUAUUUAAGAGGAAAAAUAUAGAAACCAACAAUAAAACCAACAAUAAAAAGCCCAUUGAAUAAGCUUCCCAGGAGAAAAAAAUCCCCAUAAUAAUAUUGGAAAAAAUAUUCUAAACAUUCAAGACAAAAAAGAAUCAUCUCUCUGAAACAAAAGGAAACUUUUCAAAAAGUUAGAACGAAUUAAAACAAACAUAAAAUGUGCCAAAAAUAAAAAUAAAAAAACAUCCAAAAAUGCUUUCCUAAGCUCCAAGCGAACAACAAAUUAAAUGUGAAAAACGAAAAAAGAAACUACUGCUAGAAGUAGAGCUAUAAGGAAUCGAACCUUCUAUUCUAUUGAGCUCUCAAUUCAACAGGUGGAAGGUCAAUAAUCCUACAAAAUUUUGUUGAAGUACAUGCAUUCAAUUGUGGUUUUAUUGGGAGAUGAGGAGGGAACGGUUUUGGAAGAUGAGGGGUUUUGGAAGUUGGGAGAUGAGAGGGAAUAGUUUUGGUGCAAUUAUAUGCAUUCAAUUGUGAUUUUAUUGGGAGAUAAGGAGGGAACGGUUUUAAAGAUGAGGGGUUUUGGAGGUUGGGAGAUGAAAGAGAGCAGUUUUGAAAGAAGGAGAUAACGCCAUGUCAGCAAGAUAUUGGGGAUUCAUGGAUUAGUAUACACAUAUAACUUUUCAAAUCAUCGUAAAAAGUGAAAAAAAUAUUAAACAACAGUAAGAAAAAUUAAAAUUUACCUAAUUUAAUUCAUCACACUAAUUGGAUCCCAAUUCAUUCAUUUCCAUGAUCCAAAGAUUCUACAAUCUCAUUCUCUCAACGAUAUGUGCGUACAAAUUAAACUUAUAUAUGUUACACCAAAAGUCAAAUCAGGCAUUAUAAUUUUUUAAACUUUAUAAAAUUAUAUCAAACAAAUUAAAUUUUAAUUUGUUUUUUAGAGGAAAAUAUAAUUAGUUACAUAUUUUGUUCAUUUUGAGAUCAUUUUUUAUCCCCGAGUAAAACCUAAUAAGAGAUGUAGUGCCAAUAUGCAUAUGCUGAUCCUUGAAAAUUUUUAGAAUGUAUCUGUAUGUUAUCUUGAUAAAGUGGCAUGCAUCUCCAAUCAAUCAAAGAAUUUUUUUUAAAUUUAUUUGUUCCAUAAUAAUUAUUAAAAAUAUAAUUUUAUUAUAUAUUUAAAAAUAAAUAUAAUUAAUUUAUUAUUAAUGAUGUGAUGUAACUAUGAUACAGUAAACUUUUUUCUGCCAAGCCAUCUAUAACGCCUUUCCGGAUAGAUAACUGCAUGCAAUACAUUCUUUCUAUAUUAUUAGGAAGCAGUUUGCUCGUCCUUUGUUUGGACAGAUGCAAUCAUGAAUGAGGGGGCCCGACAAACCCUCACUCCGUACACAAGAGUUAUUGCAGCUGAUGUGUUGUUUAUUGGAAUCGGACCACGUGUUGCACAUACGGACGAGGUGUGAUAAGAAAAGUCUCAUAAAUUAUUAAUACCGUCCAGGCUCUCUUGAGCGAUUAGUCUCUGUCCAAAAUAAUCGUGAUAGUUACAAAAUACUUGUUUGUUAUAUAUCAUUUGUGUCGCUUAAAUAUUCUAUAGCUGAUAUUCAAAAUUUUUUAAAAAUGCCCUGUAGAUAUUUUAUCAAUAAUUUUCAUCAUCACGCAUACAUCACAUAAAUAAUUUUAAAUUUUAAAUUUAUAAUUAAAAUUCUGAAUUUAAUUUUAAAUUUGAAUUCAUAUUUUGAACUUAAAAUUGUAAGUCAAUUUUAAAUCUAAAUUAAAUUUGAAAUUCAAAUUCAAAUUUAUUUUUUGAAUUUGAAUUUCAAAAUAAAACUUUGAAAUUAAAUAUAAAACUAAUUAAAAAUGUAGAUUCACUACAACAAAAUUAAGUUAUAGAGACACAUGUUUGAGACAUUUCAGUGUAAGUGUCUCAUUUAUUUCAAAACAUUAAAAAUAAUCUAUUUAAAUAUAAAGUCUAAUCCAACAAAAAAAAUAAAAGGUUACUUUACUCAACCCACCCAAUCCAGAGCAUUCGACCCGAUUACAAACAGAAAAGGAAAAAAAAAAAAAUCGAUUAACAUCUCCAUUUCUUCCCUAACUCAAUCCACUGAAAUUCUAGAAGAAAAGCCCUUCAAUUCUCUCUCCUCCUCCUCUGCCACCGCAGCCAACGAGGUAGAGUUCUGACGGUUACUAAAUGUUUAAAUAAGUGUCGGUAAAUUAGCAGCACUCUUUUUAAGUUAUACCGACGCUCUUUAACUGUCACUACAUAUACCUAGCGAUCCCACAUAUAGCAAUAUUUUUUUAAAAUGUCGGUAAUUUAGCAACCAAUAUUUUUUCUGACAUGUACUGCUGAUAUUUAAAAGUGUCGCUAUAUAUCGUUUUUGUUGUAGUGAUAAAAAAUUCACGCCCCUUGUUGGCCUUUAUCUUGUCCACAUGUUGCAGCCGUGGUUUUGGCAUGAAGAAGAUCGACUUCGGCAUUAUUGAGGAAAAAUAGAUUUAAGUGAUUGAUAGCUUAAAGUUAAAAUUGUAGAUGUCAAAUGUGUAGUUUUACUAAUGUUUUAGUCAAUUAUGCUCAAAGGGAACAUAUAUAUAGUUCAAAAAUUUGUUAUGCUUUUAAUCCUAUAUAAUUAAGUAAUAGGGGUAAUUUCAAAUGUUCCGGUCAAAAGGUACAAAAUAUAACAAAUGUCUUUACAAAAUUGUAGAUGUCAUUUUUACCACUAUAAAUUUAUGAAUUAUAGCAAAAAUAUCCAUUUUCCGGUUAACUAAGAUUAUCGGACCAAUUUUUGUAUAUUAUAUAAUGAAUCAAUUAUAAUCUAAUUCUCACAGUCCAUUAGAAAAUAAAGAAGUGAAUAUUUAUAGGAUUUCACAACAGUUCCUAAGUUAGAAGACGACCCAAAAUAUGCAACGUCCGAGUUCGAAGCUGGUAACUAAAGUUAAUUUAAUGUGUUAACUUCAAUUUACCCCGUGAUUAAGUAGAUUUUUUCACUUUUUCCUCCAAUGGUUUAAAAAUUCAUCGACAGAACCUGAUGUCAGUUACGAAAGUGAAUUUUUUUAAAAAAAUUAUAGCAUACUAUGCUCUUUAACAAUAAAUUCUUACGAUGAAAUAAAAUAAAAUUGUAGAAUACUUAAGUAUAACUCUUUAAGCCACGGAAUGACCCUGUUAAAUAUAAAAAUAUUUAAAACACCGUUAUCUAACAGCUUAAGCUUUUAGAGUACAACGAUUGUUUAAACAUUUUUAUAUUUCAGUUUCGUUCAUUUUGCGAUUUUCUUUUCUUUUUUUCCUUUUUAAAGUAAAACGUAGAGACUUGGUGCUUGCCAAUGUGCAUGUGAUGAAAUCAUUAAUUUCUCUCUUGUCCAUUAUUAUUUUGAGAGAAAGGUACACUACCUGCUUUAUUCAUUAAAAAAUAAGUUAAACAAAAGAGUAAGAUAAAAGAAUCUCCGAAGUAGGCCGAAAAAAUAAAAAAAAUAAUUAAAUUAAAAAAAACACAUAACCAAAAAAAAAAGAAAAGGAUAUCCUCGUUUAAACACUCUAUUCUCCUCCUACUGAAGCAUCAAACAUCUGAUCGAGUUGACAGCUAGUAAGAAAUUAGUAUUAGCCAAUCUAAAAAUAACGAUGUUCCUUACUGUUCAGAUAACUUACCAAUUGACUGUCAGUUCAGUCAUUCUAUUUCUAACAUACUGAGCACUAUCCUUUUCCAUGCAUCCACUUAUCUAUCCCAUAAUAAUAACCUCUCUUGUCCAUUGUUGGAUCGGAAAGUUGCAAACAAGAGUGGGACAACUUUUCACUCCGUCCGCAAGAGUUGUUGUCGCUGCGCUUGCACCUCAUUUAUUGUUGUUGUAUGAUUGAAAUUAUUUAGAGCAUGUGUGGCACAACAUGAAUAAGAAUAAGAGUUUAUGCAUAUAUAUAUAUAUAUAUAUAUAUAUAUAUAUAUAAAAUUGAGCUCAUAUGCUUUUAAAAGUACCAAGUUAUUAGUGCUUGUAGAUUUUUGGCCAUUGGAUUAAGAGAUAUGCGGUUAGGAUGAUAUGGGCCCCCUAGGGUUGAGUUGGUGGUUGGUUGCAUAAUAUAAUCUAAUGGUUGAAAAUGAUUCGAGGAGUAGAUCUAACGAUAAAAAACUUAAAAGCACCAAGUGUUUGGUGCUUUUACAAGCACCAUAGCCGUACUCUCUCUCUCUCUCUCUCUCUCUCUCUCUCUAUAUAUAUAUAUAUAGUAGGUCUUAUGUGCUAUUAGGAGCACGGGGGCUCCUGUGCUCCUAAGCCGUUUUCGAUGAUGGAGCUUCCGAAUCGACGAUCGGUUCUGUUAGACUUGAUCUAGCAUAUUUGAAGUAUCUAGGAAAUAAAUUUUGUGACUUUUUUAUAAUAUUUAUCUAACGAUCGAAAGGGUUCAAAAUCAACGGCUGAAAAUAAAAAUCUUACAAAAAGUCGUGAUAUAGCAUUAAAAUUUUCGAUCAAACAUAUUGAUCUUGCUGUAAAUAGUAUAAAGAAUUUUCUAUCAAAAUUUCAUCUAAUUUGAAUACAUCAACUAUUAAAAAUUGUUGAUUUUGAACUCUUUUGAUCGCUAGAAAAAUGAUACAGAAAAAUCACAAAAAUUAUUUUCUAGAUAGUUCAAAUACGCUAGAUCAAGUUUAACGAAGCUGAUCGUCGAUUCGGAAGCUUCAUCAUUGAAAACGGCUUAGGAGCACGGAGGCCCCCGUGCUCCUAAUAGCACACAACACCUGCAAAACGGAAACUCCAUAAGCUGUCCCUGCAAAAGUCCUAAUUUAUGCAGAUAUGUCCCUCUGAUUAACAUCUGUUAGAGAACUGUUUAUUUUUUAACAGUUUUCAUGUGAAAUGACCAUUUUGCCCUCACAAAUAUAUCCCUCCAAAAGCAUCUUCCCCCUCUCUUUCUCUUCCUCUUCCUCUUCGGGCCGCCGGAGCGGAUGGCGGCGACGGCGCGGGUCGAGCUCGCCGGCGACAAAGAAGAGGGAAGAGAAAGAAUGAGAGGAAGAAAAAAAGGGAAGAGGAAGAAGGAGAGGAAGAGGGAGAGGAAGAGGGAAGAGAAAGAUGAAGAGGGAAAGGGUUCNNNNNNNNNNNNNNNNNNNNNNNNNNNNNNNNNNNNNNNNNNNNNNNNNNNNNNNNNNNNNNNNNNNNNNNNNNNNNNNNNNNNNNNNNNNNNNNNNNNNNNNNNNNNNNNNNNNNNNNNNNNNNNNNNNNNNNNNNNNNNNNNNNNNNNNNNNNNNNNNNNNNNNNNNNNNNNNNNNNNNNNNNNNNNNNNNNNNNNNNNNNNNNNNNNNNNNNNNNNNNNNNNNNNNNNNNNNNNNNNNNNNNNNNNNNNNNNNNNNNNNNNNNNNNNNNNNNNNNNNNNNNNNNNNNNNNNNNNNNNNNNNNNNNNNNNNNNNNNNNNNNNNNNNNNNNNNNNNNNNNNNNNNNNNNNNNNNNNNNNNNNNNNNNNNNNNNNNNNNNNNNNNNNNNNNNNNNNNNNNNNNNNNNNNNNNNNNNNNNNNNNNNNNNNNNNNNNNNNNNNNNNNNNNNNNNNNNNNNNNNNNNNNNNNNNNNNNNNNNNNNNNNNNNNNNNNNNNNNNNNNNNNNNNNNNNNNNNNNNNNNNNNNNNNNNNNNNNNNNNNNNNNNNNNNNNNNNNNNNNNNNNNNNNNNNNNNNNNNNNNNNNNNNNNNNNNNNNNNNNNNNNNNNNNNNNNNNNNNNNNNNNNNNNNNNNNNNNNNNNNNNNNNNNNNNNNNNNNNNNNNNNNNNNNNNNNNNNNNNNNGAGCACGGAGGCCUCCGUGCUCCUGAGCCGUUUUCGAUGAUGGAAUUUCCAAAUCGACGAUCGGCUCCGUCAGACUUGAUCUAGCGUAUUUGAAGUUUCUAGAAAAUAAUUUUUGCGAUUUUUUGAUAUCAUUUACCUAGCAAUCGAAAGGAUUUAGAAUCAAUAAUUUUUAACGGCUGAAAAUAAAAAUUCUAUAAAAAAAGGUGAUAUAGCAUUAAAAUUUUCGAUCAGAAAUAUUGAUCUUGUUGUAGAUAGUAUAAAAAAUUUUGUAUCAAAAUUUCAUCCGAUUUGAAUAUUUCUACACCGUUAAACUUGAAAAUGGUAGAUAUCAACUAUUAAAAAUUAUUGAUUUUGAAUCCUUUCGAUCAUUAGGUAAAUGAUAUCAAAAAAUCACAAAAAAUAUUUUCUAGAAACUUCAAAUACCCUAGAUCAAGUCUAACGGAGCCAAUCGUCGAUUCGAAAAUUCCAUCAUCGAAAACGGCUUAGGAGCACGGAGGCCUCCGUGCUCCUAAGAGCACAGCAGCCCUACUCUAUAUAUAUAUAUAGAGCUUCUAUAUUUUUAAAAAUACUAAGUUAUUGGUACAUAGAGAUUUUUGGCCAUUGGAUUAAGGGAUAUAUGGUUAGGAUGAUGUGGGACUCUUAGGAUUGAGUGGGUGGUUAGUUGAAUAAUAUGAUCUAACGGAUGAAAAUAAUCAAAAUGAUUGAUUUAAUAGUAAAAAAUUUACAAGCACUGUUGAUAUUUUUACAAGCAUCAUAGCCGAACUUAUAUAUAUAUAUAUAUAGGCUACUAUACUCUUAUGAGUACGAUUGCCCUCGUACUCAUAAGUUGUUUUCGACGAUAGAGCUUCCGAAUCGACGAUCCANNNNNNNNNNNNNNNNNNNNNNNNNUAUAUAUAUAUAUAUAUAUAUAUAGUCCAGUUAUGGCGCUUGUAAAAGCACCAAGCACUUGGUGCUUUUAAGUUUUUUAUAGUUAGAUCUACUCCUCGGAUCAUUUUCAACCAUUAGAUUAUACUAUUCAACCAACCACCCACUAAAUCCUAGGGGGCCCACAUCAUUCUAACUGUAUAUCUCUUAAUCCAAUUGCUAAAAUUCUAAAAGCACCAAUAACUUGGUACUUUUAAAAGUAUAAGAGCUCAAUUCGCUCUCUCUCUCUCUCUCUCUCUCUCUCUCUCUCUCUCUCUCUCUCUCUCUAUAUAUAUAUAUAGAGUCCGGCUGUUAUACUAUCGGUAGCACGGAGGCCUCCGUGCUACCAAGUUCUUUUCGAUAAUGCGGAAAAGCCCAAGUUCUAAGUUGGCACUAAAGUUAAUUUACUGAGUAAAUUCAAUUUACCCACACCCCCGCCCCCUGUAAUUUAGUGGAGUUUUACUUUGUUCUUAUGUAGUUUAAAGGUUGCAUUUAACUAUUAUGUGAUUUUUUAUUUUUAUUUUAUCGAUAGAACUUGACAUCAGUUAGCAAAUUGAAUUUUUUGUUCUCUUUAACAAUAAGUCUUUACAAGAAAAUAAAAUUAAUACUAUAGAAUAGUUAAGUAUAACUUUUCAAACCGCAUUAUAAGAAAGUGAAAAAAAAUUAAACGGCAGUAAAAAAAAAAAUAAAAAUUACCUAAUUAAAUUCAUCAUACUUACUCGAUCCCGAUUCAUUCGUUUCCCUUCAAAGAUUCUACAAUCUCAUUUUCGCAACGAUAUCUGAGUGCAAAUUAAACAUGUAUUAAACCAAAAUCAAAUCACGGAUUAUAAUUUUUUAAUGCAUAAAUCUUUUAAACUUUACAAAAUUAUAUCAAAUUAAUUAAAUUUUAAUUAAUUUUAAAAUUUAUUAGGGAAAAAGAUACUUAGUUAUCCGUUUUGUUCAUUUUGAGAAAUUGUUUUGGCAUUGACUGUUACUAGUGCAACUGGUAAAGAGGUUUGGUGAUUGGUAUCCGAGGUUUUAAAUUAAAGUUAAGUUUAUUUCUAAAUAAAAUAAACGAAAGAGUAGUAUAUAUGCUACCUAUCUCUUAAAAAAAAAAAAAGAAUUUCUUUUGGCAAAACCUACUGGAUGUAGACCCAAUCAGUACGUGUGCUAACGUUAUUUUUGGCAAAAUCUACUAGAUGUAGACCGAAUGUGUACGUGUGCAAAUGUUAUUUUGUCUCUUAUCAAUCAGUUAGUAAAGUCGCAAUCCAGAGGGGGACAACUUUUAUUGCGGACUGAUGAAAUUUUUUGGACCGGCAUUGGGCAAGCACCGUUCCGCAAAUUUGUGCACCUCCUCGUGAGCAGUCGAGCAAUUUUGCCUGUUCACUUUUUGAAGAAAACAUCAAGACCGAGCAAAGCAAAGAAGAAAAGGAGCGAGCAAGGAAGAAUGAGCUUGGAAAAAAUCGCGAUGUACAUUGGAAAAUAGUGGGGUCCACGAGGCUGCACUUAGCCUCAUGGACCAUGUGGAGUGAGAGGUCCACAGCAGUCCUUGUGCUCCUAACUUUUUAACCACACAUCAAAGUUUGAUGGGUGGUUAGAAUGAAAGAGGGAUGAGAUAUUGGGGAGAAAUUGGAUGUCCCUAUUUUUCUUAUUCUUGAAUUUUUCUUUAAUAUCUCAUCCCUCUCUCAUUCUGAUCAUCCAUCAAACUUGAUGGGUGAUUAAAAAGUUAGGAGCAUAAGGGCUGCUGUGCUCCUAAUAGCACAGUAGCCCUACUAUAUAUAUAUAUAUGAUUUUAUAUAUUAUUUUAUAUUAAUUUAUUUUUAUAUUUAUAAAAAUUAUAAUUAUUUAUGAUAUGACAUAAAUCUAAAAAAAAAUUAAUAUCCUAAUUAUGGAUAUUCUUCAUAAUUAUGAGUAUUUAUACUAAAAGCAUAAAUCUAGAGUCAAAGAAAAAUUAACAGCCGAAUUUUUUUAUCUCGAAUUUUUAAUUGGUGCACGUAUAAUAUUCGUAUAAAUCACGUAUCCGAAUAAUUUACGAAUCUAUUUUUUAGCCGUAUUUUUAACAAAAUUUUAAAAUUAAAAUACAAAUUUUAUCCGUAUUAUAUUCAUACCGAAUUUUUGCCGAAUCCGAAUUAACUACCUAUGUUGGACCACAACAUACAUACCGAUUAUUCAGAUACAACUUUAUUUCGCACACAUAUAUGAGAAUUGGUUAAAUUGCACCACAGGCCUCUAAAGUUAAAAAUUUAGUUUGGGCACUAUAUGCGUUAAUUUCGCUCGGGCAUCAUCUGAAGUAAGCCAUGCCAAACUAGGCCCCGCCCUCAACUACAGGCCACCCCCCCAUCUACAGAACAUUCCAAACUAGGUCCCCUAACAUUUCGUCUUUUUUUUUUAAGUUUAUUUUUUGUUUUAAAUUUUUUGAUAAAUUGAGAUGUUUUAGUGAAAUAUAUUAAGAAUUUUAUCAGAUUUUCCGUGAUUCCAUCAAAUUUAAAAGAUUUGACCAUUUCUAGCAAUUGAAACUUGAAUAAUUUACAAGUAACUAGAAUUGCCCAAAUUAAACAAAUUUAGAAGAUAAAAAGAUGUUAAGAGUUGAGAAGUCGAUUUCAAAGGAGCCUAUGAUUGAGCGCUUCUUCAUACCCUUCUACCGAUUACUGUUUAGAAUCAAUUUUUCAUUAUUCUGAAAAGGCUUUCAGUAUAUAGGAAAUGAUGAAAUGAUCUCCCACAGUCUCAGAUUAUAUAAUAUAGUACUAUAUAGUAUAGAGAGAGAGAGAGAGAGAGAGGAGAGGGUUGGACCUAUAUACUAAUUACAAGUAUCCCAUCAUGUUAUUAGGUUCUUAAAGUCAUUGGAUCUACUUUGAUUAUGAAUAGCGCUAUGGAUUAACACUUAUCUCCAACCUACAACCACCUACCACAUCAUCUCAAACCUCAAAUCUCUCUAAUCCAACGGGCUAAAAACACACAGUAUGAACCUCAUAAUACUUUUACAAGUAUUCUAGGCCUACUCUCUCUCUCUCUGCUCUCUCUCUCUCUUAUAUAUAAAUAUAAUUACGGCUAGAUAUACUAAUUAAUAGUAAAAUGCUCUUCCUUUGCUAUCAAGUUUGUUAACCUUGGAUGUGAAAAAAUUAUGAGGGUCGGACUGAUAUUAGUCGGUUAGAGCUUGAGUGCGUCCCUUAGCGGUGGAUGGUCCCCACUGGGAUGAUAUGAAUUUAAUCCGAAUUGUUAGAAAUAAUGAAAAGAGUUAUGAUACAGAAGGCUAAAAAAUCCGGUCACAAUAAAAUUUUGCUACUAAUAGUAGCCCAGUCUCUCUCUCCUCUCUCUCAUCUCUCUUCUCUCUCUUCUCUCUCUCUUCAUAUAUAUAUAUAUAUAUAUUAUAAUAUAUACAGAGUUGAUGCUAGAAACUAUCGCUAGUAAACCGACGCCGUUUUACUACCGAUUUUGUUUUCGAUGAUAGAGCCUUCCAACAAAUGAAGAAUCAGCUCCGUUUAAAUUGAUCUAAACCAUUUAAACUACUAGAAAUUCAAAGUUCACGCACUUUCGAUAUUUUCUUUUAUCCAUCAGUGAACAGAAAAAGAAUAGUUGAAAAUAAAUACUCUUUAAAAAAUGAUGAUAGGAGUCUUUAAUCAGAUCAAGAGUAUAGAUCUUGUUUUAAAUAGUUUAAAGAAUUUUCUAACAAAAAUUCAAUUGAUUUGGAUAUUUUUACGCCGUUAAACGAGAAAACGCCUCUUAUCAACCAUUAAAAUUACAAAUUUUGAAACUCUUUGAUCAUUAGGCAAAUGAUGCCGAAAAGAUUUGAAAUUUGAUUUCUAAACACUUCAAGUGGUAUAGAUCAUGUUCAACGGAGCCGAUCGUCAAUUUGGAAGUUCUAUCAUCGAAAACAAAUUGGUAGUAAAACGGCUCGUUUACUACCGAUAGUAUUCUAGCUCAACUCUCUCUCUCUCUCUCUCUCUCUCUCUAUAUAUAUAUAUAUAUAUAUAGCUCAAUUAUAGGUGUUCUUAAUUAACGUAAAAGGAACUUAUAAGCAAACUUUAUAGAGAAAAAAAAAUAUUUACAUGCAUGUAAGGAUAACAUUUUGGGGACUUCUUGCUUUAGAUUCAACACUUUCUCUCAUUAUAAAUAUAUAUAUAGAGAGCAAGAUGAGCUGGAAUGCUAUUAAUAGCAAACAGGUAUUGGUGCCACCCAUUUGUUUUUUAUGAUGAAGUCUUCAAAUCGACGAUCGGUGUCGUUGAACAUGAUCUGUACCACUUGAAAUAUUUAGAAAUUAAAUUUUAAAUCUUUUCGACAUCAUUAACCCAGUCAUCGAAGAGUUUCAGAUUUUGUAAUUUCAAUAGUUAAUAUGAGAUGUUUUCUCGUUUAACGGCGUAAAAGUAUUCAAAUCAAUUAAAUUUCUGUUAGAAAAUUUUUUAAACUAUUUAGAACAAAAUCUAUACUCUUAAUCUUGAUUACAAAACUCCUAUCAUCACUUUUUAAUAGGAUAUUCAUUUUCGAGCCGUUCAUUUUUGUGUCCACUUGAUAGACAAGAGAACAAUAUCAAAAAAAUAUAAAAUUUAAUUUCUAAAUACUUCCGAUGGUAUAGAUAAUGUUAAACGAUGCCGAUCGUCGAUUUGGAGGCUCCAGUAUCGAAAACAAAUGGAUGGCAACGAAGUCCAUUUACUACUAAUAGCAUCCUAGCUCAACUUUGUCUCUUUCUAUAUAUAUAUAAAGAGUAAAGCUACUAUACUAUUAGAAGCACAGUAGCCCUUAUACUCCUAAGUUCGUAAUUAUUCAUCAAUUUUGAUGAAUAGUUAGGAUUAAUAUCUCAUUUCUCUCUUAAUUUUUUUUCUUUGAAUUUCUUUUCAAUUUCUUUUUUCUCUCUCACCCUAACUACCCAUCAAAAUUGAUGAAUGGUUGUGAACUUAGAAAUACAAGGCUGCUGUACUCUUAAUAGGACAGUAGCUCUACUAUAUAUAUAUAUAUAUAUAUAUAUAUAUAUAUAUAUAUAGAGAGAGAGAGAGAGAGAGAGAGAGAGAGUCCGGCUACUAUACUAUCGAUAGUACCAAGCCCUUGAUACUAUUGAGUUUUCUACCAUUAGAUCUACCCUUUGAUCAUUUCCACCCGUUAGAUUAUACUAUUAAACCAACCAUCCACUCAACCCUAGGGGACCACUAUCAAUUUAAUCAGGGACCACUAUCAUCCUAACCAGCAUAUCUUUCAUAGCAACGCGAAAACUCAAUUAGUACCAGGUUUGGUUAUGAUAUUAUAAGCUAAUCUAUAACAUAAUUAUAUAUAUAUAUAUAUAUAUAUAUAUAUAUAAUAUAAUAUAUAUAAAAUACUACUAUAUAAUAUAUAUAAAUAUCCGGCUAACUAUAUUAUCAUAGUACAAACACUUCAUACUAUCAAAAUUUAACUGUUAGAUCUAUUUUUUUUUGACUAAUUUCAUCCAUUAAUCAUACUUAUUGAUCAACUACCAAUCAACUCUAGAAGACCAUUAUACAUCUAACUAGCAUAUCUUUCAUCAACCAUUACCAGCGCUGUGAUGAUAUUAAAUAGUAUAGUGGCGAUAAUAUAUAUAUAUAUAUUAUAUAUAUAUUAAAUAUAUAUAUAUAUAAAAAUGAAUGAAAUACCUUCUAACACCUUUGGUCUAUCACUUCUAAACCUUGGAUUAUUUUUUAUUACAAUAACUUGGAUUAAAUAUAUAACCAACUACAUCACACAUACGCACCACCUACCCACCAUCAUCUCAACCUACAUAUUUCAAUCUGAAGGGUAAAAACCCAAAACACCAACCAAUUGAGUGCUUUGAAGAGUAUUCUACUUACUCAUUCCUACUCUCUCUCUCUCUCUCGUCCCAGGCGUUAUUAUAUCCUCUUCUCCUUUCUCUCCUCUCUCUCUACUUCUAUAUAUAUAUAAUAUAUAAUAUAUAUAUACUAUGAUGAGCUAUACUAUCGAGCACGGAUCUUCCCGUGCAUUACAGCCGUUUUCGAGUUGCGACUUCGAAUCGUCGAUCGGCAACUUUCCGUAUUAAACUGAUCUAAGAUAUUAUGAAGUACUAAGAAAAUAAAUUUAUGAUACAUUAUUAUUUACGCUAUGAACGAAGGGCUCAAAAUCAACAGCUGAAAAUAAAAAUCUUACAAAAUGUAAUAAUAUGACAUUAAAAUUUUAAAUCAAAGAUAUUGAUCUUGUUUUAUAUAGUAUAAAGAAUUUUCUAUCAAAAUUUCACGUGAUUUGGAUAUUUCUACACCGUUAAACUUGCAAACGGCUCACUACGGCCAUUGAAAUUUGUUGAUUUUGAGCCCAUUCGAUCACUAGGCAAAUGAUAUCGAAAAAUAAUAAAAUUUAUUUUCUAGGUACUCCAAAUACUCUAGAUCAAAUUUAACGGAGCCGAUCGAUGAUUCGAAAGUCGCAACAUCGAAAACGAGCUGGAAGCACGGAAGGCUCCGUGCAUAUAUAUAUAUAUAUAUAUAUAUAUAUAUAUUGUCCGGCUAUGAUGCUUUUAAAAGAAUCAAGCACUUAUGCUUGCUUGUAAGUUUUCCAUCGUUAGAUUUACCUUUUUGACCAUUUUUACCUAUUAAAUCAUACUAUUCAACCAACCACCUACUCAACCCUAGGAGACUAAUAUCAUUCUAACCGCACUUCUCUUAAUCCAAGGACCGAAAACCUAUAAGCACCAACGAUUUGAUAUUUUUAAAAGUAUAGGAGCUCAAUUAUUUGUAUAUUAGGAAUGUUGUGCUCCAAGAAGCAUAGAGGCCUCCGUACUCUUAAAUUAUUUUCGAUGAUGGAAUUUUCAAAUCGAUAAUCAGCUCCGUUAGACUUGAUAUAGUAUAUUUGAAUUAUGUAUAAAAUAAAUUUUAUAUUUUUUUGAUAAUUUUUGUAGUAAUCGAAAGCGUUCAAAAUCAAUGGUUGAAAAAAACCGUAUAAAAAAUAAUGAUAUAAAGAUCGUAUAUCAUUAUUAGGAUAAUGUGGGCCCGGCACGGCACAGUUAGGAUAAUGUGGAACAUAAUUAGGGGUGUAAUGUGGGCCAUGCCGGGCCGGCACGGCCAACAUUACUCUGGCCGAAACGGGCCAGGAGUAGGCUGAGCCCGGCUCGGAUUUACAUCUAAGUUGUGCCGUGUCGGGCCGGAUGAACCAACCGUCCGGCCCAGCACGACCCCCAGGCCCGGAAGGUCCGGGCCGUGCUGGGCCAGGUCGUGCCGGGCUUUGGGUCCGCCAUUUAAAAUUUUUAUUUGUAAUUUUUUUCAAAAAUAUAAAAUUUUAAAUUAUGAUUAAUUAAGUAUUUCUAUUUAAAUUUAUAUUGUGAUUAAAAAUUUUUAAAUUUCUAAAUAUUUUAAUUUUUCUAAAAAAUUAAUAAAUUAUUAUUUAUUAUUUUAAAUAUAAUUAAUGGAAUUUGCUCCAUCGAACCAACAUAAACAUGGUGCUACUACUAUGUGGGCUAAGAGCCAUGUCGAUCCGCAUAAUAUUUUUUUUACAAAAAUAUUUUUAAUAGAAUAAAAGUUUUUUACUAAAUAUUUUUUAUUUAUAUAAAUAUCAAUGACUAUUUAUGAGUCCGGCUGGGAUACUAUUGAUAGCACCAAGGGUUUAGUAAUAUCGAGUUUUCCACCGUUAGAUUUAACUAUUUGAUCAACUGCAUAUUUUUCAAUAAGGGAUAAAAAACUAAUAGCACCAAGCUAUACAUUGAUAGCAUUCCAGCCUAGUUCGACCAUUUAUAUAUAUAUCUUUUUAUAUUUAUUCUUCAUUAUACAUUGGCUUCAUAGUACUAUCGUAUAACACAACCCAAUUAUGUGGCUAGGUCGAGUUACAGCAAACCCUUAUUUCCACCCUAGAAUACGGGCAUACACAAUUGCAUUGCAUAAGGAGACACAUGUUCGAUCCAUUUUGUAAUACUAAUUAAUAAGCAACAGUAGAUCACAAUAACUGUAGAUCUUCAAACUAGCUUACAUAGAACAUACCGAAACAUAACAGAAACCACAAGGUCGAAGAAAGCAGCUGAACAGUUGGAUGCCUACUUGCAUCCUUAUUUUAUAACUAAGCAUAUAUAUAUGAUAGCAAACUGCAUGCAGUGCGUUGCUAAUCAUCAUCACUUCCGAUCGACCUACACUGAGCUUCGACUUUCAGAAACCAUUUUAAUGGCUUCGACAUUGGCCCCAGAUUGUAGAGUGGGAUAGAGAGGAUCCAUGGCGAUUCCACAUAAUCCAAAUGACGAUGACACAUCUCUUGCCAUGCGGAUGUAUCCGCCCUCACCCCAUCUGGCACCCCAUGAGUUCCUUACUAGCCAAAAUUUUUUUCCGCUGCUAUCCUGCCCGUAACCUAUAAUGGCGAUGGCAUGAUUGAGUCUAGUUCCACAAGGUCCGUUAAACACACCGCCCUUGUAAUGUUGAAAGUUUCCACUGGCAUCGAGAGCAGCAGUAAUUGGUUGAUUCGACACAGCGUACAUCAUGCUGCUUUCGUUGUUCCUCCGCACACGUGCAUAACUAGUAAUAUAGGCUGAAUUGGGCACGCCAUUGGUCUUGCAGGGGCCUUUGGAUGCUUUGUAAGGGUAGAUAGCUGCCGAUGCCACGCCCUUGUUAGAUAUGAUGAAUUCGAAGGCCCUGAACUCCCAGCCGCCUUUGCACCCGUAGCCUUUAGCACAAUCGAGAACUUGCUGCUCCGAUAAAUAUACUAAGUUCCCUCUUUUGAUCUUGUAGAUUGAUUCUACCGUCGCAAUUGCAGCGAAUGCCCAGCAAGAACCUGUGCCGAAACAAAGAUUAAAUCGUGUUAGCAUAACUAGUGUAAGCAAAGUUACAUAUAUAUGUAGGUUGCCAUGAUAAAAGAAAACAUUCAAACUAAUUACCUUAUUAGAUGUUAUUUGCAAGUACUGAGCUGCUUUUAACUUGUUUUCAACACUUGUCAUGCAUAGGGAUGUCCCGUUCUUUUUGACUAAAAUGUAUUUUGCUUACUUUAAUAAUAUAAUUAUUGUAAUAACUUAAUUAAUAAUAUGAAAUUCAAUAAUAGUCCUAACAUCCAGAUGAAUUGAAUCAAGUCGAAGUCUAUGAAUGCUAUGAUUAAGUCUUUAAGUGUGUUGGAUACAUUCUUUUUAUCACCACGUAUUUCUGUAAUAGUUGAUUAUCACUUACCAUCCACAUUCGAUAGAUAGGAUGAUUUUUUAUUAACUAGAUUCAAUAUUUCGAUAAUUUCCUUGUAUGAAUACUGAUAACAUGUCCUAAUGAAUGUUUAGACACUUUUGAUCGGCCAAAUAAUGGACUUUGUUGGGUUUUAGUGUGUGGAAAUUUGGUCCUGUAGUCUAAAAACGGCAGAAGGCAUAUUUGGUGAGAUUUGAUCAAAACAACAUGUUUAAAGUUAACUAAAAGAAUAGGUAUUUGUUCCUAGCUGAAGAAAUGAAGUUGCUUUGACAAUUUAUAUAAUCCACAUUAAUCCUUACCACAGCGGCCUUGGUUCUUGACACUUGUUACGGCACCGUAGUUUCUCCAAUCAAUACUUUGAGGCACCGCGGAGAUGUCUACGUCAUCAAACGACACCACUUGCUCUCCCUCGAUAUUUAGUGGGCGAGAUACACCACCAGUAUAUUGAGCAACAAAUUCGUUAUUUGUCAUAUCGGUAAACUGAUUGAUACCGAGAGUGUACGAAUUUCCGUUGCGAUUGUUAAAGUUUUCGAUAUGGUUCACGUUGUUCUUGAAAAUCUGAAACCGGAGCAUCUUCUCGUCGUUGUCCUUGUAAACUCGGCCGUACUCCGCCACCCAUUUUUCAAACCGCUUCAUCAUGGGAUCACUUGGUUCGUCACAAGAAGCUGCCGACGGCAAUGCCCGCAUCACACAGAGAAACAAGAAAAGAAACACGAGUUGAACUUUGGAAGCCAUGCUUAUGUAGCACUAAAUAUCUACUAUAUGUAUGACGAAAUUAGAGAUCGAGCUAAAAGAGCUUUUGUUGCUGAGAAUAUGGUCUCAAGAUCGAGUUUAUAUAGAAGUUCAAGCCUUCGAAUGUACGGGGGAGAAUUAAUGGGUGGGGUCCCGAAUUAAGUUACAUGUACUAUAUGAUUUAACUCCGCCAUCCAUUCUUUAUAUGAUUUAACUCCAACCAAGUUACAUCUACUCGCAUGCUUCAAUACCCAAAUAGGUCCUAAUUAAGUUACAAGACAAUCCAAAAUAAGGAAAGCCCAAGUUCUAAGUUGGCACUAAAGUUAAUUUACUGAGUAAAAUUCAAUUUACCCACACCACCACCCCCUGUAAUUUAGUGGAGUUUUACUUUGUUCUUAUGUAGUUUAAAAUAGAAGAAUUUCUUUUGACAAAAUCUACGAGAUGUAGACCCAAUGUGUGUACGUGUGCAAACGUUAUUUUGUCUCUUAUCAAUUCUUAGUAAGGUCGCAAUGGAGAGGGGGACAACUUUUAGGGGCCGUUUGGUUGGAUGUAGUUACAAAAAUGGUGUAGUUUGAAGUACAUGCAAUUGUAAAUGUUCCAGUUUUAACUACACCUAGUCUGUUUGAUUUUAUGCAGUUGCAACUGUUAUAGUUAUAUUUCUUCUGUUUGGUAGUGUGCAGUUGAGAUUUAAAUUUAUAAAUUCUAUCAAAUUUUAGAUAGAAAUGUGAGAUUAUCUCUUUUGAGCAUAACGUAAUCAUAUUUUAAAUAUUAAUUAAAACUUUUAUAUCUAUAUAUAAUUUAUAAAUUAUAAAAUUGUAUAUGAAUUUAAUAAAUAUUAAAUGUAAAUAUAUUAUAAAUUUGUUCAAAAUAAAAAUUAAGAUAUUAUUAAACUAACAAACUGAAAAAUAAGAAGCGCAUGAAAAAAAAUUUAUUUUACCCUAACAGAUAUUACUAAAUCAUAUCAGAUUUCAUGAAUAUGUAUUUUUGAAAAAAAAUAAAAAAAGAAGUGUAUGAAAAAAAAUCACAUUUUGUUUAUUUUUUUAAUAGGUGAGUUGACUCUGGCUCAACCGCUGUAGUUGGUACUACAGCCAAUUUGGCUGCAUUACCAACUGUUAUAGUUGGGCCUUCUCAUGCAGAUCAACUACAGUAGUUGAGUCUAACUACACCAAACCAAACAAAAAAUUAAUAGAUGCAUGUAUUUUCAACUGCAAUGCAAUUGAAAAUACAUGCAACCAAACAGCCAAGUUCGAGCUAAGUUUAUUUUUAAAUGAAAUAAACGGAGCAAUACCCAUCUCUUAAAAAAAAGAAUUUUUUUUGGCAAAACCUGCGAGAUGUAGACCCAAUUGCCCAACGAGAAUAGGACUGAUAAAGACUUGCAUGAAUGAAAAAAGUUAUAUUUAAAUUUGAAAAGUACUAUUGUCCAGAAUAUUUUUUUUUAUAAAAAAAAAUAGCACACUAUCCGCUUCAUUUACUAAGGAAUUGAAUUAGACUGUAAUGAUGAAGCAACCGAGGCCUCGAGAGAGAUAGGGAAAAAAAAAAAAAUCUAAUGUUCAGAAUAGUUAUUUAGCAUUAUGAAAGAUUUUUUUAAAAAAAAUUUAUGAAUGCCACGCUUAUGUAUUAAUUAAAAUAUCACAAUGCCCUCAUAAAUUAAUAAUAUCAUUCAUGCUCUUUUAAAUGGUCAUAAAUAUUAUAGUAAAUAGCUCCCGUGAUUAGUCUCUAUCGAAAAAUCUUGUCAUUAAUUGUUAUAAAAUAUUUAUUUUUUCACCAUUAGUAUAAUAACCCGUGCGAUGUUAUAAAUAAAUAGUGCAAUGAGAGAGAGAUGAGCGUGGUGGUGGAAGAUUAGAUGAUAAUGUUGCAUGAAAAAUAAUAGGUCAUGCAAAAGAGAGAGGGCGGAGGGAUUAAUGAAGGAGGGGAGUUGAUUGCAAUUACAAAAUACACUCAUUAUUGGAGGAGUUAUAAAGCCCAUUGAUUAGUAGGGGGCGGGAUUAAUGUAGGCCUAGAGGGGAGUGAACUGGAAUUAUAAAGCCCACUCAUUAGUAGAAUAUAAUGUAUGUAAUUAAAUAUUACAUAAUAAAUUAAUUAAUUAAUUUAAUCUCGAGUGAGUGCUAGAAAAAUCACCAUUGGAAGAGAAAAAGCCAAGAAAAAGACAAUGAAGAAGGUAGCGCCAUGUUGGAUAAGAAAUCGAGGUUUAAUAUAGAGUUAUAGAAGAUUAUAGAUUAUAGAUAAUAUGACAUAAUUAUUGUUCUUUAAAAACUGAAAAAUGAUACGGAGCAUGAGGUACUAAGUUUAAAUCUUAUCAAUCUAGUUUCAUUUAAUUUCUUUUCAUCUAACUUAAGUUAAUUCAAGUCCAUAUUUUAAGUCUAUUAAAACAUCUCGAGCCUAAACUCAAGGAAGAGUGUUGAUUUUAAGGGCGUGUUUGGUUCGAAGUUGGAGUCGGAAUCGGAAUCGGAAUCAAAAUAAGUUGGAAUCGGAAUCGGAAUGACUCAUUACCUAAUUCUGUUUGGUUCAUCACCUGAAUCGGAAUCGGAAUAAAUCAUUCCUAUUGUCGGUGUUUGGUUCAGGUGGAUAUAAAAAACGUAAUCAAAUUAAUAUACUAACAUUAUCUUUAUAAUAUAUUAAUUUAAAUUCAAAUUAAAUAUUAAAUAUUAAAAAUUUACAUCAAAAUUUUGAAAUAAUGUCAAAAUUUUAAAUCUAUUUUUUUUAAAAAAAAUUAAACUUUGAAGUUGAGUGGAUAAUUCAAAAUGUGAAACUAAAUUUUGAUUUAUUCAAAUUCAAACUAAAAUUACAAUUUAAAUUUUAAUUUGAAUCUAUAAAUUUAAUUUAAGUUUGAAAUAAAAUUUGAAUAAAACUUUAUAUAAAUUAAAAUUUAAUUUAAAUUCAAAUUCAUAAGUUAGAUUCGAAAUACUUGAUUAAAUUUUAAUUUUUAAUUUAAGUUCAAAUUAAAAUUUAAAAUUAUAUAUUUAAUUUUUAAAUUUUAACUUAUAUUUUAAUUAAAAAAGUUGAAAAAAUAAAUUUAAUCCGAAUAAAUAUUCAUUCCGUCCUGAUUCAACUUCCAAUCCGGCAUUCUAGGCCGGAUUGAAAAAUGAGGUGAUUGGGGGAUUCCCAUUCCACUCGGGAAUGGGAAUCGGAAUGAGACUCCCGCGUACCAAACACCCACAAACGGAUUCAUCCAUUCCGAUUCCGAUUUUAGGGUGAAAAAGAAGCGAACCAAACACGCCCUAAAUAUUAAAAAUAUUGCUUUUUAAUAACUUAAGUUUUUAGAGAUAAAUAUUUCAUUUUUUUUUAUAGAUUUUAUUUUUUUUCCAUAUUAUAGUGAACGAUUAUACUUAAUUACCAUUAGAAAAUAAAGAAGUGUACCUUAAUUUAUAUGAUUUUACUCCAACCACUUUUCAUCUACUAGCAUGCUCCAGUUCCCAAAUGUGUCCUAAAUUAGAAGACAAUCCAAAAUAUGAAGAGCCCGGGUUAGAAGUUGGCAACUAAAGUUAAUUUAAUGCGUAAACUUCAAUUUACUCUCCAUGAUUUAGUAGAUUUUUACUUUGUUUUUUUGUAGUUCAAAAGUUGCACUUAAUUAUCAUAUAAUUUUAUUUUUAUUUUACCAAUGGAAUGACAUAAGUUAGGAAAGUAAAUUUAUUUAUAAAAAAAAAAUCAUAAAGUGAUAUCCUGGUUAACAAUAAGGGCAUGUUUGGUUCGUACAUUUUGGAUCCGAAAUGGGAAUCGGUUUGAUCAAAUCCUGCUAAUUUUGUUUGGUUUACAGGAAUCGGUUUGGGACUCCCAUUCCGGAUCGAAAUGGGAAUGGUCCAUUAGCUUACAAAUUAAUUCCGGUCUCCAGGCCCGGAUUGAAGUUUCAAUUCCAAGCCCAUACUCACCUCUUCCUCAGACCCAGCCUAACGUUUCUCCAUCUUAUCCAUUCUUUCUCUCCAUAUACCAAUCUUUUUUCUCUUUUGUCAUCAUUUAAAAAAACGUGAUAUAUUAUUUUUUAUUACAAUUUUAUUCAAAAAAAUUUAUGCAUUUUUUUGUAAUUUUUUGCAUAAAAAUUUUUAAAAUAAAUUCCUUUUUUUUGGCAUAGCUCUGACUUGAGAAUAGUAUUAAUUUUUUUUUUUUAUAAAUUUUAGAUAGUUUUAUAAAAUUAUAUUUAAAAGUAAAGUUAGAAUUAUGUUAUUCUAUUAUUUUUUACUUUGUAUGAACCAAAUAGUAAAAUAGGAAUAAUUCAUUCCAAUUUUCAAAUCAGAAAUGAACCAAACGUCUUGGAGGAGUAGGGCAAUCCAAUUGUCAUUUCAAUUCAUUCUCAUUCCAUUAUUCAUUCCAAUUUUACUCUUGAACCAAACAAGCCUUAAAUUCUUAUAAUAAAAUAAAAAUUAUAUUAGUAGAAUAGUUAAGUAUGUUUAACUUUUCAAAUCAUGUAAAAAGUGAAUUAAAAAAUAUUAAACAACAGUACGAAAAAUUAAAUUUACCUAAUUUAAUUCAUCACGCUAACUCGAUCCCAAUUCAUUCAUUUCCUUGAUCCAAAGAUUCUACAAUCUCAUUCUCUCAACCUUGUCGGAGUGCAAAUUAAAUAUAUAUAUGGUACAUCAAAAGUCAAAUCAUGCAUUAUAAUUUUUUAAUGUAUAAAUUUUUUUAAACUUUAUAAAAUUAUAUCAAACAAAUUAAAUUUUAAUUUUAAAAUUUUUUAGAGGAAAAUAUAAUUAGUUACACAUUUACUUCAUUUUGAUAUCUUUUUUUAUCCCCGAGUAAAACUUAGUAAGAGAUGUAGUGCCAACAUGCAUAUGCUGAUCCUUGAAACUUUUUAGAAUGUAUCCGUUAUCUUGAUAGAGUGGCAUCUCCAAUCAAUCAAAGAAUUUUUUUUAAAAUUUAUUCGUUCCAUAAUAAUUAUAAAAGGUAUAAUUUUAUUAUAUAUUUAAAAAUAAUUAUAAUUAAUUUAUUAUUAAUAAUAUGAUAUUAUUAUUAAUGAUGUGAUGUAAGUACGGUACUAGACUUUUUUCUGCUAAGCCAGCUAUAAUGACUUUCAGGACGGAUAAAUGCAGUCCAUUAUAUUUCUAUACUAUUUUAGGAAGCAUUUUGCUCGUCCUUUGUUUGGACAGAUGCAAUCAUGAAUGAGAGGGCCCGACAAACCUUCACUCCGUACACAAGAGUUAUUGCAGCUGAUGUGUUGUUUAUUGGAAGCGGACCACGUGUUGCACGUACGGAAGAGGGAGUGAUAAGAAAAAUCUCAUAAAUUAUUAAUACCGUCCAGGCUCUCUUGAGCUAUUAGGGUGUGUUUGGUUGCACGUAAAAUUAGAAAAAAAAUUAAUUUAUUAAGAAAAAAAAAUUUUGGUGGAAAAAAAAUUUUACGCCUUUAGUUAUAUAAGGAAAGAAAAAUAUUUUUCAUGACUUUGUUUUAUUGAAAAAAAAAAAAAAUAAAAAUUAUUAUAUAAUUUUUAUUUAUAUUAUUAAAUAUUAUUUAUAAUUUUAUUUAUAGAUUAAAUAUAUUUAAAAUUAUAAUAAUUAUAUACAUGAUAUCUAUAUAGAUUAAUAUAUUUAUGAGAUAUUAAUAUAUAUAUAAUUAUAAAUAUAUUAUAUAUGGUUGUUUUGGGUUGAAAGACAUAAAAAAAGAAAGAGUAAAUAAAAAACGUUAUAUAUUCAUUUUAUAUGUAUAUAUAUUAUUAUUCAUAAUACGCCAUCAAUUAUUAAUACUAUAUAAUUUUAAAAUUAUUAAUAAGUAAUAAUAAUAUAAUAGCAUAAUGUAUAUUAUUAGUAUAAAAUAAAUCACUAUAUUAUUUAAUAAAUAAUAUUUAUAAACUGUUGAUAUUAUUAUAGUAUAUAUAUAUAUAAAUAAUAUAUAUUAAAUAUUAUAUAUAUAUAAGAAGAGAGAGAGUCACGAGGCCGGGUCCUCGUGGACUCUCUUCACACGGUCACGAGGGAGCAGUUCACUCGUUGGACCGCAUGUUAAUAGCCUGUGCGCGCCCGGAUUUUUCAACCAGUGGUUUUGUCCGGCCGAGCGGAAAACUAAAAUAGCUUCGUUUUUUAAGGAAAUCUGUAAACAAAUUUGCCUGUAAAGAUCUUUUACAGACAGCCAAAGAUAGGAAAAAAGUUUCAACGAAAAAUUAUUUUUCAGAGACUGCAUUUACGAGGUCCUAACGGCCCUUAGUCUCUAUCAAAAUAAUCGUGAUAGUUACAAAAGCACUUAAUUUUACCAUUGGCCUGAGAUUAAUCAUUUGCUGUUCGCUUAAUAUUCUAUAGCUGAUAUUUCAAAUUUUUUGAAAAUGCCUGUAGUUAUUUUAUCAAUAAUUUUCAUCAUUCACGAAUUACACCACCUAAGAUAAUUUAAAAUUUAAAAUUUAAAUUAAAAUUCUAAAAUAUUAAAUUUAAAUUUUAAAUUCUGAAGUUCAAAUUGGUGUGAAGGAAAAUUUGUUCCAAGACAAACUUCUUUUAAUUCUACAAUUAAAUUUGAAAUUCAAAUUAUGUAUUUUGAAUUUGAAUUUCAAAUAAAACUUGGAAAUUAAUAUAAAUAUUGAAUUAAAAAAAUCGAAAUAUUGAAAGUUAAUUAGCUAUAAUAAUUUCUUAUAUUUUGGCAUUCAAGGACGAUUUGAGUUAUAUUCGAAAGCCAAAAAUCAAAUUUUUAAAUUUUAAAUUAGUAAAUUUACUAAUUUAUAAAUUAGAUAUAACUAUUAUUAAUAUUAAAAUUCAAAAUGUUAUAUAUUGUAAAUUUUUAGUGAUGAUGGAGGGCUCAAGAUCUGGUAGUUUAAAUGUAAAACUUGAAAUUAGAAAAAUUCUAUAUUAAAUUUUUCGGAAAUAUUUAGUCAGAUAAAGUUCGGAAUUAUUUUACAACUAUGACUAGUCAGCAGCUCUGGAACUAAGAUUAGGAUAACACUCCGUGACGUGAGAUAAAAUAAGAAAUAUUUAUGAUAUAACUCAUUCUAUUGGAAGAGCAUAUAUGAUAUUUUAAUAUUUUUACAAGUAUCUGCGGUAGUUUAAGAUUUUGAGGAGUAGUUAUGAAACUGUCCCCGCAUUUCAAAAUUUGGAAAAUUGAUCUCCCUCACUUGCGGAUUUCAUGUAGUACAAUUUUUAGACAGUGUUCUUAAUGCAAGUAACAAAUUAUAAGCAACUUUAAAGAAAAAAAAGUUACCUAUUUUUAGGGAUCACAUUUCGAAAAAUCUGAAGAUGAGUUUUUAGCUGUCCAGAUUUCACACUUUGAUAAAAAAUAUGAUCUGAAUAAUCAUAAAAGGGGAUAGCUUACGCUUACCUAUUUUUAAUAUGCACAAGACAUCGACUAUAAAUAUGUGUUGCUAAAAGUAAAAUUUACUUUUGUCCAAAUAAGUGAAAGAUGGAAUUAUUAAAUUAAGGCCAAUUUGCAUAAAAAAUUCACUAAUUUUGGGUUUUUGCAAAAGUGUGACUUUUUUCGUUUUUGUAGAUUCGGUCUGAAUUUUCAGCAAACUGAUCAAAAUACUUUUAUUAUUUUUUCUCUCUCCUCUUUCUCUCUCCUCUUUUUUUCUCUCGUUUAUUUUUUUUUCUCUCGUCGAAGAAAGCAGCGGAGGCAGAGGCGGAGGCUGAAACCCCCUGCCACGCCUUUCACCCUCAUGCUCUCGCCCUUGCCUUUGGUUUUUCUCUUUUUUGUGAUUGUAUCAGCUUUUGCUGAGAAUACGAGUUUAUAGUAAAAAUUCGAUUCGACGCUUCCGUUGUGUAAUCCCAACAAUCGGCUCCGAAUCCACAGCAAUCGGUAUCGAAGCGGGUUGCGAAUUCUCAAAAUCCGGUACCAAGACGAUUACCGAAUUCCCAAUAUAUAUAUAUAUAUAUAUAUAUAUGAGUCCGGCUACUGUACUAUUGAUAGUACCAAGCCUUUGGUACUAUUGAGUUUUCUACCGUUAGAUGUACUCUUUGAUCAUUUCCACCCGUUAGAUUAUACUAUUAAGCCAACCACCCACUCAACCUCAGGGGACCACUAUCAACCUAACCGCACAUCCUUUCAUCCAACGGCCAAAAACUCAAUAGUACCAAGGGCUUGGUACUAUUGAUAGUAUAGUAGCAUAAUUCUAUAUAUAUAUAUGAAUUAGCCUGAAAUACUAUUAAUAGUAAAACGCUCUAUUUGCUAUCAAGUUUUUAACCCUUGGAUGAAAAAUUGUAAGGUCAGGAUGAUAUUAGUCAGUUAUAGUUGAGUGGUCCCCCUAGGGUUGAGUGGUCUCUAUUGGGUUAUAGUAUUUAAUCCAAUUGUUAGAAAUAAUGAAAAGAGUUGAUCCAAAAGCUAAAAAACUGGUAGCAAUAAUAGGAUUUUGCUACUAAUAGUAGCCCAGUCCAAACUAUAUAUAUAUAUAUAUUAAAACACCUCUCUUUAAUUACUUAAGUUUCUAUAUAAAAAUAAUUGUUUCACAUCCUUUCAUAAAUUUAACUUUUUUCAUAUUAUAAUAAAUUGAUUAUAAUAUAAUUCCUACUGUUCAAUUAGAAAAUAAUGAAGUAUAUCUUUAUAUGAUUUAACUCCAACCAAGUUUCAACUACUAGCAUGCUUCAAUACCCAAAUAGGUCCUAAGUUACAAGACAAUCCAACAUAAGGAAAGCCCAAGUUCUAAGUUGGCACUAAAGCUUAUUUACUGAGUAAAAUUCGAUUUACCCACACCCCCUACCCCUGUAAUUUAGUGGAGUUUCACUUUGUUCUUAUGUAGUUUAAAGGUUGCAUUUAACCAUCAUGUGAUUUUUUAUUUUUAUUUUAUCAAUAGAACUUGACAUCAGUUAGCAAAUUGAAUUUUUUGUUCUGUUUAACACUAAGUCUUUACAAGAAAAUAAAAUUAAUAUUAUAGGAUAGUUAAGUAUAACUUUUCAAACCGCAUAAUAACAAAGUGAAAAAAAAUAUUAAACAGCAGUAAAAAAAAUUAAAAAUUACCUAAUUAAAUUCAUCAUACUUACUCGAUCCCGAUUCAUGCAUUUGUUUCCCUUCAAAGAUUCUACAAUCUCAUUUUCUCAACGAUAUCUGAGUGCAAAUUAAACAUGUAUUAAACCAAAAAUCAAAUCACGGAUUAUAAUUUUUUAAUGCAUAAAUCUUUUAAAUUUUAUAAGAUUAUAUCAAAUUAAUUAAAUUUUAAUUAAUUUUCAAAUUGUUUAGGGGAAAAGAUAAUUAGUUAUUCGUUUUGUUCAUUUUGAGAAUUUCUUUUGGCACCGACUAUUACUAGUGCAAGUAAUAAAGAGAUUGGUGGUUGGUAUUCGAAAUUCUAAAUUCGAACUAAAUUUAUUUUUAAAUAAAAUAAACAAAUCGAGUAGCAUGCUACCUACCCAUCUCUUAAAAAAACAGAAUUUCUUUUGGCAAAACCUACCAAAUGUAGACCCAAUGUGUGCGUGUGCAAACGUUAUUUUUGGCAAAACCGACUAGAUGUAGACCCAAUGUGUAAUGUGUACGUGUGCAAACGUUAUUUUUGGCAAAAUCAACUAGAUGUAGACCCAAUGUGUACGUGUGCAAACGUUAUUUUGUCUCUUAUCAAUAGUUAGUAAAGUCGCAAUCGAGAGGGGGACAACUUUUAUUGCAGCUGAUGUGUUGUUAUUCAAAUUAUGGGAGCAGUUGUUGCCCAACGGGAAUAUAAAGGACUGAUAAGAGACGUGCAGGAAUUAAAACAAGUUAUAUUUAAAUUUAAAAAAUACUAUUGUUCAGGAUAGUUGUUUAGCAUUAUGAAAGUUUUUUUAAAAAAAAUUUAAGAACGCCACGCUUAUGUAUUAAAAUAUCACAAUGCCCUUGUAAAUUAAUAAUAUCAUUCGUGCUCUUUUAAAUGGUCAUAAAUAUUAUAGUAAAUAGCUCCAGUGAUUAGUUUCUAUUGAAAAAUCUCGUCAUUAAUUGUUAUAAAAUAUUUAGUUUUUUACCAUUACGUACUAUUAGUAUAGUAACCCGUGCGAUGUGAUUAACAGAUAAUUAAAGGAAAAAUAAAAAACGGCGACAAAGAAAGAGUAAACGACAAUGGAAGAAGUGACGGUGAGGAGAUUCAUCCCGCUGAUAAACGAAGAUAAAAGUUGAAGAAAGAGGAAAAGAUAUAGUUUGGUCUAAUGCAGAGUUGUGAUCCAGUUUGGUUCAUGCAAAAAAAAAAAAUCCGAUUCGGUUCAAGCAAAAAAAAAAGAAAAGCUUGAGACGGUUUGGGGUAAAACCCACACUCUAUAGUGAUUGAUUCAGUUUAAAUAUAAAAAAAAGAAAAAAAUUGGUUCAAAGAUGGAAACAUGUGGAGCAGUUGGGCUGGUUUAGCCCAAUGGAACAGGUUGAUCUAAUUCGUUUCAAGUAAAGAAAGAGAGAAAUCAGACUCGUUCCACGUACGUAAAGAAAGAGAAAAAUAUGUGAAAAACUUAAGCCGGUUUUCAGAGGAGUCUACACUCAACAAUGAUCAGUUCGGUUCAAGUAAAGAAAAAAAAAAUCCGAUUAGAUUCAAGAAAAAUAAGGAACAAAAAAUGGAGAAGUUGAAUAGGUUCUUGAUGAAGCUCACACUUAAUAAUGAAAGGAAUGUUAUUAUGUGGCAAAACUAGAAAGCAUAACGUAUAGGGAUAAAUUGAUAUCGUUAAUGUUGCUUAAAUUUUCUAUUGCUGAUAUUCAAAGUUUUCUACAUCAUUAAUGUCGCUUAAAUGGUAUUCAAAAUUUUCUAUAGCGUAUUUUCCAAAUUUAUUAGAACUAAGAUUAGGAUAAUGCUAUUUGACAUGAGAUAACAUGAGAGAUAUUUAUGAUAUUUUUAGAAGUAUUUGUGAUAGUAAAAGAUUUUGAGGAGUAGCUAUGAAGCGGUCCCUAAAAAUCUCUGCAGUUCGAGCUCUCACAACCUCGUUUCAAAAUUUGGAAGAUUUUAUGUAGUACAAUUUUUAGACGGUGUUCUUAAUUAAGGGAAGAAACUUAUAAGCAACUUCAAAGGAAAAAAAGUUAUAUACUCGAUCGCGUAUAAUUUGGAAAUUUGAAUAUGAGUUUUGUCCUUUUUUUUUGAGAGAGAUCUAGAAAGGUAGCAUAAUACUCGCUUUGUUUAUUUCAUUUAUAAAUAAACUUAGCUGAAAAUGUGAAUCAAAUAGAAUUCGAAUUUGGAUCUCGAGUACCAAGCACCAAAUCCUUUGCCACUUGCUCUAGAGACAGUCGGUGAUAAAUAAUAUGACUUGAACACUCGUGCAAGGUGAUAGCAUAUACCCUCACCCACUUUUCAUAUGCACAAGACAUUAAUUAUAAUGUAUGUUUGUAAUAUACCGGAUUUUUAAUAUAAAAAUAAGUGUAAAUAAAAAUAGUGUAAAAUACUAUUUUUAUUGGACUUAGAGAAUGGAAACAGAAGAUUUAGAAUUUUCUGUAAGAAAUGAGAUUGAUAUUUUAGCAGAAAAUUCAGUGUCAGAAAAUUAUUUUUGUUAGUGACAAUGUUGGCGGUCUCGAGGCGUGACAAUGUUGGUGCAAGUAAAAUUUAUUUUUGUCCAAAUUAAUAUGGAAUAAGUAAUGAGAUUUGAAUUCUUUUUAUUAACCCUUCAACUCAGUUUGUUCUACUUACAGUACGGCGUUGGACCACUGUGUUAGUUAAUUCGCGUAUAAUACGCGAAUUAUACGUGAACAAACGGAAAACCAUAAAAAACGCUCCGUUUACGAAUUUUUUUCCAAAAAACCGAAAAAAACACGUUUUUCUCCCUCCCUCAGAUUAUUCGCGAUAAAAAUGGUUUUUCCGAGUUAUAUUUCGAAAAAUUCGGAUGUAGCAGCGGUGGAAAGAUAAAAUUUCUUGAGAAAUUUGGAUUUGGUGGCUGCAGACUGAUGAAAUUUUUUGGACCAGCUUUUUGGACCGGCAUCAGGCGAGCACCAUUCCGCAAAUUCGCGCACCUCUUCGUGAGCAAUCGAGCAACUUUGACUGUUCAAUUUUGAAGGAAACAUGCAGACCGAGCGAAGCAAAGAAGAAAAGGGGCGAGCGAGGAAGAAGGAGGAGCUUGGAAAAAAUCGCAUUGUAUGUUGGAAAAUAGUAGGGUCCACGAGGCUGCAUUCAAGGCCUUUGAAAACCACAAACAAACUACAAUCCUAAUUAAAGAGAGUCAUCGAUAUUUACAAUCCUAUUAAUAGAGAAUCAUUGAUAUGUCCUAGUUCACCUACUGAUCAACCACGAUAAUUAUAAUAAAAUCAAACUUAUAAAAUAUUGAAAUAUAGAAGAAGGCUUGACUAACAAAUAUAACAAAUAAGUUAAGUCCCCUUAAUCAAAUUUGUAUCUUGGAAUAAUCUCUCAUGCUACUUCUUCUUACACUCAACUACUGUACUUUUCUCUUUCUAAGGUGUUCAAUAUGUGCAUUCAAUAUGUGCAUAGUGUUUCUAUUUAAUUUGCUUUCUUUUUAAUUUUUUCGACAUGAACUUUUUUUUUGAACUUUUUUUUUAUUCUUUUUUCCUUUUCCACUUCACUAUUUCUUUUCUUUUUUCCUUCUCUACUUCCAUCGCAUCAUUGGAAUCCGAAUGUAGCAAUGUAAGUUCCAUCCAGAUUUAAUGCAAAUUAUAGUGAACAGCAUAGAAAUUUGCACUUUUUUUUUUGCAUAUUUUUUUAUUCAGCAAGAAAACAUUUAAGUUAGCAAUGAUAAUAAAAAAGAAGACAAUAUUAAAAUGAUACAAACAACAAUCAACUCUUAUAUCGAAAAAAAGGUAUGAAGACACAGAUCACACAAAACUUAGCCAGUUCCCGAGCAAACAAAAGAAAAGUCCCAAAAUUAGGGAUUCUGUGCUUCGAGGGGCAUAGAGGCCUUUUUACUCCUAAAUUAUUUUCGAUGAUGAAAUUUUCGAAUCGAUGAUCAAUUCCGUUAUAUUUGAUCUAGCGUAUUUGAAGUAUAUAGAAAAAGAUUUGAUCUAGCGUAUUUGAAGUAUAUAGAAAAUAAAUUUUACGUUUUUUCGAUAAUUCUUUAAUGAUCGAAAGCGUUCAAAAUUAAUGGCUGAAAAUAAAGAAUGCAUAAAAAAUGAUGAUAUAAAGAUCGUAUUAAAAGUUAGGGUCAAAAUUGGAUUGGACUAUAAAUAAAUUAGUUCAUUUUUAUUUCAGGAUGGAAUGCAAAUCAAAAUUUGCUUUUUGUAAAGCAAACAAUACAUUCGAAAUAAGUGAAUGUUCAUUUUUAUUUGCUCUCUUGCAUUCUUAUUUUUGUAGCUCCCCACAAUAAAUGCAAUAUUUUCCAAAAAUAUUAGAAAAAUUAAAGAAUAUAUACACCCUCAUAAUGUGUACAUAUUAUUGUAAUGUGCAUGUCCCUGGUCAAAACUUACGUGAGGUUAGUUUUCCAAAUUAUCUAUUUAAAUUGUUGGAUCUAGCAUGUCGUCAGAAAAAAUUACGUGGAGUUAGUUUUCCAAAUUAUCUAUAUAAGAAUGUAAGAUUUAUUACCACGUAGGUGUUAAAUCUCACAUUCUGAGAUAAUUUGAUAAGGUAGUUAGAAUUUUUCUUCUCUCUACUAUUAGUGGUCCCAAACUUCUUUUAGACCUACUGCCUGGAAAAAUUAUAAGGUACACCAAAAAGUUACAAAAAAAAAAAAAAAAAAAACAAAAAAAACAAAAAAAGAAAUAAACCAAGCCUAGCCUAGAUGCUUGUUGGUUGGUACCCGAGAUUCUAAGUUCAAAAUCUAAUUACUUCACAUUUUCAAUUAAGUUUAUUUCUAAAAUUAAUAAACGAAGCACAAAACAAAAACUUUCAAUUUAUUUGGAUAAUUUAUUAAUCCUAUCCUACUUAUUUUAGAAAAAAAAGUUAUAAUAUUUAAUAAGAAAGAACCAAAAGAGUCUAAUGGAUUUAAAAAAUUAAUAAUUGGAGGAAAGGAAAUUCUAACUAGCUUAUCAAGUUGCCUCAAGAUAUGAAAUUCAAUAUGUAUGUGACGAUACCGACCGUCCCUAGCGCAAGUGGUAACAAGGCUUGAUGGUUGGGAUCUGUGACCCAAUUCGAAUCCUUGUUGAUUCACAUUUUCUAGUCAAGUUUAUUUCUAAAUGAAAUAAACGAAACGAGUAGCAUGCUAUCUUUCUCUCAAAAAAAAAAAAAAAUCUGUAUGUGACGAUAAAUUCGACAUUCUCAAAUAGAUAAUUUGAAAAACUCUCUUGUGCGCAAUUUUUGGCAAUGUCACCUAUGCAUCAAAUUGUAUGGGACCAUUUCCAUUAACUUCGCACGAGCAUUAUCUCGAAGUAGGUGUCUAGGUGAUGGAAAGUGUUUGGGGGUAAAAUGUACGGCCACACCCUCAACUACAGGCCAUUCCAAGCUUGGAUCCCAAACAUUUCCUCUUUUUUUUUCUGAUAUUUUUUUUGUUUUAAAUUUUUGAUAAAUUGAGAUGUUUUAGUGAAAUACAUUAAGAAUUUUAUCAGAUUUUCCUUGACUCCAUAAGAAUCAGAACUAAACGAUGUUUAGCAAGGUAAUAAUUCAUCUUGUUUUAUCUUAAGAACAUGGUUAUAACUUAUAAGCGGGGAUGAAGCUAGAAUACAAAAAGAAACUUUAGCAAAUAAACAAGAUUUUACCUAAUUUAAUAUUUUAAUAAAAAAAUUUAUUAAUUAAAUAAUUAAUAAAAAUAUGAACUUUAUUUUUUUUCUAUUUUCAGACGUUUAACUUCUAAUUAAUUAUUUUAUUUAUAUUAUUACAUUCAAAUAACUUAAAAAUUUUACAAAAUCUAACGGUGAUUUCUUAAUUUUUAGUAAAUAAAAUUAGCAUAGCUAUUAAAUUUGGUGUAAUCUUUUAUAUAGUUAAAUAAAAUAGCUCAACUAACAUAGUUAGAAGUUAAAAAAAUAUUAAACGAAAAUUAUAGAGCGGAGAAAUAUAUUUCAAAAUGCUCUAUGAGUAAGUGGCUCUUAAUAUAUUUUCACUUACAUAAAGAGUAUACAAAUAAGGAGAGGGAGAGUUAUACUAGCACCACGAGCUAUUAAGCAAAUAUUAAAAAGCUAGGAGAACCACGACUACCCAAAAAAGAGAGCUGAAUAAAUACCAAAAAGUAUUGAGAAAAUAUUAAGAAGUUGGGGGGAGCCAUGGCAACUUUUUUUUUGUUUUUUUUUUUUUGUUUUUUUUUUGUUUUUUUGCUUUUUUAUUUUUUUUCACCUUUCGUUGAGGCCUUGCUGCCUCACCCAUGUAGCUUAAUUCACUUACUGAAUGAAUAAAGUGGGUAACGCGCUACCUUUCUCUCAAAAAAAAAAAAAAAUGUGGGAGCCUAAGAUUUAUUUUGGUAUCAUGUUAAUCAAGAGAUUCAUAUAUUAAGAAAUAAUUUACUAAUUUAAAAUCAUUUGUCAUGCAAAGUAUAUCAAAUAAAAAUGAAAAUACAUGAUGUACGUGGAACAUAAUAUUAGACACACAUUGGGUGCAAUUCUUACACAGAUGCACUUUGCCUGUCCAUAAUGGAUGGCUCAAAUAGAACUACCGGUCUCGCGCUUGGAACUAUAGAGAAAUUGGGCCUUAAUGUCUCUCUUGAUUGAUAAACUAUUUUAUCUAGUUUCAUAUAUUAUUACAUAAGCUAUUUUAUCUAGUUACAUAUAUUAUUAGGAAAUAGAUCCAAUUUCAUUUGUUCCUUCUGUUUUAAAUAAAAUAGAUAUCAAUCACUAGGCGAAGCCUAAAUAUGAUAUUCUCUAGCUACUUAGAUCUUAAACAUCAUUAAGGUCCUAUUUAAAUGUCGGAAUAAGUUAUUCCAAAAUAGCUUAUUAGGUAUAAGAAAUUUCUAGUGUGAUUAUAAGAAAGAAGCUUUUUUUUUUUUUUUUUCUUGAAAGACUUUGAUAUCCAUAAUUUGAUAGAAUAACAUAUUUAUUUACGAGUGAUUUGUCUUAUUCGAAAAAUGGCGUAAAGGGUGAAUUUAUACUCAUUUAUUAAUAUUUGAUCACACACCUCAUGUGUUAAUAUGUUUUAACUUUUCAUACAAAAUUAAAAAGAUAUACCGAAUACGAUAUUUAUACAUUCAAAUCGGGUUGAAGUUAUAUAUGACGGUAUCAAUCCAACUCGGAUUAAACUUAAACUAAACCAAUUCAUUCAAAAAAAAAAAAAAAAACCAAACCACACCAAUUAAAACCUGUCUUAUUGGAGAACCGCCAAAGAGGAUGGAGCGGGGCCAAGUCUCUCAUGGUGCUACUACUAUAUAUGUGGGCUAAGAGCCAGGUCGAUCCGUAUAGAAUUUUUUUUUCACAAAAUUAUUUUUAUAUAGAAUAAAGGUUUUUUAAUAAAUAUUUUUUAUUUAUGGUAAAUAUCAAUGACCAUUUUUAUAUACAUUUUUUAUAUUUAUUCUUCAUUAUACAUUGGCUUCAUAGUACUAGCUAUCGUCUAACACAAACACUUAUUUCUAGAAUACGCGCAUACACAAUUGCCUUGCAUAAGGAGACAAAUGUUCGAUCCAUUUUGUAAUACUAAUAAGAAACAGUACUAGAUCACAGUAAUUAAGGAGCACACUCUCUAUUGUAGAUCUUUAAACUAGCUUACAUACUCACUGAACACACCGAAACAUAACAGAAAUUAACCACAAGGUCGAAGCAAGCAGCUGAACAAAUGGAUGCGUACAUGCAUCCUUAUUUAUAACUAAGCAAAUAUGAUAGCAAACUGCAUGCAGUGCGUUGCUAAUCAUCACUGCCGACCUACACUGAGCUUCGACUUUCAAAAACAAUCUAAAUGACUUCGACACUGGGCCCUGAUUGUAGAGUGGGAUAGAGAGGGUCCAUGGCGAUUCCACAUAAUCCAAAUGACGAUGACACAUCUCUUGCCAAGCGGAUGUAUCCACCCUCACCCCAUCCGGCACCCCAUGAGUUCCUUACUAUCCAAAAUUUUUUUCCGCUGCUAUCCUGCCCGUAACCUAUAAUGACGAUGGCAUGAUUGAGUCUAGUUCCACAAGGUCCGGUAAACACACCGCGCUUGUAAUGUUGAAAGUUUCCACUGGCAUCGAGAGCAGCAGCUAUUGGUUGAUUCGACACAGCGUACAUCAUGUUGCGUUCGUUGUUCCUCUGCACAUAUGUAUAGCGAGUAAUAUAAGCUGAAUUGGGCACGCCAUUGGUCUUGCAGGUACCUUUGGCUGCUUUGUAAGGGUAGAUAGCUGCGGAUGCCACGCCCUUGUUGGAUAUGAUGAAACUGUAGGCCUUGUUUAUCCAGCCGCCUUUGCACCCGUAGCUUACAGCACAAUCGAGAACUUGCUGCUCCGAUAAAGAUACUAAGUUCCCUCUUUUGAUCUUGUAGAUUGAUUCUACCGUCGCAAUUGAAGCGAAUGCCCAGCAAGAACCUGUGCCGAAACAAAGAUUAAAUCGUGUUAGCAUAACAAGUGUAAGCAAAGUUACAUAUAUAUGUAGGUUGCCAUGAUAAAAGAAAGCAUUCAAACCAAUUACCUAAUUAGAUGAUACUUGCAAGUACUUAGCUGCUUUUAACUUGUUUUCAAUACUUGUCAUGCAUAGGGGAUGUCCCGUUCUUUUUGACUAAAACGUAUUUUGCUUACUUUAAUAAUAUAAUUAUUGUAAUAACUUAAUUAACAAUAAGAAAUUCAAUAAUAGACCUAACAUCCAGAUGAGUUGAAUCAAGUCGAAAUCUAUAAAUGUUAUGGUUAAGUCUUUAAGUGUGUUGGAUACAUUCUUUUUAUCGCCACUUUUUCUGUAAUAGUUGAUUAUCACUUACCAUCCACAUUCGAUAGCUAGGAUGAUUUUUUAUUAACUAGAUUCAAUAUUUCGACAAUUUCCUUGUAUGAAGACUGAUAAUGUGUCCUAAUGAAUGUUUAGACACUUUUAAUUUGAUCGGCCAAAAUAAUGGACUUGUUGGGUUUUAGUGGGUGGAAAUUUGGUCCUUUAGUCCAAAAACGGCAGAAGGCAUAUUUGGUGAGAUUUGAUCUAAACAACAUGUUUAAAGUUAACUAAAAGAAUAGGUAUUUGUUCCUAGCUGAAAAAAUGAAGUUGCUUUGACAAUUUAUAGUCCACAUUAAUCCUUACCACAGCGGCCUUGGUUCUUGACACUUGUUACGGCACCAGAGUCUCUCCAAUCAAUACUUUGAGGCACCGAGGAGAUGUCUACGUCAUCAAACGACACCACUGGCUCUCUCUUGAUAUUUAGUGGGAGAGAUAAACCAGUAUAUUGAGCAACAAAUUCGUUAUUUGUCAUAUCGGUAAAUUGAUUGAUACCGAGAGUGUACGAAUUUCCGUUGCGAUUGUUAAAGGUUUCGAUAUGGUUCACGUUGUUCUUGAAUAUCUGAAACCGGAGCAUCUUCUCGUCGUUGUCCUUGUAAACUCGGCCGUACUCCGCCAUCCAUUCUUCAAACUGCUUCAUCAUGGGAUCACUGGGUUCGUCACAAGAAGCUGCCGAUGGCGAAGCCCACAUCACACAGAGAAACAAGAAAAGAAACACGAGUUGAACUUUGGAAGUCAUGCUUAUGUAGCACUAAAUAUCUACUUUUAUGUAUGAGGAAAUUGGAGAUCGAGCUUCAAGAGCUUUUGUUGCUGAGAGUAUGGCCUCAAGAUCGAGUUUAUAUAGAAGUUGGAGUAUUAAUAGGUGGAGGCCUACAAGAUGGCAUAAAUCACCAUCAAAUUAAAAUUAAAUAGAUCUUGACCGCUUAUGACACCGCGUCAUUUGGUCACGCGCUAAUCAUGAAAAAGAUAAUAAUGUUUCUCUACUUCUCUCACAUUUUAACUUUAUAAUUUCUUUCAUAGGGCAUAAAAUGACUAAUUAAAUAGAUCUUGAACCCUCCUCGCCAUAAGAUCAUCUUAGGUGCAAGCAAAAAGGAAUGUACAUUUCUCCAUUUCUAUCUUUUCACUCUCUAACUUUAAUCUUUCAUGCAUAGGCUAUAUAUAUUCGUUCUUCUUGUUUCUUUUUCCGUUGCAUGAGCAGGACCAACCCUAGAAAUAAAAACCUGAUCUGUAGUUUAGUCAAAUAUUGCUUUAAAACUCGAUCGAUCUGUAAUUUGAAAAGUAGCCAACUUUGAAACAGCAUAUAUAUAGUUGCAGCUCAAGCGGAAAAUAAACCAACUAAAAGCUAAGGUUCCCUUUAGAAUUGCAGCCACAUUACAUUGCGUACGGUAAGAAAUUAAAAAUAUAAAAAUAUUUUAUUUAUUUUCAUUAGUGAUUUUUAAAAUAUAAAUAUUAAAAAUAUUAUUUUCUAUACUAUAAACUUUAAGAUUAAUGAUUAUUUCACAUCCUUCUACUCUAUAUCAAUUGAAGGACUUGUGGCUUUAAGUUCUGCCCAUUUAAAAAUAUUCAAUAUUUUUAUAUAUAGGAACCCGGCGUCUCCCAAACUAAGUAUUACCUAUUCUAAUACUAUGCGAAAUAACAUGACACAGCGGUUGUUCUCCAAAAACUUAAAGAUGCCUCAGAGGAUAAGGCACUAAGUUUGAAUCUUAUCGGGCAAUAAUUUCAUCCAAUUUCUUUUAAUUUAAUUUAAUUUAAUUCAAGUUCACAUUUUAAGUCUACUGAAAUUUCUCGAACCUAAACAUGAGGUAGAGUGUUAAUUUUAUAUAUAUAUAUAUAUAUAUAUAUAUUGUUAAGAUUUCGUUAGAUUUAUAGAUUAAAUUCUAGUUGGAUAAAAAUUAAUAUUUAAAUUUGUUGGAGAUAAAUUAAAAUUUAAAUAUUAUUUAGAGUAUGAAUCUAACUAGAGUAGGAUAAAUAUUUAAAUCUAUUGGAGAUAAAUCAAUUAAGAUUUAAAUAUUUAUUGGAGUAGAAAAAUAAAUAUACUAGAAUUCGGGUACGCUUUGAUAUAAGCUUUAUAAAUAAAUUCAUCAUACUUACUCGAUCCCAAUUCAUUCGUUUUCCUUAUAAAAAAAAUAUUCUACAAUGUCAUUCUCUCAACGAUGUCUGAGUGCAAAUUAAACAUGUAUUAAACCAAAAAUCAAAUCACGGAUUAUAAUUUUUUAAUGCAUAAAUCUUUUAAACUUUAUAAAAUUAUAUCAAAUUAAUUAAAUUUUAAUUAAUUUUAAAAUUUUUUAGGGGAAAAGAUGCUUAGUUAUCUGUUUUGUACAUUUUGAGAAUUUCUUUUGGCACCGACCGUCACUAGCGCAAGUGGUACAGGGUUUGGUGGUUGGUAUUGGAGGUCCCAAAUUCGAGUUAAGUUUAUUUCUAAAUGAAAUAAACGAAGCGGGUAACAUACUAUCUAUCUUUUAACAAAAGGGGAAACUUCAAAUACCCGCCUGUGGUUUCGUACUUUCUCACUUUAGUACCCUGUGGUUUAAAGUGUAUCAAGUUGGUACCUAGCUGUGGUUUCGUAUUUUUUCACUUUCGUACUCUGUGAUUUCAAGUGUAUCAAGUUAUUAUCCUAUGGUUUCGCACUUUCUCACUUUAGUACCAUGUGAUUUAAUAUUUUGUUAAAUUAUAUGCCUCGAAAUGAAUAAUAAAAACAGAAAAUUGAAACCACAGGGUACUAACUUGAUACAAAAAUAAAACCACAAGGUAAUAACUUAAUACAGUUGAAACCAUAUAGUACUAAAGUGAGAAAGCGCGAAACCACAUGGUACUAACUUGAUAUAUUUUAAAUCACAAGCUACUAAAGUGAGAACGCAUGAACCCAAUGGGGGUAUUUGAAGUUUCACCUAAAAAAAGAAUUUCUUUUGGCAAAGCCUACGAGAUGUAGACCCAUGCAAUGUGUACGUGUGCAAACGUUAAUUUCUCUCUUAUCAAUCGUUAGUAAAGUUGCGAGGGGAACAACUUUUAUUGCAGCUGAUGUGUUGUUAUUGGAAUUAUCGGAGCAUGUGUUGCCCAACGGGAAUAGGGCUGAUAAGAGACGUGCAUGAAUUAAAAAAGUUAUAUUUAAUUUUUUUAAAAAAAUAUUGUUCAGAAUAGUUGUUUAGCAUUAUGAAAGAAUUUUUUUUAAAAAAAGUAUCAAUGCCACGCUUAUGUAUUAAAAUGCCCUCAUAAAAUGAUAAUAUCAUUCAUGCUCUUUUAAAUGGUCAUAAAUCUUAUAGUAAUUAGCUCUAGUGAUUAAUUAGUCUCUACCGAAAAAUCUCGUCAUUAAUUAUUAUAAAAUAUUUAUUUUUUUACCAUUACGUACUAUUAGUAUAAUAACUCGUGCGAUGUGAUAAAUAGAUAGUUAAAGAAAAAAUAAAAAAUGGCCACAAAAAAGAGUAAAUAACAAUGGAAGACACUACAACAGAAUUAGGUUAUAGAAACACAUGUUUGGAACACUUUUGAGUAAGUAUCCCAUUUAUACUAAAAUUUAAAAAAAUAUCUACUAAUGCCUAAAUAUAAAGCCCAAUCCAACCAAAAAUAAAAGAUUACUUUACUCAACCCACCACACCCAGUCCAUUUGGCCUGAUUACAAACAGAAAAAAAAAAGAAAAAUUAAUUACCAUAUUUUCUUCUCGCUUUACUCAAUCCACUGAAAUUCUAGACGAAGAGCCAUUCCUGUCGUCCUCCUCCGCCACCGCAGCCAACGAGAUAGAGUUUCGGCGGUUGCGAAAUGCUUAAAUAAGUUGUUGGUAAAUUAGCAGCACUCUUUUAGGUUAUAGCGACACUCUUUAACUGUCACUAUAUAUCUAGCGAACCCACAUAUAGCAACACUUUUUAAAAGUGUCGGUAAUUUUAGCUAGCAUCACUUUUUUGACAUGUACCUACAUUUAAAAGUGUCGUUAUAGACCGUUUUUAUUGUAGUGAGAACUGACGAUGAGAGAAGAGAUUUAUCCUGCCGAUGAACGAAAAUAACAGUUGAAGUGACAAAGGGCUUGGUGGUUGGUACUCGAGACCCAAGUUCGAAUCCUAGUUGAUUCACAUUUUCAGCUAAGUUUAUUUUUAAAUGAAAUAAACGAAGCGGGUAGUGUGCUACCUAUCUCUCAAAAAAAAAAAAAAAAAUAGCAGUUGAAGAAAGAGGAAAUGAAAUAGUUGGUCUAAUGCAGAGGCGUGAUCUAGUUUGGUUCAAGGAAAAGAAAAAUCCGAUUCAGUUCAAACAAAAAAAAGAAAAAACUUGAGACAGUUUGGGAUAAAGCCUACACUCAAUAGUGAUCGAUUUAGUUCAAGUAUAAAAACAGAAAAAAAAAAAAAUUUGGUUCAAAGCUGCAAACAUGUGGAGCAGUGGGGCUAGUUUAGCCCAAUGCAACAGGUUGAUUUGAUUCGUUUCAAGCAAAGAAAGAAAGAAAUCAGGUUCAUUCCACGUGAAAAAGGAGAAAACUUAAGCGUAUUUUCAAAAUUUAUUAGAACUAAAAUUAGGAUAACGCUAUUUGACAUAAGAUAAUAUGAGAAAUAUUUAUGAUAUUUUUAGAAGUAUUUGUGAUAGUUUAAGAUUUUGAGGAGUAGCUAUGAAGUUGUCCCUAAAAAAAUCUGCAGUUCGAUCUCUCACAACCUCGUUUCAAAAUUUGGAAGAUCAAUCUCCUUGACUUUCGAAUUUUAUGUAGUACAAUUUUUAGACGUUGUUCUUAAGGUAAGAAAUUUAUAAGCAACUUUAAAGGUUUUAGUCAAAUAUAUUCACUACAAAAAAAACGGUCUAUAGUGACACUUUUAAAUAUAGGUACAUGUCAAAAAAGUGUUGGUAGCAAAAAUUACCGACACAUUUAAAAAGUGUUGCUAUAUGUGGGGUAGCUAGGUAUAUAGUAACAGUUAAAGAGUGUCGCUAUAAUCUAAAAGAGUGCUGCUAAUUUACCAACACUUAUUUAAGCAUUUAGCAACCGCCGAAACUCUAUCUCGUUAGCUGCGGUGGCGGAGGAGGACGACAGGAAAGGCUCUUCGUAUAGAAUUUCAGUGGAUUAAGUGAAGAGAGAAGAAAAGAUGGUAAUUGAUUUUUUUUUUUUCUUUUCUGUUUGUAAUCGGGCCAAAUGAACUGGGUGUGGUGGGUUAAGUAGAGUAAUCUUUUAUUUUUGGUUGGAUUGGCCUUUAUAUAUAGGCAUUAGUAGAUGUUUUUUUAAAUUUUAGGAUAAAUGAGAUACUUACUCAAAAGUGUCCCAAACAUGUGUCCCUAUAACCUAAUUCUGUUGUAGUGUAUAUAUUAAGAAUUUUAUCAGAUUUUCCGUGAUUUCAUCAAAUUUAAAAGUUUUGACCAUUUCUAGCAAUUGAAGCUUGAAUAAUUUACAACUAACUAGAAUUGCCCAAAUUAAACAAAUUUAGAAGAUAAAAAGAUGGUAAGAGUGGAGGAGUCGAUUUCAAAGGAGCCUAUGAUUGAGCACGUCUUCGUACACUUCUAUCAAUUAUCUGCUCACGUAUGCAGCAGCCAGAGCUAAACUAUGUUUAUCGAUCAGGGCAAUAAUUCGCCUUUUUUUUUUAAUGAUCUUAAGAACAUGGUUAUAAGCUUUAAUUAAAAUUAUAGAGCUUGACAACAAGUUGAACAAGUUUAUGACAAAAAUAAAUAUAUAUUAUAAGCACAGUCCCACAAAAUUGUGGGAGCAUAAGAUUUAGUUGGUAUCAUAUUAUACGAACGAACCAUAUAUCAUCGCUCAUGCAUUUUGACCGUUCAUAUUGGAUGGUCCAAAUAGAACGAUCGGUCUUGAUUGAUAAGGUAUAUAUAUUUUUUAAUGAUCUUAGGAAAUAAAUCCAAUUUCAUUUGUUCCCUUUGUUUUUAAUAAAAUAGGAAUCAUUCACUAGGCUCAGCCUAAAUCUAAUAUUCAUUGUAGAGGUGGCAAUCCAGCUUUGCUGCUCGCGAGUUAGUUCAUGUUCGGCUCGAAAUGAACUCGAAAUCGAAUCGCUCGUUUAGUAAACGAGUCGAACACGAGCUGAAGUUUUCAGCUCGUUUAAUAAACGAGCCAAACACAAGCCGGCGUCAGCUCGCUUAUUUUCGGCUCAAUAACAGCUCAAAUAUAUAUAUAUUUUAUAUUUAUAUAAUCUAUUUAAUUUAUAUUUAUAUAUUUAUAUAUAUAAAUAAAUAAUUAUGUAAUAUAUAUAUAUAUAAAAUUUAAUUUUUAGAAAAAAAAAUAUAAAGUCGAGCUCAAUUAAAAAAAAACUCAUUUAUAUAUAAAGUUUCAACCAUUAAAUCAAAAUCUAAUGAAUAAAAUUUUAUAAAUUUAUUUUUUAUAUAUAUUCAAUCUAAUUAAUUUAAUUUAUUGUUCAUUGGCCAACUCGUGUUCGGCUCAUUUAUUAAUAAAUCGAACACAAGUUGAAUUUUUCAGCUUGAUACUUUAACAAGUCAAUUCGUGUUCGGCUCGUUUAUUAAACGAGUCGAAUACGUGCCGGCCCUAGCUUACUCGUGUUCGGCUCCUUAACACCCCUAAUUCUUAGCUACUUAGAUCUUAGACAUCAUGAAGGUGCAGUCGGAAUAUCCAAAUAAGUUAUUCAAAGAGAAGAAUUUCUAGGGUGAAAGAAGUUUAUUUUUUCUCCUAGGAAAGAAUUUGAUAUCCAUAGUUAGAUACCAUAAUAUAUUUUAUCAAAUUUUAGAUUUUUGAUCACACUGCUCAUCUAUUAAUAUUAUGUAUAAAUUUUUUAAAUAAUAUUUAUAAAAUAUAUCAAUUAAGAUAUUCAUGCAUCCAAAUAGGGCCGAAGUUAUGACGGUACCAAUCCAACUUGGAUUAAGCCAAAUUCAUUCAUCGAAACCAAACCAUACCUAACAAAACGUCCUUUAUUAGAUAACAGCCAAAGAGGAUGGACCUGGACCAUGUCUCGUGGGCCUACUACUAUGUAGGCGGAGAACAAUGUCGGUCCACGAGAACACCUAAUAUUUUUUAAAAAAAUUUUAUUUUAAUAGAAUAUUUUUUUAAAAAAAAUAUAAUUUAUUUAUGUAUAAUGAAUGACUAAUUAUUGUAAUAGAAUAAAAUUUUCUCUUUAUUGUAAUAUUUUUUAAAAAAAAGAUUUGUUACCAAUCGUUCCUAAAGUAAAUGGCAAAGGGUUUGGUGGUUGGUAUACGAGACCCAAGUUUGAAUCCUAGUUGAUUCACAUUUCCAACUAAGCUUAUUUUAAAAUGAAAUAAAUGAAGUGGGUAGCGUGCUACCUAUCUCUCUCUUAANUGAUCUAGUACUGUUUCUUAUUAGUAUUACAAAAUGGAUCGAACAUUUGUCUCCUUAUGCAAGGCAAUUGUGUAUGCGCAAAAAAAAAAAAAAAAAUUGUUUUUCAUUAACAGAAACAUACUAGAUCACAGUAAUUAAGGAGCACACUCUCUAUUGUAGAUCUUCAAACUAGCUUACAUACUCACUGAACACACAGAAACAUAACAGAAACUUACCACAAUUAAUGUCGAAGCAAGCAGCUGAACAAUUGGAUGCGUACAUGCAUCCUUAUUUAUAACUAAGCAAAUAAGAUAGCAAACUGCAUGCAGUGAUCACUUCCGAUCGACCUACACUGAGCUUCGACUUUCAGAAACCAUUUUAAUGACUUCGACAUUGGCCCCUGAUUGUAGAGUGGGAUAGAGGGGACGUAUGGCGAUUCCACAUAAUCCAGAUGACGAUGACACAUCUCUUGCCAUACGGAUGUAUCCACGCUCACCCCAUGAGGCACCCCAUGAGUUCCUUACUAUCCAAAAUUUUUUUCCGCUGCUAUCCUGCCCGUAACCUAUAAUGGUGAUGGCAUGAUUGAGACUAGUUCCACAAGGUCCGCUAAACACACCGCGCUUGUAAUGUUGAAAGUCUCCACUGGCUUCAAUACUAGCAGCUAUUGGUUGAUUCGACACAGCGUACAUCAUGCUGCGUUCGUUGUUACUCUGCACACGUGUAUAACCAGUAAUAUAAGCUGAAUUGGGCACGCCAUUGAUCCUGCAGGUGCCUUGGGAUGCUUUGUAAGGGUAGAUAGCUGCGGAUGCCACGCCCUUGUUAGAUAUGAUGAAAUCGUAGGCCUUGUUCACCCAGCCGCCAUCGCACCCGUAGCUUACAGCACAAUCGAGAACUUGCUGCUCCGAUAAAGAUAUUAAGUAUCCUCUUUUGAUCUUGUAGAUUGAUUCUACCGUCGCAAUUGCAGCGAAUGCCCAGCAAGAACCUGUGCCGAAACAAAGAUUAAAUCGUGUUAGCAUAACUAGUGUAAGCAAAGUUACAUAUAUAUGUAGGUUGCCAUGAUAAAAGAAAACAUUCAAACUAACCCAAUUAGAUGUUAUUUGCAAGUACUGAGCUGCUUUUAACUUGUUUUCAAUAGUUGUCAUGCAUAGGGAUGUCUCGUUCUUUUUGACUAACAUGUACGUAUUUUGCUUACUUUAAUAAUAUAAUUAUUGUACUAACUUAAUUAACAAUAAGAAAUUCAAUAAUAUACCUAACGUCCAGAUGAGUUGAAUCAAGUCGAAAUCUAUGAAUGUUAUGGUUAAGUCUUUAAGUGUGUUGGAUACAUUCUUUUUAUCACCACGUAUUUAUGUAAUAGUUGAUUAUCACUUAUGAUCGAUCCUCAUUCGAUAACUAGGAUGAUUUUUUAUUCACUAGAUUCAAUACUUUGAUAAUUUCCUUGUAUGAAGACUGAUAAUAUGUCCUAAUGAAUGUUUAGACACUUUUGAUCGGCCAAAAUAAUGGACUUGUUGGGUUUUAGUGGGUGGAAAUUUGGUCCUUUAUAAAGGACCAAAUUAUAUUAUUUGAUGAGAUUUGAUGAGAUUAUAUUAUUUAGUCCAAAAACGGCAGAAGGCAUAUUUGAUGAGAUUUGAUCUAAAAUACAUAUUUAAAGUUAACUAAAAGAAUAGGUAUUUGUUCCUAGUUGAACAAAUGAAGUUGCAUUGACAAUUUAUAGUCUAAAUUAUUUCUUACCACAGGGGUUUUGGUUCUUGACACUUGUUACGGCACCGUAGUUUCUCCAAUCAAUACUUUGAGGCACCGCGGAGAUGUCUACGUCAUCAAACGACACCACUGGCUCUCUCUCGAUAUUUAAUGGGAGAGAUACUCCAGUAUAUUGAGCAACAAAUUCGUUAUUUGUCAUAUCGGUAAACUGAUUGAUACCGAGAGUGUAAGAAUUUCCGUUGCGACUGUUAAAGGUUUCGAUAUGGUUCACGUUGUUCUUGAAUAUCUGAAACCGGCGCAUCUUCUCGUCGUUGUCCUUGUAAACUCGGCCGUACUCCGCCAUCCAUUCUUCAAACCGCUUCAUCAUGGGAUCACUGGGUUCGUCACGAGAAGCUGCCGAUGGCGAAGCCCACAUCACACAGAGAAACAAGAAAAGAAACACGAGUUGAACUUUGGAAGCCAUGCUUAUGUAGCACUAAAUAUCUAGUAUAUGUAUGAGGAAAUUGGAGAGUCUGGUCUCAAGAUUGAGUUUAUAUAGAAGUUGGAAUAUUAAUGGGUGGAGGCCUACAAGAUGGCAUAAUUAAAUCUCCAUCAAAUUAAGAUUAAAUAGAUCUGGACCACUUGUGACACCGCGUCAUGUGGCCAUGGUCACGUGCUAAUCAUGAAAAAAAUGAUGUUUCUCUACUUCUCUCACAUUUUAACUUUAUAAUUUCUUUCAUAGGAUAUAGAAUGACUAACUAAUUAAAUAGAUCUGGAACCCUCCUCGCCAUAAGAUCAUCUUAGGUGCAAGCAAAAGGAACGUACGUACGUUUCUCCAUUUCUAUCUUUUCACUCUCUAAAUUUAAUCUUUCAUGCAUAGGCUGUAUAUAUUCGUUCUUCUUGUUUAUUUUUCCAUUGCAUGAGCAAUACCAACCCUAGAAAUAAAAACUUGAUCUGUAGUUUAGUCAAAUAUUACUUUAAAACUCGAUCUGUAAUUUGAAAAGUAGCCAACUUUGAAACAGCAUAUAUAUAGUUGCAGCUCAAGCGGAAAAUAAACCAACUCAAAGCUAAGGUUCCCUUUAGAAUUGCAGCCACAUUACAUUACGUACGGUAAGAAAUUAAAAAUAUAAAAAUAUUUUAUUUAUUUUUAUUAGUGAAUUUUAAAAUAUAAAUAUUAAAAAUACUAUUUUCCAUACUAUAAACUUUAAGAUUAAUGGUUAUUUCACAUCCUUUUACUCCAUAUCAAUUGAAAUAAGGACUUAUAUAUGGCUUUAAGUUCUGCCCAUUUAAAAAUAUUCAAUAAUUUUAUAUAUAGGAACCCCGCAUCUCCCAAACUAGGGAUUACCAGUUCUAAUACUACGCGAAAUAAUAUGACGUAACUGUUGUUCUUCAAAAACUUAAAGAUGGCUCAGAGGAUGAGGCGCUAAGUUUGAAUCUUAUCGUGCAAUAGGUUAAUCCAAUUUCUUUUUAUGUAAGUUAAUUUAACUCAAGUUCAUAUUUUAAGUCUAUUAAAACUUCUCGAGCCUAAACAUGAGGUAGAGUGUUAAUUUUAUAUAUAUAUAUUAAACAGACCUUUCUUUAAUAACUUAAGUUUCUAUAGAUAAAUAAUUGUUUCACAUUCUUUCAUAGAUUUAACUUUUUUCAUAUUAUAAUAAAUUUAUUAUAAUAUAAUUCCUAUGCUUUCAUUAGAAAAUAAUGAAGUAUAUAUCUUUAUAUGAUUUAACUCCAACCAAGUUACAUCUACUAGCAUGCUUCAAUGCCCAAAUGGGUGCUAAGUUACAAGACAAUCCAAAAUAAGGAAAGCCCAAGUUCUAAGUCGGCACUAAAGUUAAUUUACUGAGUAAAAUUCAAUUUACCCACACCACCACCCCCUGUAAUUUAGUGGAGUUUUACUUUGUUCUUAUGUAGUUUAAAGGUUGCAUGUAACUAUCGUGUGAUUUUUUAUUUUUAUUUUAUCUAUAAAACUUGACAUCAAUUAGCAAAGUGAAUUUUUUGUUCUGUUUAACAGUAAGUCUUUACAAGAAAAUAAAAAUUAAUAUUAUACGAUAGUUAAGUAUAACUUUUCAAACCGCAUAAUAACAAAGUGAAAAAAUAUUAAACAGCAGUAAGAAAAAUUAAAAAUUACCUAAUUAAAUUAAUCAUACUUACUCGAUCCCGAUUCAUUCGUUUUCCUUCAAAGAUUCUACAAUCUCAUUCUCUCAACGAUAUUUGAGUGCAAAUUAAAUAUGUAUUAAACCAAAAAUCAAAUCACGGAUUUUAAUUUUUUAAUGCAUAAAUCUUUUAAACUUUAUAAAAUUAUAUCAAAUUAAUUAAAUUUUUUAAUUAAUUUUAAAAUUUUUUAGGGGAAAAGAUACUUAGUUAUCCGUUUUGUUCAUUUUGAGAAUUUCUUUUGACACCGACUAUUUCUAACGCAAGUGGUAAAGAAUUUAGUAGUUGAUAUUCGAGAUUCAAAAUUUAAACUUAAUUUAUUUCUAAAUAAAAUAAACGAAGUGGUACCUAUCUACGAGAUGUAGACCCAAUGCGUACAUCCGCAUACGUUAUUUUCUCUCUUAUCAAUCGUUAGUAAAGUCGCAAUCGAGAGGGGGACAACUUUUAUUGCAGCUGAUGUGUUGUUAUUGGAAUUAUCGGAGCAUGUGUUGCACAACGGGAAUAUAAAGGACUGAUAAGAGACGUGCAUGAAUUAAAAAACAGUUACUGACGAUGGAAGAAGUGACAAAAAACAAAAAGAGAUUUAUCCUGCCGACAAAAAAAAGAGUAAAUGAUAAUGAAAGAAGUGGCGAUGAGGAAAGAGAUUUAUCCUACUGAUGAACGAAGAUAAUAAUUAAAAAAAGAGAAAAAGGAAUAGUUCCGCUUAAUGCAGAGGUGUGAUCCAGUUUGGUUCAAGCAAAAAAAAAAAAAAAUCGGUUCGAUUCAAGCAAAGAAAAAGAAACACUUGAGACGGUUUUGGGUAAAGCUUAUACUCGAUAGUGAUAGAUUCAGUUCAAGUAUAAAAAGAGAAAAUAUUUAGUUUAAAGAUGAAAACAUGUGGAGCAGUUGGGUUGGUUCAGUCCAAUGCAACAGGUUGAUUUGAUUCGCUUCAAGUAAAGAAAAAGAGAAAUCAGGUUCAUUCCACGUAAAGAAAGAGAAAAAUAUGUGAAAAACUUAAGUCUGUUCGGAAGAGUUUACAUUCAAUAAUUAUUGAUUCGAUUUAAGUAAAGAAUAAGGAAAAUUCGAUUUGAUUCAAGCAAAAAGGAAAAAAAAAAAUUAUGCGAAAAACUUGAACGGAUUCUGAAUGAAGCUCUGAAUGAAGCUCACACUUAAUAAUGAAAGGAGCGUUAUCAUGUGGCAAAACUAGAAGGAAUAGAUAGAUAUCACUAAUGUCGCUUAAAUUAUCUAUAGCUAAUAUUCAAAGUUUUCUACAUCAUUAAUGUUGCUUAAAUGGUAUUCAAAAUUUUCUAUAGCGUAUGUUCAAAAUUUAUUAGAACUAAGAUUAGGAUAACGCUAUUUGACAUAAGAUAACAUGAGAAAUAUUUAUAAUAUCUUUAGAAGUGUUUGUGAUAGUUUAAGAUUUUGAGGAGUAGCUAUGAAGUUGUCCCUAAAAAAAUCUGUAGUUCGAGCUUUCACAACCUCGUUUCAAAAUUCGGAAGAUCAAUCUCCUCGACUUUCGACUUUUAUGUAGUACAAUUAAUUUUUAGACGUUGUUCUUAAGGUAAGAUAUUUAUAAGCAACUUUAAAGGAGAAAAAGUUAUAUACUAACAGGGAUCGCAUUUAAUUCGGAAAUUUGAAUGUGAGUUUUUACUUUUUAACCGUCCAGAUUUCACACUUUGAUAAAUAAUACGACUUGAAUACUCAUAAAAGACGAUAGCAUGCCCUUACCCACUUUUCUUAUGCACAAGACAUAAACUAUAAUGUAUGUUGGUGCAAGCAAAAUUUAUUUUAUUUGAGAUUUGAAUUCAUUUUAUUAACCCUUCGACUCAGUUUGUUCUACUUACAGUACGGCGUUGGACCACAACAUACAUAUCGAUUAUUCAGAUACGACUUUAUUAAAUUGCAUUAAAGGCCUCUAAAGUUAAAAAUUUAGUUUGGGGACCAUUUGCUUUAAUUUCGCUCGGGCAUCAUCUGAAAUAGGCCAUGCCAAAUUAGGCCCCGCCCUCAACUACAGGCCACGCCCUCAUCUACAGGACAUUCCAAACUAGGUCCCCCAACAUUUCUUUUUCUGUUUUUUUUUAAAAGUUUAUUUUUGUUUUAAAUUUUUUGAUAAAUUAAGAUGUUUUAGUCAAAUAUAUUAAGAAUUUUAUCAAAUUUUUCGUGAUUUCAUCAAAUUUAAAAGUUUUGACCAUUUCUAACAAUUGAAGCUUGAAUAAUUUACAACUAAUUAGAAUUGCCCAAAUUAAACAAAUUUAGAAGAUAAAAAGAUGUUAAGAGUUGAGGAGUCGAUUUCAAAGGAGCCUAUGAUUGAGCAUGCCUUCGUACACUUCUAUCAAUUAUCUGCUCACAGCCAGAGCUAAACUAUGUUUAUCAGGGCAAUAAUCCGCCCUUUUUUUUAAUGAUCUUAAGAACAUGGUUAUAAGCUUUAAUUAAAAUUAUAAAAAAUAAAUAAAUAUUAUAAGCACAGUCCCACAAAAUUGUGGCAGCAUAAGAUUUAGUUGGUAUCAUAUUACACGAACGAGCCAUAUUUCAUGCGGAAUAUAUUAAACAAAAAUGAAAAUACAUGACGUGCAACAUAAUAUUUGACGCAUAUCGGGAGCAAUUCUAUGCACAUAUGCAUUUUGACCGUUCAUAUUGGAUGGUCCAAAUAGAACGAUCGGUCUUGGUUGAUAAGGUAUAUAUUUUAUCCAGUUACAUAUAUUAUUAGGAAAUAAAUCCAAUUUCAUUUGUUCCCUAUGUUUUUAAUAAAAUAGGAAUCAUUCACUAGGCUCAGCCUAAAUCUAAUAUUCAUAGUAGGGGUGGCAAUCCAGCUUUGUUGUUCGUAAACUAGCUCGUGUUCGGCUCGAAAUGAGCUCGAGAUCGAAUUGCUCGUUUAGUAAACAAGCCGAACACGAGCUGAAUUUUUCAGCUCGUUUAAUAAAUGAGCCGAACACGAACCGGCGUCAGCUCGCUAGUGUUCGACUCAAUAACAGCUCAAAUACAUAUAUUUUAUAUUUAUAUAAUCUAUUUAAUUUAUAUUUAUAUAUUUAUAUAUAUAAAUAAAUAAUUAUAUAACAUAUAUAUAUAUAUAUAUAUAUAUAUAUAUAUAUAUUAUUUAAUAUUUAGAAAAAAAAAAUAAAGUCGAGCUCAAUUAAAAAAAGAUGCAUUUAUAUAUAAAGUUUCAACCAUUAAAUCAAAAUCUAAUGGAUAAAAUUUUAUAAAUUUAUUGUUUAUAUAUAUUCAAUCUAAUCUAUUUAAUUUAUUGUUCAUUGGUCAGCUUGUGUUCGGCUCAUUUAUUAAUAAACCGAACACAAGCUGACUUUUUUGGCUUGAUACUUUAACAAGGCAACUCGUGUUCAGCUCGUUUAUUAAACGAGCCGAAUGCGAGCCAGCCCAGCUUACUCGUGUUCGGCUCCUUAACACCUCUAAUUCAUAGCUACUUCGAUCUUAGACAUCAUGAAGGUGCAGUCUGAAUAUCAAAAUAAGUUAUUCAAAAAGAAGAAUUUCUAGGAUUAUUAUAAGAAAGAAGUUUAAUUUUUUCUUCUAGAAAAAAAAAAAAUUGAUAUCCAUAGUUAGAUAGCAUAAUAUAUUUUAUUUACGAGAUAGUUUAUCUUAUCCAGAAAAUGAUUUCACAGAUUACAUUAGUAUACAAUUUGAAAAUUUUUAUCACACUGCUCAUCUACUAAUAUUAUGUAUAAAUUUUUCAAAUAAUAUUUAUAAAAUAUAUCAAAUAAAAUAUCCAUAUAUCCAAAUAGAGCCAAAGUUAGGACGGAAUCAAUCCAACUUAGAUUAAAGCAAAACUAAACCAAUUCAUUCAACGAAACCAAUCCGUACCUAACAAAACAUCUUUUAUUAGAGAACUGCCGAAGAGGAUGGACCUGGACCAUUGCUCGUGGGCCUACUACUGUGUAGGAGUAGAACCAUGUCGGUCCACCGAAGAGGAUGGACCUGGACCAUGUCUCGUGGGCCUGCUACUAUGUAGGCGGAGAACCAUGUCGGUCCACGAGAGCACCUAAUCUUUUAAAAUUUUUUUUAAUAGAAUAAAUUUUUUUAAAAAAAAUAUUAUUUAUUUAUGUAGAAUUAAUGACUAGUUAUUGUAAUAGAAUAAAAUUUUUUCAUUAUUGUAAUAUUUUUUUAAAAAAAAGAUUUUUUUUUCAUUAUUGUAAUUAAAAUUUUUUGAUAUGUCUCUGAUUUCUCCAUCUUAUUAUGGUACAAAUUAAGAGAACGCUACAGUACUAUUAUAUACAACCCUUAGUAAGGAUAAGAUAUUGAUGUGGCUAGGUCUAGUUAGGCUAAACGGCAAGCCCUUAUUUCCACCCUAGUGUGCGCGCAUGCAGAAUUGCAUUGCGUAAAGAGACACAUGAUCCAUUUUACAGUACUGAGCAACAAUAGUUCACAAUAAUUAAGGAGCACAUCCGAUUAUAGAUACUCAAACUUACAUACUCACUGGGCACACCGAAACAGAACAGAGACCACAAUGUCGAAGCAAGCUUAGCUAUUGGAUGCAGCAAACGUCGAUCCUUAUUUAUGUAAGUUAAGCAAAUAAGAUAGCAAACUGCAGUGCAUUGCUAAAUCAUUUACUUCCGACUUAUUCGUAGCUUCAAGUUUCAGAAACCAUCUUAAUAACUGCGACAUUAGCCCCUGAUUGUAGAGUGGGAUAGAGAGGAUCCAUGGCGAUUCCACAUAAUCCAGACGAAGACACACCUCUCGCCAUACGGACGUAUCCACGUUCACCCCAUGAGCUACCCCAUGAGUUCUUUACAAUCCAAUAUUGUGUUCCACUGCUAUCCUGCCCGUAACCUAUAAUGGUGAUGGCAUGAUUGAGACUAGUUCCACAAGGUCCACUAAACACACCGCCAUUGUAAUAUUGAAAGUUGUCUCCACUGGCAUCGAUAGCAGCAGCUAUUGGUUGAUUCCACACAGCGUACUUCAUGCUGCUUUCGUCGUUGCUUCGCACAUAUGAAUAACCAGUAAUGUAAGCUGAAUUGGGCCAGCUAUUGGCGGUGCAAUCGCCUUCGUAUGCUUGAUAAGGAUAGUCAGCUUCGGAGGCCACACCGUUGUUAGAUAUGAUGAAAUCGUAGGCAUUGUCCACAAAGCCGCCGUCGCACCCAUUGCUAACAGCACAAUCGAGAACUUCUUGCUCCGAUAGAGAUACUAAGUACCCUGUUACGAUCUUGUAGAUUCCUUCCACCGUCGCAAUUGCACUGAAUGCCCAGCAAGAACCUAUGCCGAAACAAAGAUAUGUGUUAGCAUAACUGCUGCACGCAAAGUUAUAUAUGAGAUUGCCAUGAUAUAAGGAAACAUUCAAACUAACAAAAUUAGCUGUUAUUUGCAAGUACAGAGCUGCUUUUAACUUGUUUUCAAUGGUUGUCAUGCAUAUGGAUGUCCUGUUCUGACUAACACGUACUUUGCUUACUUUGCUAGUAUGAUUAUUGUGAUUAUUAUAGUAACUUAAUUAAUAGUAAGAGACUCAGCAAAUAGACUUAACGUGUAGAUAGAUUGAAUCAAGUCGAAGCUUGUGAAUAUUGUGGUUGAGUCCUUAAAUGCGAUGGAUGUGUCUUUUUUAUCACCACAUACGUGUUUCUGGGAUAGUUGAUUAGCACUUAAAGAUGCAUUCGAUAGCUAAUCUGAUUUUUCAUUAACUAGAUUCAAUACUUCAUUUCUUUGUGCAUUGAUAAUAUGUGAUAAUCCAUGUUUAGACACUUUUAAUCAGCCGAAGUAAUGGAAUUAUUGAGUUUUAGUGGGCGGAAAUUUGGUCCUUUUGUCCAGAAAAGGCAGAAGGCAUUCGGUAGCAAGCAUAUUUGAUCUAAGCAACAUGUUAGCAGCAUCUUAUAAAGUUAACUAAGAAUAGAUAUUUUACUUUUUUCUAGCUAAAGAAAUGAAGUUGCAUUGACAAUUUAUAGUCUAAAUUAUUUCUUACCACAGGGGUUUUGGUCUUUGACCUCUGUUACGGCACCAUAGUCUCUCCAAUCAAUACUUUGACCCACCGCAGAGAUGUUUACGUCAUCAAAUGACACCACUGGCUCUCUCUUGAAAUUUAGUGGGAGAGAUACACCAGUAUAUUGAGUAACAAAUUCGUUAUUUGUCAUAUCGGUAAACUUAUUGAUACCGAGAGUGUAUGAAUUUCCGUUGCGAUUGUUAAAGGUUUCGAUAUGAUUCACGUUGUUCUUGAAUAUCUGAAACCGGCGCAUCUUCUCGUCGUUGUCCUUGUACACUCGGCCGUACUCUGCCAUCCAUUCUUCAAACCGCUUCAUCAUGGGAUCACUGGGUUCGUCACGAGAAGCUGCCGAUGGCGAAGCCCACAUCACACAGAGAAACAAGAAAAGAAACACGAGUUGAACUUUGGAAGCCAUGCUUAUGUAGCACUAAAUAUCUAGUAUAUGUAUGAGGAAAUUGGAGAUCGAGCUACAAGAGCUUUUGGUGCUGAGAGUAUGGUGUCAAGAUCGAGUUUAUAUAGAAGUUCAUGCCUUGGAAUGUAGGUGUGAGAAUUAAUGGGCGGGGCCUACAAGAUGUCACAAAUUGUCAUCAAAUUAACAUUAAAUAGUUCUGGACAGCUUGCGGCACCACGUCGUGUGGUCACUAGUGUAGUGAUUCACUUAUUACGCCGGGCAGAUACUAUUGAAAUAAAAAUUUGUAUAAAAUAAAAUAUCAGUUUAGCAUGAAAAAUAGUAAAUAUAGUUUGUAUUAUAAACAAACACUUCUAAACAAAAUAAAACUAAAAUAAAAAAAAAAUUAAUCAUUCCAAUAAAAUUAUUCAAACUUGUUAAAAAAUAAUCGCAUAUCAUACAAAUGAAUGAUUAAAAUUAUUUUUAUAAUACAAUAAUCAAAUAAAAUAUCAUAUAGCAGUUAAUAUGACUAAAAAAAAACUCACAAUAAUAUGCAAGACAAUAUAUAGAGUGAGGCUACUAUGCUAUCGGAAGCACGGAGCCUUCCGUGCUUCCAGCUCGUUUUUGAUGUUGCAACUUUUGAAUUGUCGAUCGACUCCGUUAAAUUUGAUCUAGAGUAUUUUGAGUACCUAGAAAAUAAAUUUUAUUAUUUUUCGAUAUCAUUUGCCUAGUGAUCGAAUGGGCUCAAAAUCAACAAAUUUCAAUGGCCGUAGUGAGCCGUUUGCAACUUUAACGGUGUAGAAAUAUCCAAAUAAGGUGAAAUUUUGAUAGAAAAUUCUUUAUACUAUAUAAAACAAGAUUAAUAUCUUUGAUUUAAAAUUUUAAUGUCAUAUUAUUACAUUUUGUAAGAUUUUUAUUUUCAGCCGUUGAUUUUGAGCCCCUUCGUUCACUAGGCAAAUGAUAUCGUAAAAUCAUAAAAUUUAUUUUCUAGGUACUNACUACUUGAAAUAUCAAGAAACCAAAUUUUAAAUCUUUUCGAUAUUAUUUAAAAUUUUUUAAUGUAUAAAUUUUUAAAAAUAGACAAUCGGUGUUAUAAUUUUUUAAUGUAUAAAUUUGGUUUAAAAUUUUUUAAAAUAGACAAUAGGCAUUAUUAAUAGACAAUCGGCAUUAUAAUGUAUAAAUUUUUUAAAAUAGACAACCGGCAUUAUAAUUUUUUAAAAUAGACAAUCGGCAUUAUUUAAAAUUUUUUAAUGCAUAAAUUUUAAAUCUUUUUGAUAUUAUUUAAAAUAGACAAUCGGCAUUAUAAUUUUUUAAUGUAUAAAUUUUUUAAACUUUAUAUAAUUAUAUCAAACAAAUUAAGUUUUAAUUUUAAAAUUUUUUAGAGGAUAAUUAGUUACAUAUUUUGUUCAUUUUGAGAUCUUCUUUUAUCCCCGAAUAAAAUCUAAUAAGAGAUGUAGUGCCAACAUGCAUGUGCUGAGCCUUGAAAACUUUUAGAAUGUAUCCGUUAUAUUUAUAAAAUGACAUCUCUAACCAAUUAAAGAAUUUCUUUUAAAUUUAUUCGUUUCAUAAUAAUUAUAAAAAAUAAAUUUUCUUAUAUUUUCAAAAAAAUUAUAAUGAAUUUUUAUUAAUAAUGUGAUGUAAGUAUCAUAUAGUAGGCUUUCUCGGCCAUGCCAGCUAUAACGCGUUUCCGCACAGAUAACUGCAGUUCAUUCUAUAUUAUUAGGAAGCAUUUUGCUCGUCCUUUGAUUGGACAGAUGCAAUCAUGAGGGGGACACCUCCACUCCGUACACAAGAGUCAUUGCAGCUGAUGUGUUGUUUAGUACUGGAAUUAUUACCAGAGCACGUGUUGCACAUACGGAGGAGUAGUGAUAAGAAAACUCUCAUAAAUUAUUAAUACCGUACAGACUCUCUUAAAUUAUUAUAAAUAUUAGGGAUAACUUCAAAAAAACCCCCUGUGGUUUCGCAUUUUCUCACUUUAGUACCCUAUGGUUUAAAGUGUAUCAAUUUGCCCCCCUGUGGUUUUGUUUUUCUCUUUUUUUUUACCAAUUUUGUUGUUUUUUUUUAAUCAGUAACAAAAUUAAAAUUAAAGGGUACUAAAGUAAAUAUUCGAUAAAUCUAGAUGGAUAUCUGAUGUUUUUUUGUAUAUAAUUUAACAAAAUAUUAAGAAAAAAGCUAUAGAAAAGAUAAAAACAAAACCACAGGGGGGCAAAUUGAUACACUUUAAACCACAGGGUACUAAAGUGAGAAAGUUGGAAACCACAGGGGGUUUUUUUGAAGUUUCCCCUAAAUAUUACAGAUAACUUUCAAGCGAUUAGUCUCUAUCCAAAAUAAUGGUGAUAAUUACGCUUCCUGCUUCCGUUUUGAGUUGCGCAUCUCAAAAUACUUAUUUUACCAUGAAUUGAGCUAGAAUAUUUUUAAAAACACCAUACUAUUAUUUUUUUUGGUGCUUCUAAAUUUUUAGUCAGUGUAUCUACUUCCUAAUUAUUAAUAGCAUUUGGAUCAAACACUAUUCCAUCUAUUACUAUCUACCACCACCUACCACCAUCAUCCCAACCUUAUAUUUCUUCAUUCAAAGGUUAAAAACUCAAAAGAGUAAGAUAAAAGAAUCUUCGAAGUAAACCUAAAAAAUAACAAAAAUAAUUAAAUUUUAAAAAUAUAUAUAACAAAAAAAAAAAAGAUAUGCUCGUUUAAACACUCUAUUUUUCUUCUUCUGAAGAAUCAAACAUCUGAUCGAGUUGACAGCUCGUAAGGCAUUAGUAUUAGCCAAUCUAAAAAUAACGGUGUUCCUUACUGUUUAGAUAACUCUCCAACUGACUGUCAGUUCAGUUAUUCUAUUUCACAAAAUUUAUAUGGGCAAUCUGGACCCAUUGGUCCUUGCUCUCCCUAUUGGAAGAGCAGUAAGAUUUUUUUUUGGUGCACCCGGUGCACUAGUUCGUUUUAUAAUUUUAUUUUUUAUUUUUUAAUUAUAAUUUAAUAAUAUAUAUUAUGAUUUUAAAAUAUAUGUAAAAGAAUUUAGAAUUUAGGAUUUAAAAAUUCUUUUGCAUAAAUUUUUUAAAUAUCAUAAAAUAUAUAUCUAUUNAGAGGGACAACUUUUCACUCGGUACGCAAGAGUUAUUGUGGCUGCGCUUGUACCUCAUUUAUUGUUGUUGCAUGAUUGAAAUUAUUUAGAGCAUGUGUUGCACAACAUGAAUAAGAAUAAGAGUUUAUGCGCAUAUAUAUAUAUAUAUAUAUAUAUAUAGAGAAAGAGAGAGAGAGAGAGAGAGAGAGAGAUUCUAUAUUUUUAAAAGUACUAAGUUAUUAGUAUUUAUAGAUUUUUGGCCAUUGGAUUAAGAGAUAUGUAGUUAGGAUGAUGUGGGACCCCUAAGAUUAAGUGGGUGGUUGGUUGAAUAGUAUAAUAUAACGGAUGAAAAUAAUCAAAAUGAUAGAUUUAAUGGUAAAAAAUUUACAAGCACCAAGUGCUUGAUACUUUUACAAGUAUCAUAGCUGAACUCAUAUAUAUAUAUAUAUAUAUAUAUAUAGUAGCGGAGCUUUGGUACUAUAGUCUUGUUUUCGAUCUUACGGUAUUCAAUUUAACGAUCCACACUGUUAAAUAUGAUUUAGGGUAUAUGAAGUUCUUAGAAAUAAAAUUUUAGUUUUUUUCGACAUCGUUUACUUAGUAAAUAAAUUAUGUCAAAAUGGACGAUGAAAAUUGAAUAAUCUUUAAAAUUUGAGCAUAGGACUUUUAAAUUCAAGAUCAAGAUGUUAACCUUAAUCUAGAUAGUUUAAAGUAUUUUCUAUCAAAAUUUAAAGAAAUUUAGAUUCUUCUACACCGUUAAACUCCAAACUUGCUAUAGUAGCCAUUGAAAAUUGACAAUUUUGAAAUGGUUUGAUCAUAAAGCAAACUAUAUNGCUCCUUCCCUCUCCCUCUCUCUCUCUCUCUCUCUAAAGAGGUAGAGAACGGAAAGCGUUUGGGAGUAGUGGGAGUACGAAAGAGAUUCGACGAGAGAAAAUGGUGCGGAAGAGGAAAAUUAGAGCAUCGCUCACGCAAGUGCUCCAACAGUGGGAGAAGAUCGUGUGAUAUAGAGAAAGAGAGAGAGAGAGAGAGAGAGGGAGAGAGAGAAAGAGAAGGGUGGCUCUGUCACACAUGCGCGCUUACCAAAGCUAAGUUUUUUUUUUUUUUAGAAAAAUAUAGCAACGUUAUUCGUUUUGAAAUUUUAAUUUAGCAACAUCAUUAAAGAUUAAAAAAAUAUUUUUUACACGAGAAAAUAGUCACCCAAGCUAAGUAUUGAGAUGUACUCUCUGUUAUAUACCUAAUGCCUCUCUCUCUCUCUCUCUCUCUCUAUAUAUAUAUAUAUAUAUAUAUAUUAUUGUUUAGAAUAUUAGCUGUGUAUAUAGUUGUCCAGAUUUCACACUUUGAUCUAUAAUGUGAUUUGAAUACUCAUAAAAGGUUAUCCAUAGCCUUCGAUCAUCCACUUUUAACAUGCACAAGACAGACUGUACGUAAAAUUUACUUUUGUUUAAAUAAAUGAAAGAUGGAAUGGUUAAUUUGAUUUGAAAUUUUGUUUUUCUCCCCUUCAACUCAUUACGUUCUAUAUAUUUGUAGUGGCGUUGAACCACAACAAACAUGUGAGUAAUUUAGAUACAACUUAAAUUUAGUUUUUAAAUUUGUAAAUUUGGUAUAUAUUUAAGACCGGACUCUUUGAAUUAUAUCAUUAUAAUAUCAGAGAGAAAGAGAAAAGCUAAAUUUGUAGAAAACCUCCUUUCAUAUGUUGGAUUUUAUACUUUAUUUUCUUCAAAUUUUCAGGCCAAAUCAUUCUGUACCAACUAAGAUUUUAUAUUAGAACCACUCACCCAAUCAUAAAAUAAGAAGCGAAAACAGCUCUAAUAUCGUGUUAAAGAACUAGAAUCUAAUCUAAAAACUCAAACUGAGUGGUAAAAAUAACCUUCACAUUAGGUAUACUAUUUUAUUUUUAUCUAAAAAGAAUCCAAACACAAGUACUCUAAUAAUAUAAUUUUGUAUUUUGUAUUUCAAUUAUAUGUACCUUCCAUAAAUAUUGACCCUCACAUUACCCCAUAAAUAUUCAAAACAAAUAAAUCUACAAAAAUAUUAUUUUUGAGACAUUUUCGUAUCAUAAUGUUUUUUUUUGAUAGAUAGGUAGCACGAUACCCGUUUUGUUUAUUUCAUUUAGAAAUAACUUAGCAAAAAAUAUGAAUCAACUAAGAUUCGAACUUGGUUCUCUGGUACUAAUCACCAAGCUUUUUGCCACUUGCUCUAGAAACGGUCGGUUUUCGUAUCAUAAUGUUGCACUGGUGAAGUUACCCGCACAUUGCGGCGGGCUGAUACUAUAAGAGACAUAAGAUUGACAAACUAAAAUAUUUUAAAAUAUUUUCACUUGUCAUGAGAAAUCAAUAAAUAUAAAUAAAAGAUAUGAAACGGAUAUAGCAAAAUUUAUAAUUUCAGCAAAUAAAUUACACGCAAUAAUAAAUAAAAAACAGCAAUAGAACACUACUCCAUAUGCACCUUAAUUGUGUUGCUGAUAUCGGAAAGGCGAAUCUUGAUCUCCACUUCUCAUUUACCGCCAUUGUCAGCGACGAGUUCCUCUUUAAUCACGGCAAUACAUAUCUUAUUUUAUUUAUUUUUUUAUAAUAUUUAUUUGUUUAAAUGACAAUGAAUGUGAACAUAUUAAUUAAGAAAUGGACACGUGGGAGGACGAAACAUCACGCGGAUAUAAAAGAUAAUAAAUUCGAUUAUUAGAAAUUAAAAAGAAGGCAAGGAUGAGAGAAGAAGAUAAGGUUGAAGGAGACUUUGUCAUGUGGCAAAUUUUAUGAGGAAUAAUGUAUAGAUAGAUAGAUAGAUACAGAGGUAUAGAUAGAGAUAGAUAUAGAUGUGCAGGUGCAUGACCAUCCCAAUUAUUUUGCAACCAACGUACGUAUUUAAUCCGGUGACAACUCAAAUUUAAUUAUUGGAGCAAGAAAGUGUAUGAAAGCCCCUAAACUAUAGGCGACGUUGAAGUAGCUCCUUCAAUCUGGUUUAAUUCUCCCUCGUUGCCAUAUUUUAUAUUAGCUUAUGGUAUUGAGUCAAUGCUUUGAGGUGUCGCUAAUAUGUUUGUAUUAUCUCUUAAAUACGUAAUUAAUGCAAGAGAUAAACUACACCCUACUCAAGUUUUUUUUUUCCCUUCUAAUUAGCUGUCGAAGAUUAACUAAAUAUGGACAGUUGAAAGAAACAUUUCUCUACUUUUCUAUUUUUUCUAAAUCUCUUACAUUUUCUCUUAGAUGUACGCAUGGUACGAUAGUCUUUAUAGUUCUAGUUCUAUCACUAUAACAAAGUAUAUUUUAGAUAAUAUUUUUUGGACGACGCUCUAUUAUAACAUCUUCAAUAUUUGGUAUAUAUCAACAGUAUGAUUAAACUUUGUCAAUAAAUAUAUUUUUAUUAAAAUACUAAUAAAUUUUUCGACACUAAAAGUGCAGAAGAUAAGAUUUAUGCCCCUUGUUCACCCUUAUCUUGACCACAUGUUGCGGUCUAGGUUCUGGGGUGAAGAAGAUCUGCAUUAUUGGGCUUUUUGUCUUUACUAUUUUCUUGACCAUUUGGGCAAUAGAAUUAAGCUCCUAUAUUUUUAAAAGUGUAAGCUAUUGAUGUUUAUAAAUUUUCGACUUUUGCAUUAAGAGAAGUGCGGUUAGAAUGAAAAUGAUUUUUUAGGAUUGAAUGAAUGGUUAGUUGAAUAGUGUGAUCUAACGGAUGAAAAUAGUUAAAGGAAUAGAUCUAACGGUGGAAAACUUAAUUAUAAGCACAAAGUACUCUUGAGCAAUAUUAGUUUUUAUAAAUUGAUGAAAAUUGUUAUGCAUUUAAUCCUAUAUAAUUAAGUAGUGGGGGUAACUUCAAAUAUUUACCUCAAAAAGUAUAGAAUACAAUAAAUGUCUUUAGAAAAUUGCCAAUAUCAUUUUCCCCGCUAUAAAUUUAUGAAUUAUAGUAUAACAUAUUCAUUCUCAGCUUAAUUAAGAUUAUUUGAUGAAUUUUCCCCUAAUACGUAAUGACAAAUAAUAUUUUGGUAUUCAUAUGGGACCGCUGAAGUAGUUUCUCUUUAAAAAAUUGAAGCUAUAAGUAGUUUUUCCAGUUUAGUUUGCUCAGUUUAUAUUUAUUAUUUAGUUUAUGAAUUCCGUUUUUGUCUACUUCAAUAUCAUUUGAUUAUCAUAUUAUUCAUAAAUGAAAAUGGUGAAUAAAAAAGUGAAAUUGUAUCGUACAAUUUGUGAAUAUAUAUUUUUAGUUUACUUUGUUUAAAUUAGUAAGAUUGUUUUAUUUAAUAUUUGUAUAAUUUAAUUUCUUUCAAUUAACUAGAUUUUGUUCGCUAUGCAUUUACUGCAUUUAUGAAAUUUGAAAGGUAAAAAUAUAUAGUUUAAUAAAAAAGUAUUGAUGAUUGGCAAUGGGCAACGUAGAAAUGUUGAAAGAGUUGUCACUGAUCUUAAUAUUUUGAAUAAUCUUUUUUUUAAAUUAGCUAAAUAUUUUUGGCAUUAUUAUUUUAGAAGAGCGAUCUAUGUAUAUAAUGUGACUAAGGAUUAGAAGAGGGUACGUAGAUAUGAUGUUAUUCCUAGGAAAUACACUAAUUACCUUAACUCUUUGAAUGGUUUAUAACGCGGAAACAUUUUGAUAUAUAAUAUAAAGGGUGUAAACUCGAUCAUUAAUUACUCUCGUACAUUCUAGUUUUGUAUACUACUCCAGCUCCAAGGAGAACACAUGCAACGUUCGUUUCUAAUAAAACUAUAAUAAUAAAAAAUAUAAGAAAGAUAAAAAAAAAAUUAUAGGAAUAAUAAAUUAUAUUUAUAGCACCAUUAAAAGUUGAAAAUAAAAAAAAAUCAUGCCUCAUAGUUCGACACAAAAAUUACAACUAGUUAUGAUUUGAGGACUAAGACAUCACGUGCUUUAUAGUUUGAGUAAGAAAAUAUAAAUUAUUAAAAUUCGAUAACUAAAGUAUCAUGUAUCUUAUAGUGUGAGGACCAAAAGUGUAAUUUAUCGUUUUAUAUUUUAAUUUUAUUCCUGAAGAACACAGAGUUGAGCAUCGAUGAGUUUAAUUUAAUUAGUAAUUUCAUCUGAGAAAAGACUAUGUUAAACUAUCUAAUAAUUUUAGAAUGUCUAAUUGUUAAAAUUAAAAGUCAACCAAUUAUAUUUUGGAUAUUUUAAAAGAUUUUAAAUGUAAAAUUAAUCGCUUAUUAGACUAUAAAUAUGUGAUAUUAAAAUCAAAAUAAAAAACAUAUAGAAUUUUUCUAAACUUUGAAUCAUUUUAAACCAGAUAUCCAAUCUUUCAAAAUUUUAUUUUUACUAUCCAACUUUUUUAUGUAAUAAAUUUGAGUCGGUAAAUAAUAUUUUGACUUCAUGUAAUUUUCCUAUCUAAAUUUAUUAAAAUAACUAAGUAAUUUAGACUCUAUUAAUCUCUCUUUUAUUUUUAUUGUAUAAUUUAUAUCUAAGUGAUCAAUAUUAUGAAAUUAAAAUUUAUAUUUAGUAUAUAUAAUUUAAACUAUUUAAAAAUUAUAUGUAAAUAAUUAAAUAUUUUAAAUUUUUAUAAUAAAAUAGAGAUAAAUUAGAUUAUCUUAAAAAAAAAAAAAAAAAAAAAGCCUCCAAGUUCAAAUUAGUAAACUGAAAAAAAAAAAAAUAAAAUAAAAUAAACUGAGCCGGCCCACCCCACGUUUACCCUGUAACAAAACAGAGUAUAAUCCAUAACAAAACAGAGUAUAAUCCAUACAUGAACCUACCCCUCAAUUUGGAGAAAAGUAGGGCCAAUUUUUUUUCCUCAUUUUUUUUUUCAUUUGAUUAUUGUGUUAUAGAAAUAAUUUUAAUCAUACAUUUGCAUGAUAUGUGACCUGUCUUGAACAAUAAUCAAUAGUUUGGUUGAAACGGUUAAAUUUUUUUUUAUUAUAGUUUUAUUUUUUAGAAAUGUUUGUCUAUAAUGUAGACCAUAUUUACUAUUCUUUGUACUAAACUGAUAUUUUGUUCUUUUCCAAAUUUUUCACUUUAAUGGUAUCUACCCAUUGUAAUGCGCGGAUCGCUACACUAUAUACAAGAACAUGCUUCGGCGUUUUUCAAUGAAAUAGCAGAUUGUGGAAUACGAAAACGUAAUAUUACACACGAAAAUAAAUAAAAUAUCUUUUAAUUUUUCAUCAUAGGUGACACAAUCAUUCAGUAAUUUCAAAGAAAGCGUAAUUGGAUUAGCAUUUAGUGAGUCAGAUUUCGAUUUCUUACAUCAUAUAGUGUGUGGGCAUGUACACAAUUGCACCGCACAGAGAUAUAGAUGGACAAUUCUAAUAACUGCAACACGUACUCUAGCUUUACGUACCGUUGCUUGAUGAUCUUAUUCCUCAAAACAGCAUAAACUUACAAAAUACAAACAGUUGGCUACUAUAUAUUAAGCAGCCAGCGGAACUGACAAUAACACAAAACCAAAACAACAAAUGAAAACAACAAGCCCUACUCGAUCAUACAGAUAAUCCUCGCACGAGCAUCGCCCGUUUUAUUACAUAGCUUAUAAGGUACGUAGCACGAAGGGCACUUCACUGCAUGCAAAAUCGCAGCUUCGAUAACCCUUACAUGGAGCUUACACGAUCAUCCGAACCCAUGUCGGAGGGUUCUGUAGUGCGCUGCGACGAAACCAGAGUCGGGUAAAUACCGUAGCUAGCCAGACCACAUAAUCCAGGAUAUGCCGUGUCUCUUAACAUCCUCACGUAUCCAUUUUCUCCCCACGUGUUGCCCCAUGAAUUUUUUAUUAUCCAAUACUUGUCUCCGGUGCUGCUGUCCUGCCCGUAACCUACGACGGUGACGGCGUGGAAAAUAUUCGUCCCACAAGGUCCUUUAAAGAUACCGCCAUUGUAGUGAUUGAAGUAAUAAGAGCUAGCAUCAAUAGCAAUAACUGUCGGCUGGUUCGCCACAGCAUACAUGAUCGCACGUUCAUUGUAGCUAGGUUGUACCUGUUGAUAGCCGGUAAUAUAAGCUGCGUUCGGUUUGCUAUUUGCAGCGCAAGUGCCUUUAUAUCCUACAUAGGGAUAGUUCGCCUGCGCGGUCACGCCCUUGUUAGCGAUGAUGAAUUCGUAGGCUUUGUGCACCCAACCAGAUGUGCACCCGUUGCUAACAGUACAAUCUAAAACUUCUUGCUCCGAUAGAGAUAUUAGUUGUCCUGUUUUGAUCUUGUAGAUGCCUUCUACCGUCGCGAUUGAAGAGAAUGCCCAGCAAGAACCUAAUUUCAAAACAUAUAUUCAAGUAAUUAGCACAACUGGUACAAGCAAAAGUUUCGUAGAUUAUUAAUUAAGAUGUAAGAAGAACAUUCAAACAAGUAUGGACAAGGUGGAAAUAUUGAUUACUGUAUUACUUUAUUAUCUAUGUUGUUUACUUGUGUGAAAAUGAUUAAUGUCGUCAUACUUCUUGUCAGAAAUUAAUUUUUCUAGAAACUUAAACUAUCGAAGAAUGAUUUCUAAUUAUUAAGAAUUAAUACACCUUACGUGUAAUCUACAAAUUUAUAGAUAGUAGAUGAUAACGUGUGUUCGUACACUUUUAGUUCGUCUGAGACAUGAACCUUGCAUUUAAAUGCGGUAGAGGUUUGAUUUCUUUGUCAACAUAAAUGGCUGAUGGAACAGUGAGAUUUGGGCCCAAGGCAUCCUAUUCUCAUCAGGUUAAUUAAAAAAUAAAAUUUGUAAAGGUUCAGGAUGCUAUAGCUAGAAAUUAAUGUGCUUUAGUUCUCUAAACUCAACACUUGAUUCUUACCGCAAGAGCCUUGAUUCUUGACUGGUGUGACGGCACCGUAAUCCCUCCAAUCAAUGCUUUGAGGUAUCGCGGACAUGUUUACAUCCUCAAACGACACCGAUGGCUCUAAAUUUGUCAUAUUUAGAGGAAGAGAUAGACCGACAUGCUGAGCCACAAUUUCAUUAUUUGUCAUGUCAGCGAAUUGGUUAAUGCCCAGAGUAUACGAGUUUCCGCCACGCCUGUUAAAGGCUUCGAUGCGGUUUACAUUGUCUUUAAAGAUCUCAAAACGGCGCAUCUUCUCAGCAUCGUCACUGUAAACUCGGCCGAAAUCAGCCAUCCAUUCUUCAAACCUCUUCAUCAUCGAAUCAUCUGCUUCGCCGCGAGAAGCCAACGACGAAGCCCACAUCACAGAAAGAAACAAAAAAAGAAACAAUAUUUGGAAUUUGGAAGCCAUAGCUCUGACUUACAAAUGCUUUUGUUGCUGAGAGUUAGGCUCUCCGCAUCGAGUUUAUAUAGAAGUUCUCGGCCCAUGCACUAAAGUUGCUGGACCAUUAAAUNUCGAAUCAUCUGCUUCGCCGCGAGAAGCCAACGACGAAGCCCACAUCACAGAAAGAAACAAAAAAAGAAACAAUAUUUGGAAUUUGGAAGCCAUAACUCUGACUUACAAAUGCUUUCGUUGCUGAGAGUAAGGCUCUCCGCAUCGAGUUUAUAUAGAAGUUCUCGGCCUAUGUACUAAAGUUGCUGGACCAUUAAAUUUUAAUUUUUUAAAAACUUUUUUUAGAGGAAAAGAUACAACGUGCAUGUGAUGAAAUCAUUAAUUAAUUUCUCUCUUAUCCAUUGUUCGAUAGGAAAGUCGCAAUCAAGAGAGGUACAACUUUUCACUCCGUACGCGAGAGUUAUAGUGGCUGAGCUUGCCCCUCCAUGUGUGUUGACGUACGUCGUUGCAUGAUUGAUAAUACAGCAUGCGUUGCACAACAGGAAUUAAAAAUACAGCAUGUGCAUGCGCAACAGGAAUUAAAAAAUACAGCAUGUGUCGCACUAUAGGAAUAAGAAUAAGAGCCGCACAUAAUUUUAAAAUGAUAUAUGUACAUUAACAAAUAUUAUUAUUGUUUACAAUAGCUCUUUUUCUUUUUUUUUUCUUUUUUUUUUGAGAGGAAUCUCAUCAAAAAUAGAGAAUUGUCUAGAUAUCUAUCGUUUCCUGAUGUGUCGAUAUGUUGAAGGUGUUUUGGAUUAUAGUGGCGUUGGACCACAACAUACAUGUGAGUAGUUUAGAUAUCAUGUUAUUUUCUGUAGAUAUUUAAGAUUUCGAUAAAUUGAACUACAUGUCUCUAUUUUUUAAAAAAUUUGAUAUAUAUUUAAGACAUGACUCUUUCAAUUAUAUCAUGCUAGUUCUUAUUCUGAAUAAAAAAAAGGGCUAAAUUUUUUCUGAGUAGAUUUUUCUUUUUUCUUUUUCUUUUCUCUCUCUCUCUCUCUCUCUUUUGAGACCUAGUAGUCUUAUAUUUUGUAGCUAAGUUUAUUUUCGAAAUGAAUGAAGCAGAUAGCUUGCUAUCUUUUUCUCAAAAAAAAAAAAAAAAAAAGCUUAAAUUGAAUCAGUCAAACCUAUCCCCUGCUGUGUAUCAGUUACAACCUCAAUUUUAAAUAUGUUGAAAGGCAAAUUGCACUAAUAAUCUCAACAAACUUCUAUUUUUAGUCCUCAAUUUUAAGUUUUCAAUAUUUGGGACUCGUGACUAUCCAUUCUAGUGCUUAGUUAAAAAAAGUAAAAAAUACAAAAAAUUACGAGCAAAUUAAGCUAAAUUGUAGAAAAGCUCCUUACAUAUGUUGGAUUUUACACUUUUUCUUCAAUAUUUAAACUAUCAGCCAAAUCAUUAUAUACUUUACAACCACUCGCACCAAUAUAAAUUAAGAAGCGAAAAAAGUUCUAAUAUCGUGUUAAAGAACUGAAUCUAAUCAAAACAAAGUCACGGUAAAGAUAACUCUCACAUUAGAUGUACUAUUUAAUAUUAUCUAAUAAUAUAACCAAACAAGUACUCUAUAGAUGAGCGUACAUGCUAUCAGAAGCAGUCGAUGAGCUUCCCGUGCCUUCCAAGUCGUUUUGACUGUUGCGACUUGCGAAUCGUCGAUCGACUCCGUUAAACUUGAUCUAGAGUAUUUGAAGUACCUAGAAAAUAAAUUUUAUGAUUUUACGAUAUCAUUUGCCUAGUGAACGAAGGAGCUCAAAAUCAACGGCUGAAAAUAAAAAUCUUACAAAAUAUAAUAAUAUGACAUUAAAAUUUUAAAUCAAAGAUAUUUAUCUUGUUUUAUAUAGUAUAAAGAAUUUUCUAUCAAAAUUUCACGUGAUUUGGAUAUUUCUACACCGUUAAACUUGCAAACGGCUCACUACGGCCAUUGAAAUUUGUUGAUUUUGAGCCCAUUCGAUCACUAGGCAAAUAAUAUCGAAAAAUAAUAAAAUUUAUUUUCUAGGUACUCCAAAUACUCUAGAUCAAGUUUAACGGAGCCGAUCGACGAUUCGAAAGUCGCAAUAUCGAAAACGAGUUGGAAGCACGGAAGGCUCCGUGCUUCCGAUAUCAUAGUAGCCUCACUCCUCUAAUAAUAUAAUUUUGUAUUUUGUAUUUCAAUUAUAUAUACUUUCCAUAUUGACCCUCACAUUACCCCAUAAAUAUUCAAAACAAAUAAAUCUACAAAAAUAUUUUUUUUUGAGAUAUUUUUGUAUCAUAAUGUUGCAUGUGCAUGUGCAUGUGCAUGACUUUUCAAAUUGCCUGGGACAAAAAUAUUAUAUGUUUGGGGACUUUGCGGAUCGGCGCCACGUGGUCGAUUCAAUGGUCACGGAUCUCAGUUGCUUUUUCUCUCUCUCUAAAAACACAGAAUUUUUUUUUUGUCUUUCCAUCCGUGGCCAUCGGAUCGGCCACGUGGCACCAAUUUGCAUAGUCCCAAACACAUGCCCAUAAAAUUUUUGUACAAUUGUCUGGGGGCCAUCCCAAUAAUUUUGCAGCCAACGCAUUCAAUGCGGUGACAACUUAAAUUUAAUUAUUGGAGCAAGAAAAUGUGAAACCCUUAAACUUUAAGCGACUUUGAAAUAGCUCCUCAAUAUGGUUUUUCCCUCAUUGCCAUGUUUUAUAUUAGUUUAGGGUGUGUUUAGUUCUACCUAAAAUUGUUCCAAUUUUUUUUUUUCGGUUGAAAAGUAAAAUCUCAAAACAGAACCAGAAACCAUAAUGUCGAAGCAAACAACAGAACCAGAAACCAUAAUGUCGAAGCAAGCUUAGCAAUUGGAUGCAGCAAACAUCCAUAUUUAUGCAAGUUAAGCAAACAAGAUAGCAAACUGCAGUGUUGCUAAAUCAUUUGCUUCCCACUUAUUAAGAUGAGCACAAUGUCGAAAAAAUAUUAUUAUUAUACUUUCAAAAAUACAAUUAAUUUAUUAUUGAUAAUGUGGUAUAAAUAUGAUACGGUAAAUUUUCUCAUCGUCAUUUGUUUGGACCGAUACGAUGUAAUCGGGAGGGGUACAACUUUCACUCUUACGCAAGAGUUAUUGCUGUUGAUGUGUUGUUUAUUGGGACAAAAGUUUUAUAGGCAUAGUGCUCAAACUAAUUAAUUUGGAGAUUAUGCGGACUGAUGCCACGUGGCCGAUCCGACGGCUACGGAUGGAAAAAAAAAAAAAAAAAAAUUCGUGAUUUUAGAGAGAGAAAAAAAAGCACGGAGAAUCCGUGCCCGUCAGACUGCCACAGGGCGGCCGUAUCCGCAUAGUGCCCAACCAAACUAAUUAAUUGAGCACUACAGCCCAUAAAAUUUUUGUCCGUUUAUGGAAUUAUUUUUUCAGGAGAAGAAUGACGCUAAUCUGCUACCAUAAUAAAGAGGGUGAAUUAAUAGCUACAAGGAUGAGGACAGCAACGUGUCACAGAAAGAGAGACAGAAAAAAAAACAACGAAAAAAAACAUAGGAAGGUAGUUUCGAUUACAAGACCCAAAGAAUGUUCCAAGAGUUUUAUUGGAAUGAUACGCGAAUCAUGUUUGCACAACGGGAGGAGGAGCAAAUAAGAGAGCAAGCAUAAAAAUUACAACGCGAUUCACGCUCUCUUAAAAUAUUAUAAAUAUUUACAAAAUACCUUUUAAGCGAAAAUAGUCCCAUCAAAACAUAUGUUGAGAGUUACAAAUAAGGACGUGUUUUGGUUCGCUUUUUUUUCGCGCCUGGAAUCAAACUUCGAAAUCGGAAUGGGUAAAUCACAUUUGUGGGUGUUGGUACGGCGGAGUGCCAUCCAAUUCCCGAUGCCCGAGUGGACAUGGAAUCCCCCAAUCACUCUCUUUUCAUUCCGCGGCUUAGGAGGCCGAAUUGAAAUUGAAUCCGACGGAAUGAUAUUUAAUUCGGAUUAAAUUUAUUUUUAAUUGUUUUUAAUUAAACAUAGAGUUAAAAUCAAAAUUAAAAAUAUAGUAAUUUUUAAAUUUAAUUUAAAACCUAAAUUAAAAUUAAAAUGUAAAUCAAAGUAUUUCGAAUACUAAACUUAAUGAAUUGAAUUUAAAAAUUAAAUUUUAAAAUUUAUAUAAAGUUUUAUUCAAAUUUAUUGCAACCCUAAAUUAAAUUUAUGAUUCAAAUUAAAAAUUUAAAUUUGUAAAUUUUAAGUUGAAUUUGAAUAAAUCUAAAUUUAUUUCAUAUUUUUAAUUCAUCACACUCACUUAAAGUUUAUUUUUUUAAAAAAAAUAGAUUUUAAAUUUGACAUUAUUCAAAUUUUGAUAUAAAUUUUAAUAUUUAAUUUUAAUUUGAAUUUAAAUUAUAUAUGAAAAGAUAAUGUUAGUAUAGUUAAUUGAUUACUUUUUAUAUCCACCUGAACCAAACACUGAAUAAGGAAUGAUUUAUGCGAUUCCGAUUCAAGGUAUUAAACCAAAUCAGGGAAUAGUAAGAGCAAUUAACAAUUCCGAUUCCAGCUUUUGGAUUCCGAUUACGCGAUUGCCGACUCCGAUUUUCGAACGACAAACACUGCCCUAUUACCAUUGACUUUUACCAUUGACUAUUAUAUAUCUAUUAAUAGUCGGCUUAAAUUUUUAUAGUGAUAUCAAUAAAAAGGGGGGCGACGAUAUUGCCCAGGCCAUUCAUUGAAGAGGACAUGACCCUACAUAUUUUUGAAAUGCCCUCUAAAUAUUUUAUGCAAUACAUUUAUAUCAUCAUGCAUCACAAUGAAUAAUUAAAAAUAAAAAUAAAAAUAAAAAUUAGAAUUAAAACUAAAAUUAAACUUUUAAUGUAAAUAAAAGUGCAAUCAAAUUUAAAUCUAAAUUUAAAUUGAAAUAAAUAAAACUAAUUCAACAUCUAAUUUGACAAGUAACAUUAGUGAAUUCUUAAUUGGAUUCAAUUGAAUUUUCAAAUUCGAAUUACAUUUGAGUGCAGCUAAGAUCAAAGUUUAAAUGAAAAUUGACCAAAUAAUGUAAGCUGAAAUGCAGCUAUUGCGUUACAAGUGCCUGGUAAUGCUUGAUAAGGAUAGUAAAGCGCGCUUCGACAGGUCACCCGUUGUUAGAUAUUAUGAAACGUAGCCUUGUCCACCCAACCGCCUGCACCCAUAGUCCGUAGUUUAAUAAUACAACAGCACAAUCGAGAACUUCUUUCUCCGAAAGAGAUACUAAUCCCUGCUUUGACUUGUAGAUCUCUUUCACUGUCGCAUAUUGCACUGAAGCCUGCAAAACCUAUGCAGAACAAAGUUUUACGUAGCAUAACUAACUAGAGACAAAGUUAUAUAAUGAUAUACGCAUGAACUAAGGAAACAUUCAAACUAACAUAAUUAACGUUAUUUGCAAGUACAGAGCGCUUUUAACUUGUUUAAGAUUUUGAGUGUUAUAAAAUUGUCACCUAAAAGAUAUUGGCGGUUUGAACUCUCAUACACGACAUGUUUCAAAAUUUAGAAAAUUAACUAGUAGAGGAAAAAGUACAGACUAGAGGAUCACAUUUCGGAAAUUCUGAAGAUGAUUUUUCGGCCAAUCCAGAUUCGCAGCACACAUUAGAACAAAAUAAUGAUUUGAACACUCUAACAAGAUAUAGCAGUGUUGCGCACUUUAAUAUGCACAAACAUAACUAUACGAAGUAUGUUGUAUACAUUAAAUUUACUAUGUCCAAAUAAUAGGUUAAAGAUGGAAUACGAAUGAGAUUGAUUUCUUUUUUUUCCGCUACAACUCAGUUAGGUUUUGUUCUUUUACAGUGGCGUCCGACCGCAAACAUACAUCAUACCGAUUAUAUACUCAGAUCCAAUUUUAUUCGAACCAGAUAAUAUAGAAUUUGUAAUGCACUAUAGUCCUAAAACCUUAAUUAGUUAGGCUAAAUAAGAAAAAUCCUCUUGUUAACCAUCUGUUUUCACUUCCUCCAUGCUGCAUUUAAAAAUCUAUAACCUUGCGCCCCCCUAAAAAUAAAAAAUAUUCAUAUUCGGUUCCUGCCGUCAGUUUCUAGUUGAGGUUCCAUUUCAUAUCUUAUUUUUGUAAUUCAAAAUAUUUCUGAAUUCUCAUCUACUAUCCACACACCAUGACCGCCUCGCUCUGCCCACUCCCCUUCAUAGCGUAGAUGCAUCCACGCCUGCUCUCUGCCGCCUGGAAUGACAAGAUUGGGGAACAGAAAUAAAGAAAAGUAGGAACAUUUGUUCAUCUUUAUCACACCAAUAUCAUUCUAUAAAUACGUUUUUAUUUUUCGAUAAAAAAAGCAAAGUAUCAUGAUUUUUUUUUAAAAAAAACAAGAAAAACGGCUUUGCUAAAGGUUUCAUAUAAUAGCCAUUUAAUUAAUGCGAGCAACAUUCGCAAACUGAAAAAUGCUAGAAUGCACGGUUAUAAUUAGUGACCGUACGCGGCAUAACAAACCAAUUACAUUAAUCCUUUUAAAAAUAUAUGUCCGCAUCAUGAAUGUAAAGAGUAUUUAUUGUACUUUAUUUUGAAAAGAUGAUAUGAUUGGCUUUUAUGAGACGUGGUGCAAAUGUGACAGUGAGAUUCCUCUUCCAAACAUAAGGCACGCCCUCAGCUCAAACAUUCCAAACUAGGUCCAAACGUUCUUCUUUUUUUAAAAAAAAGUUGAGUUUUGUUUUUAUUUUUUUGAUAAUUAGAUUAAAAUAUUAUAAGAUUUUUAUCAGAUUUUCCUGUGAUCCAUCAAAUUUAAACAGUUGACCAUUCUGCAUUGAACUUAAUAAUUACUAAAAUUCAAGAUAUAUUUAUCAAAUAUAUCAAAUAAAAAUUCAUAUAUUUACAUAGGCGAAGGUACGUAGGACGUAAUGCAUCCCAAAUGGAUUAACCAAGUUCAUCGCAUCGAAACCAAAACGCAUACUUAACAAAAAACGCGUCUUUUAUUUAGUAACUGCCAAAGAUGAAGAACCAUUUCGGUCAGAGAACACCUAAUAUUUUUAAGUAAGAUUCAAAAAACCUCCAUGUGAAUUCGUAGUUUCUCACUGUUGCCUCCCUGUGUUUAAAAUGUAUCAAUUGCUCCCCCGUGUUCUUUUUCUCUUUUUUAUCAUUGCAUUUAUUUUUUAUCUUAAUCAGUCUAAAGUUAAAAUAAAAGUAUAAAAUAAAUAUUUGAUAACUCUAGAUGGAUAUCUGAAGUUUUGUAUAUAAUUUGAUGAAAUAUUAAGAAAAACUACCAAAAAAUAAAAAUGAAACCACAGGGGGCAAUAUUGAUACAUUUUACACCACAGGGAGGUAAGUGAAAAACUACGAAACCAUAGAAGGGAGUUUUUGAAGUUUUUCUUUUAAAAAAAAAAAAUUAUUUAAAUAGACUAAUUUUUUUAAAAAAAUAUUAUUUAUUUAUGUAAUUCAAUGACUAUAAUUGUAAUAGAAUAAAUUUUCUCAUUUAUUGAAUAUUUUUUUAAAAAAAAUUUUUUUUUAUUGUAAAUUUUUGAUCCGUCUGCUGAUCUCCAUCUAUUAUGGUCAGAAUUGAGAGAAAGCUAGAUACACAAGCCAUUGCAUAAGUUACAGAUAUGGUGUGGCUCAGUCGAGUAGGUUAACGGCAAACCCUUAUUUCCACCCAUAGUUGGCCGCACAUACACAAGUUGCAUUGCAUAAAGAGACCAUGUGAUCCAUUUAUAGUACUAACCAAGGCACACUAGUCCACAUAAAUGAAGGACACAUCAUUAUAGAUUUCAAACUUAACAUACUGAUAGAGACACACCGGAAACAAAACAGAAACCCACAAUGUCGAAACAAGCUAGCACUUGAUGCACGCAAAAUCCUUAUUUAUGUAAGAAACGCAAAUAAGUAGGCAAACUAGCAGGUCGAAAAAAUCAUUUGCUGUUCCGACUUAUUACGUAGCUUCAAUUUCAGAAACCCAUCUUAAUAACUUCGGCAUUAGCCCUGAUUGGAAGUAGGAAUAGAGGAGACAUGCGAUUCCACAUACUCCAGAAGACGAUACACAACUCUGCCCAUAACGACGUAUCCACUUCUCCCCCCAUGACUGCCCCCACGAGUCCUUACUAUCUAAUAUUUUUAGUUCCACGGCUAUCAUGCCCGUACCUAUAAUGGUAAUGGCAUGAUUAGAGACUAGUUCACACAGGUCCGGCGCUAAACACAACCCCAUUGUAAAUUGAAAGUUUCACUGGCAUCGAUAAGAGCACUAUGUUGAUUCGACACAGCGCGUACAUAUGCUGCGUCAAUCGUUCCUUCGCACAUAUGAAUAACCAGUAAUGUAAGCUGAAUUAGAACAGCUAUUGGCGUUUGGCAAGUGCCAUUGAGCUAUGCUUGAUAAGGAUAGUUUUUCGUGGUCACACCGUUGUUUAUGAUAUGAUGAAAUCGAGGCCUUGUUCACGAAACCUAGCCGCCUUUGCAACCGCUACUACAGCACAUCGAGGAACUUCUUGCUUCCGAUAAAGAUACUAAGUUACCCCUGUUUUAUCUGUAGAUUCCCUCACCGUCGCAAUUGCACGAAUGACCAGCAAGAACCUAUGCCAAACAAAAGAUACGCGUUAGCAUAACGACGAAGCAAAGUUAUAUCUGAGAUGCAAUGAUAUAACGAAUAUCCUCACAACUCAACAAUAAUAUAAAUGUUUUUGGCAAUACAGACUGCUUUUAACUUUAUUUCAAACGGUUUGUCAAGGCAUAUGGAGUCCUGUUCUUUUUGACUACAACGACUUUGGCUUACUUUAUAUAACUGAUUAUGGCAUAACUCAAUUAAUAGUAAGAGAACUCAGCAAAUAGAGCUAAUUGCAAAUAGAUUGAAUCAAGUCGAAGCCUGUGAACAUUGUCCUUGAAUCCUUAAAUGCGAUGGAUGUGUCCUUUUUAUCACCAUGUAUGUAUUUUUGGAUAGUUAAUUAACACUUAUAUAUACAUUUGAUGGCUAAGUUGAUUUUUUAUUAACUAGAUUCAAUACUUCAUUUCUUUGUACAUUGAUAAUGUGUGAUUAUACAUGUUUAGACACUUUUAAUCAGCCAAAGUAAUGGAAUUAUUGAGUUUUAGUGGGCGGAAAUUUGGUCCUUUUGUCCAGAAAAGGCAGAAGGCAUUCGGUAGCAAGCAUAUUUGAUCUAAGCAACAUGUUAGCAGCAUCUUAUAAAGUUAACUAAGAAUAAUUUUUUUUUCUUUUUUCUAGUUGAAGAAAUGAAGUUGCAUUGACAAUUUAUAGUCUAAAUUAUUUCUUACCACAGGGGUUUUGAUUCUUGACCUCGUUUACGGCACCAUAGUCUCUCCAAUCAAUACUUUGAGGCACCGCGGAGAUGUUUACGUCAUCAAAUGACACCACUGGCUCUCUCUCGAUAUUUAGUGGGAGAGAUACGCCGGUAUAUUGAGCAACAAAUUCGCUUUUUGUCAUAUCGGUAAACUGAUUGAUACCGAGAGUGUACGAAUUUCCGUUGCGACUGUUAAAGGUUUCGAUAUGCUUCACGUUGUUCUUGAAUAUCUGAAACCGGCGCAUCUUCUCGUCGUUGUCCUUGUAAACUCGGCCAUACUCCGCCAUCCAUUCUUCAAACCGCUUCAUCAUGGGAUCACUGGGUUCGUCACGAGAAGCUGCCGAUGGCGAAGCCCACAUCACACAGAGAAACAUGAAAAGAAACACGAGUUGAACUUUGGAAGCCAUGCUUAUGUAGCACUAAAUAUGUAUGAGGAAAUUGGAGAUGGAGCUACAAGAGCUUUUGGUGCUGAGAGUAUGGUGUCAAGAUCGAGUUUAUAUAGAAGUUCAUGCCUUGGAAUGUAGGUGCGAGAAUUAUUGUGUGGGGGCCUACAAGAUGUCACAAAUCGCCAUCAAAUUAAGAUUAAAUAGUUCUGGACCGCUUGCGGCACCACGUCAUGUGGUCACUAGUGUAGUGAUUUGCUUAUUACGUCGGGCAAAUACUAUUGACAUAAAAAUUGGUACAAAAUAAAAUAUCAGUUUAGUAUGAAAAAAUAGUAAAUAUAGUUUAUAUUAUAAACAAACACUUCUAAACAAAAUAAAACUAAAAUGAAAAAAAAUUAAUCAUUCCAAUAAAAUUAUUCAAGCUUGUUAAAAAAAAUCGCAUAUCAUACAAAUGGAUGAUUAAAAUUAUUUUUAACUUGGGAUGUCUCCACCAGAUGGAUGCGAGGCAGAGACUCAUUGUCAGGAGCAGCAAGAGCACUUUUCGACUUAUGCUUUGUUGGAGCUUGUUGGGAACUUUGGAAGGAACGGAAUUCACGGAUCUUUUAGCAACCAACACUCGACGUACGACGAACUAGGAAGGAUUGUUGUUUCCAUCGUAAAGUUCUGGGAAUCUAUUUUGGGGUCCUAAUUGUGAAUCGUUUUGUUUGUUUUACCCUGUUAAUUAGUGGUCCUGUUCUGUUAAUUAGUGGUCCUGUUGUGCUUUCUGAAGUUAGCUCAAGGGGCCUUCUUAGGGAAAGCCAAGCUAGCUCUGCUAUCUUAAGAUGUAUUCUCUGUUUCAAAUAUAGUAUAUUCCUGUUUAAUCAAAAAAAAAAUAUUUUUAUAAUACAAUAAUCAGAUAAAAUAUCAUAUAACAGUUGAUAUGACUAAAAAAAACUCACAAUAACUGACCGUUCCUAGAGCAAGUGGCAAAGGGCUUGGUGAUUGGUACCCGAGGUCCCAAGUUCGAAUCCUAGUUGAUUCACAUUUCCAGCUAAGUUUAUUUCUAAAUGAAAUAAACGAAGCGGGUAGCAUGCUACCUAUCUAAAAAAAAAAAAAAAAAAAAAACUCACAAUUAUACGCAAGACAAAUACUAUAUAUAUAAACAUAUGUAAUUCGGUCUAUCGACAGACUAUUUUUUAGCGGAAAAAAAAAUGAUUCACUUCUUACUAAAAUAAAUAAUGUAAUGAAAAAAACUUUUAAUACUUUUUAUCAUCUAAAAUAGAAAAAAAUAUACUUAUUCAAAAUUUUGUCAACCGAAAGAUAUUACUAUAAAUCUAUAUUUUAAUUCAAAAUUAUUUAAUAUUUUUUUAUCUCUAAAAAUAAAAAAAUUCAUACUAUUCAAAUUUUUGCUACAAUAUCUAAUGUAAAUCUAUAUUUCAAUUCAAAAUUUAAAAUUAAUUUAAAAUUUAAAUUUAAAAUUUGAGAACUAUCAACAUAUUAAAAUAAUUUUAAAUAUUUUUUUUUCCAUAUUAUAGUGAACGAUUAUACUUAAUUACCAUUAGAAAAUAAAGAAGUUACCUUAAUUUAUAUGAUUUUACUCCAACCACUUUCAUCUACUAGCAUGCUCCAGUUCCCAAAUGUGUCUAAAUUAGAAGACAAUCCAAAUAUGAAAGCGACGAUUAGAAGUUGACAACUAAAGUUAAUUUAAUCGUUAAACUUCAAUUUACUCUCCGCUGAUUUUAGCUUAUUUUUUUAAAAUUUGAUUUUUACUGUAGUUCAAAAUUGCCUUAAUUAUCAUAUAAUUUUAUUUUUAUUUUACCGAUAGAAUUUGACAUAAGUUAGCAAAGUAAAUUUUUUUUAAAAAAAAUCAUAAAGUGAUAUCUGCUUACCAAUAAAUUCUUACAAUAAAAUAAAAAUAAUAUUAGUAAAAUAGUUAAGUAUGUAUAACUUUUCAAACCACGUAAAAAGUGAAUUAAAAAAUAUUAAACAACAGUAAAAAAAUUAAAAUUACUCGAUCCCAAUUCAUUCAUUUUCUUCAUCCAAAGAUUCUACAAUCUCAUUCUCUCAACGACAUUCGAGUGCAAAUUAAACAUAUACAUGUUACACCAAAAGUCAAAUCAGGCAUUAUAAUUUUUUUAAUAUAUAAAUUUUUAAAACUUUAUAAAAUUAUAUCAAAUAAAUUAAAUUUUAAUUUCAAAUUUUUUAGAGGAAAAGAUAAUUAGUUACACAUUUUGUUCAUUUUGAGAUUUUUUUUUUCCCCAAGUAAAACCUAAUAAGUGAUGUAGUGCCGGCAUGCAUAUGCUGAUCCUUGAAAAUUUUUAAGUAUCGUUUGGUUUGGAAAUAAGCAAAAAGUGGUUAUUCCAGGAAUAGGUAUAAAUUGAGGUAUAAGUAGGGGUUAUAUCAAUUUUGAGUUUGGAUGAAAAUUAGAUUUUUUUUUUUUUAGAAUAAAAAAAAAGUAUUUGGUUAGGUAAGAUGUAAUAAAAAUUUAAAUGGAUAGUUAUAAAUAAAAAAUAAUGAUGUUAUCAUUUUCUUUAUAUUAAAAUUUGAAAUUUGAAAUUUUAUAUUUAUAUUUUAGAAUAAAUAUAAACUUUUAAAUUUUAAAAUUUCAAAAUCUCAAAUUUACAAUUUUAAAAAUUUAAAAUUUAAAUUUUAAACUUUAAAAUUAAAAUGAAAUUUUAAUUUAAAAAUACAAAAUAUCAAAUUCUAAAUAUAAAAAAUUUAAAAUAUCAAAUUUUAAAAGUUAAAAUUAAACAUGAAUUUUUUUGUGUUUGGGGGAGCACGACGAGGGGGGACAGAGGAGCGAAGCGGAGGGGCGGGGGGUGAGGUGGUGGGUGUAUCUGCGUGUGUUGUGUUUUUAUAUAUGUAGGUGUAUUUUUUUGAUUUGGUUUAUUUAAAUUGUUGCAAUUAUUUUUUAAGUUACGCCUAUGGAUAACAAUACUGCGCCAAUUUAAAAAAAUUCUUUAAUUUGAUGGUCUGGCAGUAUGUCACAUUCUCGAUUGUUCGUAGCGUGUGCUUAUCAAUAUAACGACUACAUUUUAAGGACUAUCGUCUUAGGGUAUAACGGUGAGAAUAUCUCACAACUCAACGAGNNNNNNNNNNNNNNNNNNNNNNNNNCAGACUUUAUCAAAUUUAAUUUUAAUUUAAAAAUUUUAAACUAUUUAUGUGAUGUAUGCGGAUGAUGAAAAUAUUGAUAAAUAUCUAGAGGCAUUUUCAAGAAUUUGAAUAUCAACUAUAUAAAAUUUAUGAGACUCAAGUGAUAUAUAACAGGCAAUGGUAGAAUAAGUAUUUUGUAACUAUCACGAUUAUUUUGGAUUGAGACUAAUCGUUUAACGUGAGCCUUAAUUGACGGUAUAAAUAAUUUAUGAGAUUUUUCUUAUCACUCCUCCUCCUCCGUAUGCGCAACACGUGCUCCGGUAAUAAUUCCAAUACACAACACAUCCUGCAGUAACUCUUGUUACGGAGUGAAGGUUUGUCCGCCCCCUCAUUCUGAUUGCAUCUGUCAACGAAAAGGACGAACAAAUGCUUUCUAAUAAUAUAGGUACCUGCCGUUAUCUGUCCUAAAUAAAGGUUUUAUAGCUUUGCUUGCGAAAAUGUUUACUAUAUCAUACUUACAUCGCAUCACAAUAAUAAAUAUAUUAUAUAAUUUUUAAUAUAUAAUAAAAUUUUUUUAUAUUAUUAUAAUAAAUAAAUUUAAAAAAUUCUUAAUUUGAUUGUGGAGAUGUCACUUAUCAAUAUAACGGAUACAUUUAAGACUAUGUUCGGUUAGGGGAUAAGGUGGAAUUUAUUCACCCUCAUCCCCAAACACAAAAAAAUUCUUUUAAUUUUACUUUAAAAUUUGAUAUUUUAAUUUUUAUAUUUAGAAUUUGAUAUUUGUAUUUUAAUUAAAAUUUCAUUUUAAUUUUAAAGUUUAAAAAUUUAAAUUUUAAAUUUUAAAUUGUAAAUUUGAGAUUUUGAAAUUUUAAAAUUUAAAAGUUUAUAUUUAUUCUAAAUAUAAAUAUAAAAUUCAAAUUUCAAUUUAAUAUAAAGAAAAUGAUAACAUCAUUAUUUUAUUAUACUAUACCAUUUAAUUUUAUUACAUCAUACUAACCAAUACUUUUUUUUUAUUCUAAAAAAAAAAAAAUCUAAUUUUUCAUGCAAACCAAAAUAUGAUAUACCCCUUACUUAUACCUCAAUUAUAGCUAUUCUCUGGAAUAACAUUUUGAUUAUUUCCAAAGCAAACGAUACUAAAAAUUUUCAAGAUCAGCAUAAUGCAUGCCGCACUACACUUAUUAGUUUACUUUGGGGAAAAAAAAAAUCUCAAAAUGAACAAAAAUUUAACUAAUUAUUUUCCUAAAAAUUAUGAAAUUAAAAUUUAAUUUUAUUUGAUAUAAUUUAUACCAGUUUAAAAAUUAUAUAUUUAAAAAAUUAUAAUGCCUGAUUUGACUUUGGUGUAACAUGUAUAGUUGUAUAAUUUGCACUCGAAAUGUCGUUGAGAGAAUGAGAUGUAAAUCUUUGGAUAAGAAAAGAAAUGAUUGGAUCGGUUAAUUUAAUUUUUACUGUUGUUUAAUAUUUUUAAAUUCAUUUUACGUGUUGAAAAGAUAUACAACUUAACAUAUUACUAAUAUUAUUUUUAUUUUUAUGUAGGAAUUAUUGUUAAGCAUGCUACACUUAUGAUUUUUUUUAAAAAAAUUACUUUCUAACUUAUGUAAUUCUAUGGGUAAAAUAAAAAUAAAAAUUAUAUAAUUAAGUGCAAACUUUCGAACUGCAGAAAAAACAAGGAACAAUCUACUAAAUCAGGGAGAGUAAAUUGAAGUUAACGAUAAAUAACUUUAGUUGCUAACUUCUAACUCGGCUUUCAUAUUUUUGGAUUUGUCUUCUAAUUUAGACACAUUGGGGAACUGCGAGCAAUGCUAGUAGAUGAAAGUGGUUGGAGUAAAAUCAUAUAAAUUAAGGUACAACUUCUUUAUUCUAAUGGAUAUAAGUAUCGUUCACUAAUAUGGAAAAAAAAUAAUUUUAAAUAUUUUAAUAUGUUGAUAGUCCAAAAUUUAAAUUUAAUGUUAAUUUUAAAGUUUUGAAUGGAAAAUAUAGAUUUACAUUAGAUAUUGUAAAAAACAUUUGAAUAAGUAUGAAUUUUUUUAUUUUAUAGAUAAAAAAUAUAAUAUUUGAUUAAAAAUAGAUAUUAUAGUCAAUAUCAAUUCGGUUGACAAAAUUUGAGAUAAGUAUAUUUUUUCUAUUAAGAUAAAAAGAUAUAUAAAAGUUUGUUUCAUUUACAUUAUUCAUUUACGUAAGGAAGUAAAUCAUUUUUUUUCCUGUAAAAAAUACGGUCUGUGAUAAAUUAGAAAUAUGUUGUAUCUUGCGUAUAUAUAAUGUAGUUUUUUUUUUUUUUUUUUGAUAGGUAAGCAUGCUACCAUCGCUCGUUAUUCAUUAGAAAUAAACUUAGCGGAAAUGUGAAUCAACUAGUCGAACUUGGGACCUCGGUACAAUCAUCCCAAGCCCUUUGCCACUUGCUCUAGGAACGGUCAUUAUUGUGAGUUUCUUUUAGUCAUAUCAACUGUUAUAUACUAUAUUUUAUCUGAUUAUUGUAUUAUAAAAAUAUUUUUUUUUGAUUAAAACAGGAAUAUAUAUAUUUGAAACAGAGAUACAUCUUAAGAUAGCAGAGCUAGCCUUGCUUCCCUAAGAAGUCCCUUGGACUAACUUCAAGACAACAUGACCACUAAUUUAUAUUAAUCGAACAGGACCACAUUAACAGGGUAAAACAAACAAAAACGAUUCACAAAUUAGGACCCAAAAUAGAAUUCCCAGAACUUAGAUGAAACAAACAAUCUUCCUGAUUCGUCGUAGCGAUGUUGUUUCUAAAGAUCUUAUUCCGUCUCAAAGUUCCCAAACAAGCUCCAACAAGAGCAUAAGUCGAAAAGUCGCAUCUUCUGCCCUGACAAUGAGUUCUCUGCUCGAUCCAUCUUGUGGUAGACAUACUCAGUUAAAUAAUUUUAAAUCAUCCAUUUGUGAAUCGAAGCGAUUUUAAUCAAUUUAAAUUUUAUUGGACAUAUAUUUUUUUCAUUUGUUUUAUUUGUUUAGUAAGGUUUGUUUAUAAAUUAAAUAUAUUACUAUUUUUUCAUACUAAAAACUGAUAUUUAUUUUUACAAUUUUUAAUGUCAAUAUAAUUGCCCGACGUAAUAAAGCAAAUCACUACACUAGUGACCACAUGCGUCGGGUGCCGCAAGCGGUCCAAACUGAUUUAACUAAGUUUUGAUGCGAUUGGUGACAUCUUGGUAGCCCCACACAAUAAUUCUCGCACCUACUUCCAAGGCCAUGAUACUUCUAUAGUAAACUCGAUCUGACACAUACUCUCAGCACCAAAAGUCUUGUAGCUCCAUCUCAAUGUUCACCAAUACAUAUUAGUUGCUACAUAAGCAUUGGCUCUCCAAAGUUCAACUCGUUGUUCUUUUCAUGUUUCUCUGUGUGAUUGGGCUUCGCCAUUUUCGUCAGCUCUCGGACUGAACCCUAGUUGUAUUCUCCAUAUGAUUGUAACGGUUAUAAUUUGAGAUAUGGAUGGCGAGUAUUGGCGAGUUUACAAGGACAACGACGAGAAGAUUGCUCGCGUUUCAGAUAUUUCAGUAACAAGCGUGGAAGCAUUAUCGAAACCUUUACACAAGUUCGCAACAGGAAUUCGGUACACUCUCGGUUCAAUCAGUUUACCGAUAUGACAAUAAAGCGAACUUUGUUGCUCAAAUAUUAACUGGCUAUCUCUCCCACUAAAUAUGAGAGGAGAGCUAGUUGUGUCAUUUGAUGGACGUAACACAUCUCCGCGGGUGCCUCAAAGUAAUUUGAUUGAGAGAGACUAUUGGUGCCUAAACGAGGUCAAGAAUCAAAACCCCUGCUGGUAAGAAAUAAUUUAGACUAAUAAUUUCUGCAACUUCAUUUCUUAACAGAAAAAAGAAAAAAAAUUAUUCUUAGUAACUGUUAUAAGAUCUGCUAACAUGUUGCUUAGUUUUUUAUUCUUCCCGAAUGGCCCCUUCUGCUUUCUGGACAAAAGGACCAAAUCCGCCCACUAAUUUUCUGCUGAUAAAAGUUCUAAACAGUAUAAUCAUUUUUAUUUCAAUGUACAAAGAAAUGAAGUAUUGAAUCUAGUUAAUAAAAAUCAUCUUAAGCCAUCAAAUGUUAUAUAAGGUAAUUCACUAUCCAAAAAAUACAUUUUGGUGAUACAAAAGGACACUUUUUAUCCAUCGCUUUUAAGUGAUUCAAGACAUAUGUCCUACUUCGACUUGAUCAAUCUAUUUGCAAAUUAGCUUAUGCUGUGUUUUUUACUAUUAAUUAAAGUUAUCAUUUAAUCAUACCUACUAAAGUAAGCAAAGUACGUGUUAGUUCAAAAAACAGGACAUCAAUGCUGAAACCGUUUGAAAACAUUUUUUAUAUCAAGCAGCUCUGUACUAAAUUUUAAUUAUGUUAGUUAUUUUAUAUUCAUAGCAACUCAGAUAUAACUUUGCUACUUUUUUUACGCGUAUCUUUGUUUUAGGCAUAGGUUCUGCUGGGUCAUCGCUGCAAUUGCGACGGUCGCGAUUGGGAUAUUCUACAAGAAAAACAGGUAUUAGUAUCUUUAUCGGAGCAAGAAGUCUCGAUUGUGCUGUUUUUAUUUUGGCGUGUGGUAUACUAUGCUUAGCUGUGUAUUCAUAGUUCUGAAUCAUCUUUCACAGAUCUGAAUUUAAAUUUUAAAUUUGAAUUCAAAUUUUGAACUUAAAAUUGUAAGUCAAUUUUAAAUCUAAAUUAAAUUUGAAAUUCAAAUUCAAAUUUAUAUUUUGAAUUUGAAUUUCAAAAUAAAACUUUGAAAUUAAAUAUAAAACUAAUUAAAAAUCUAAAUUCACUACAUGCAAGAUAAUUAAAUUAUGGGGACAUAUGUUUGGAAUAUUUUUAUAUAAGUGCCCUAUUUAUGUCAAAACUUUAAAAAUAAUCUAUUAAUGCCUAAAUAUAAAGCCCAAUCCAUUCUCCGGUAAACUAAGAUUAUCGGACCAAUUUUCAUAUUGUAAUGAAUCGAUUGUAACCUAAUUCUUAUAGUCCAUUAAAAAAUAAAAAAGUGAAUAUUUAAAUGAUUUUACAGUAGUUCUUAAGUUAGAAGACGACCCAAAAUAUGCAAUGGCGGAGUUCGGAGCUGGUAACUAAAGUUAAUUUAAUAUGUUAACUUCAAUUUACCCCGUGAUUAAGUAGAUUUUUUCCCUUUUUCCUCCGAUGCUUCAAAAAUUCGCCGACAGAACCCAACGUCAGUUACCAAAGUGAAUUUUUUUAAAAAACUUAUAGCAUACUAUGCUCUUUAACAAUAAAUUCUUACAAUAAAAUAAAAAUAAAAUUAUAGAAUACUGAAGUAUAACUCUUUAAGCCAUUGAAUGACAAAAAAAAUAUAUAUAUAUAUAUAUUAAACCACAAUGAGAAAAAUUGAAAAUUAUCCUACUUUUUAGUUCAUCAUACUAACUCCAUACCUACAAGCUCAUGUAUUACACCAAAAAUCAAACCAUCAUGUAUUAUAUAUUUUUUUAAUAUAAAAAUCUUUUAAACUCUAUAAAAUUAUAUUACAUUAAAUUAAAUUUUAAUUUAAAAUUUUUGGGAGGAAAAGAUGCAGUUUUCAGUUUCGUUCAUUUUACGAUUUUCUUCUCUUUUUUUCCUUUUUGAAGUAAAACGUAGAGACUUGGUGUAUCCUAAUGUUCAUGCGAUGAAAUCAUUAAUUUCUCUCUUGUCCAUUAAUUUUUUGAGAGAAAGGUACCUGCUUUAUUCAUUAAAGAAAAAAUUAAACUACACGAUUAAGAUAAAGGAAUCUCCGAAGUAGACCGAAAAAAUGAAAAAAAAAAUAAUUAAAUUUACAAAAACAUAUAACAAAAAAAAAUUUAAAAAAAAGGAUAUGCUCGUUUAAACACUCUAUUCUUCUCCCACUGAAGCAUCAAACAUCUGAUCGAUUUGACAGCUAGUAAAGAAUUAGUAUUAGCCAAUCUAUAAAUAACGGUGUUUCUUACUGUUCAGAUAACUCACCAAUUUUUUUUUUUGAAAAAGAUAACUCACCAAUUGACUGUGAGUUUUGUAAAUCUGUUUCUAACAUUCUGAGCACUAUCCCUUCCCAUGCUUCCACUUAUCCCAUACUAACCUCUCUUGUCCUUUGCUGGAUCGGAAAGUUGCAAUCAAGUUUGUCCGUUUCUCUCCCUGUUGGAGAGCAGUCAGAUUUUUUUUUUUUGGUGCACCCGGUGCACUAGUUUUGUUUUAAAAUUUUAUUUUUUGUUUUUUAAUUAUAAUUUAAUAAUAUAUCUCAUGAUUUUAAAAAUAUAUGUAAAAUAAUUUAGAAUUUAGGAUUUAAAAUUCUUUUGCAUAUAUUUUUUAAAUAUCAUAAAAUAUAUAUCUGUUAUAUGAAAUUAAAAUUAAGAUUAAAAUUAAAAUUUUAAAGUAAAAAAUGAUGCACCGGUGCACCGAAAAAAACCCGCUGUGUCCCGAGAGGCAGAGCAGUCGGGACGGUGGCCCGCGUGGCUCGGGUGCCAUGCGGCGCCCAUCCAGUGUCCUCAAAAAAAAAGGAGAAUUAAUGGGUGGAGCCCAACAAGUUGGUACAAAUCGCCAUUAAAUUAAGAUUAAAUAGUUCGGGACCGCUUGCGACACCAUGUCAUGUGGUUAUGAGCUAAUCACAAAAAUAUUUAAGUUUCUCUACUUGUCUCAUAUUUAAAUUUUAUAAUUUUUUUUAUAGGACAUACAAUAACGAAAUAGAUCUGGACCCUGUUAAAGAUAAAAAUAUAUAAACAUUAUUCUCUAAAAGUUUAAGCUUUUAGUAUCGUUUGGUUCGAGGAUAAGCAAAAAGUGACUAUUCCAGGGAUAGGUAUAAAUUGAGGUAUAAGCGGGGAUUAGAUCAAUUUUGCGUUUGGAUGAAAAUUGGAUUAUUUCUGAAAAUAAAUAUAAAUAAUAUGUAUUAAUAUAGUACAAUUAAUAAUUUUAUAAUAAAAAUAAUGUAUUAUAAUAUAUAACAUAUUAUAUUUAUAUAAUUAGUUUUAAUUCAAUUUAUAAUUUUAAUUAAAUUUGAAAUUAAGCAUUAGAAUAGUGCUAUUCCACCAAAAUGGUGGAAUAGCAAAUCCCUUGCUAUUCCGGAAUAACCGGAAAUAGCAAGGUUUGACCGGGAUAAAAUAUCCCGGCCAAAUUUCAUCCCAUUUGGCGGAAUAGCGGGGAUAACUUUUGUUAUCCCCGCUUAUCCCCCAACCAAACGGGGCCUUAAGGAAUUCACAUUGUGAUUGUUUGAUUGAUGGAUGGCCAUUACAUUGAAAUUGGUCUAUGCACUCUGUUUGGUUAAAACUAUUUGAGUAGUUCUCAUCAAGAAUCCCUACACAUUUUUUUUAUUAUAUUCAUUUCCUACUUUUAUUCUAUCUCUCCACACACACACACACACACACACACACACACACACCCCCUUCCCACCACCCCCUCCAAAUUUGGCUGAUAUUAAUGAAAAGGAAUUAUAACUAGUUGAGAGGAGAUUUUCGGCACUUUAGAAAAUAAGUGUGUAUGUUUGCUCUACCGUGUUAAUUUACUGAAAUUACUGUCAUUGUACAGGGUUAUGUGUAAUUCCAGUUGUAAGAACCUUUAGAACACAUCAACUUGUGUCAUACGUUGUUACGCCUUUUUGACAAAACGUAGGAAUAUUAUUUGAGUAGAGGUAUUUGAAGAAGUUGCAAGAUGUGUUUGUUUAGAGUAUUGUAGUUCCAUGGAUAGGAAAUAAGGAUAGUUUAUCCACUAUAAGAGGGCAAAGGGAAUUAUCUAGGCUAAUGGUUCCUUAUGAGAGUAGCAUAACUCCAUUCUAGCGUACAGUUUGAUAUCUCCUACUUAGUUCUAGUUGGGAAUUUAUCAAACUCAAAAGUACUUAACAGGAUAGCAGGGAUAUUGCCAUUAUCUUUCCAACUUGCAAAUGCUGAAUGUAAAUAUACUUGGCAUGGAGUUGAACAAAAAAACUUUUAAGUUAGACCAGCUUUUUAGGGAGCUCUUUUAGUCUUCGCACUAUGCUAGGAGCUCUAGAUUUUUUUUCUGUUUGCUAAACGUCUGACUUUUGCUUCUUGAGUAGAAUAACUUUUUUAGAAGUCAAACCAAUUAGGUAGUAUAUACUUUUGCAUAUGCUAACAAAAGUAUGUAUUCGAAAAAUAUUUGCUGAGCUAACCUGUGACAUUAGGAUGCUAGCACAAGUAUCACUGCUGUAUAUGCUGNCUAAUUCCUACUUAAUUACCAUUAGAAAAUAAAGAAGUGUACCUUAAUUUAUAUGAUUUUACUCCAACCACUUUUCAUCUACUAGCAUGCUCCAGUUCCCAAAUGUGUCCUGAAUUAGAAGACAAUCCAAAAUAUGAAGAGCCCGAGUUCGUUUCUUCAAAAAAUUUUCGGAAUUUUUGUAGAUUUAUUUGCGAAUUUUUCGGACAAAAAAAAUGGCUUAAUCUAAUUUAUUCUUUUUAUUUUUUUGGAAAAAUACGUAAACAGCCGAUUAAUUCGUUUCUUCAAAAAUUCGCGAAUUAUUCGCGAAUUUACUAUCUAAGCCUAUCGCUCUCAAAAACAAAAGAAAAAAAAAGAAUUUUUAUCAGAGCAUGUGUUGCACAACGGGCGGAGGAGUGAUAAGAAAAAUCUCAUAAAUUAUUAAUACUGAUAGUUACAAAUAUCUUUAUUAAAUUAUUAUAAAUAUUACAAAUAUCUUUAUUAAAGCGAUUAGUCUCUAUCCAAAAUAAUCGUGAUAGUUACAAAAUACUUAUUUUAUUAUUGCCUAUUAUAUAUCAUUUGUGUCGCUUAAAUAUUCUAUAGCUGAUAUUCAAAAUUUUUCAAAAAUGCCCUCUAGAUAUUUUAUCAAUAAUUUUCAUCAUCACGCAUACAUCACAUAAAUAAUUUAAAUUUUAAAAUUUAAAAUUAAAAGUAAAAAUUUAAAUUUAAAUUUAAAAUUUGAUAAAGAUCUGAAUUCAAAUUUUAAAUUGAAUUCAAAUUUUGAACUUAAAAUUGCAAGUCAAUUUUAAAUAUAAAUUUAAAUUUGAAAUUCAAAUUCAAAUUUAUAUUUUGAAUUUGAAUUUCAAAAUAAAACUUUGAAAUUAAAAAUAAAACUAAUUCAAAAUCUAGAUUGAAAGUAAAAUUAGUAUAAAAUCUUAAUUCGAUUUCAAUUGAAUUUGAAUUAUAUUCGAAUCCAAAAUCAAAAUUUAAAUUUUAAAUUUAUAAUUAAAAUUAGAUUAAAUUAAUAUUACAAUUCAAUAUUAUAAUGUAAAUUUGAGUGAGUCUAAGAUCGCAGUUUAAAUUGAAAAUUGAAUUAAAAAAUUCUAAUUAUAAAUUUUGGAAAUAUUUAGAGAUAAAAUGAUAUUUUAAAAUUUAAGUAGCAUUAAACUAGCUUCCAACUAAGAUUAGGAUAACACUCCGUGACGUGAGUUUACAUAAGAAAUAUUUAUGAUAUAACUCAUUCUAUUGGAAGAGCGUAUAUGAUAUUUUAAUAUUUUUAGAGGUGCCUGUGAUAGUUUAAGAUUUUGAAAAAUAGUUAUGAAACUGUCCCUGCAUUUCAAAAUUUGGAAAACUGAUCUCCCUGACUUGCGGAUUUCAUGUAGUACAAUUUUUUGACGGUGUUCUUAAUGCAAGUAACAAAUUAUAAGCAACUUUAAAGGAAAAAAAGUUACAUAUUUUUAGGGAUCGUAUUUUGGAAAUUUGAGGAUGAGUUUUUAGUUGUCCAGGUUUCACGCUUUGAUAAAUAAUAUGAUCAGAAGAAUCAUAAAUGGCGAUAGCUUACGUUUACCUACUUUUAUUAGAUAUAUAGUUUAAUAUAUUCUUUUUCCGCAUAAAAUUACUAAUUAAAUAAAACCAAUUGAUGCUCAAACUCUCUCUUCCUAUGGAAUAAAAAUAAAACAUAAAAAAGGAUAAAUUACGCUUUUGGUCCUCAAACUAUAAGAUAUAUGACACUUUAGUCUUCAAACUUUAAUGUGUUAUAAUAACUUAUGGCUCAAAGUAUGAGACACGUGACACUUUAGUCCUUAAAUUUUAAUUAGUUGUAAUUUCUGACUUACACUAAAGUUAAUUAAUUUAUUUAUUUCUACGAAAUCGAUCGGUUUUGUUCAAUCAGUAAUUUUAUUCGAUGUUAAACUAUAUAACAAAUUUUAUAAUGUCUAAUUGUUAAAAUUAAAAAUCGACCAAUCAUAUUUUAAAUAUUAAAAAAAUUAUAGAUGCAAAAUUGAUCUUUGAUCGGAUUGUAAUAUAAUAUUAAACUUUUAUAAUAAAAUCGUAUAAAAUUUGUCUAAACUAUAAACCAUUCUGAAUCAUCUAUUCAACCUUUUAAAAUUUUAUUCUUAUUAUCGAACUAUUCGAUACGUUAGAUUUUAAAAUUUAUAUAUAAAAGGUUUAUAUAUUUUAAAUUUUAUAAUAAAAGCCCGCCACGCCUCUCUCCCCCGGCCCCGCCCCAGCGUCUGCGACGUGGCUCAUAAGAGACAAUUGAAAUUAUUUCGGGGACCAUCCGAGUUAUUUUGCAGCCAAGGUUGGACGUGGAUUAAUGCGGCGAUAACUCAAAUUACCAUUACCAUACUAUAAAUCCGAGCAAGAAAUGUAUGGAACCCCCUGAACUAUAUGCCACUAUGAAAUAGCGCCUUCAAUCUACUUUUGUUUUUUCCCAUUUCGUGUUGAGUGAUUUUGGUGACUCACAGUAAUUAUGAUAAUUUUAUCAUAUUUAAUUUAUUUAGUUUACAUACUACGUACAAUUGGCAGUUUGUGCAACAAUUAAUCUAUUCAGCUUAUUUUAUUCAGCUUGUUUUAUUAUACUAUAUAUGUUGAGUAUCACAACGAUGAUCUUCUAGCUUAUUUUCACGAAACUUUGCAUCGGAAUUUAAUAAUCGUUUUAAAUAUUUUUUAACUUCUUAGAUUACGGUGGUAUUAAAGUGCAUUACCAUAUAUUUUUUUUUUGAGAAAAAAAUUUUAUNCAUUCCGUGCGUCUGUGCUAGCAGUUCUUGGCAUGACUCCAUGCCACUCCAUAAAUCCUUGCUUUUGUUGUUUACAAGGCUAAACUUCAAAAUCGGCACUGUGGUAUAGUGCAUUUUCGCGUUGGUGCACUAUGGAUUCUUUUCUAUCACAUAGGUGCCCUGAGUUUGGUAUUGAAAUUAUUCCUCAAGGACCUUUUUUCUAGCCCUGUUGGUAUUUGUGUGUGUUUCCAGUUCAAAUCGUUGUUGGCUCGGUUUUUUUAAGUCUAAACUCAACCGAGAACCCGAAUGCAAGCCCAUCUUAUAAGGGGUUUCUGAUUAAGUUUGAAUCAGAACACGACCUAAGCCCUGACCUAACACGACCCAACCUGUUUAUAUAUAUAUAUAUAUAUAUAUAUAUAUAUAUAUAUAUAUAUAUAUAUAUUCCAGUCAAUCUAUUUCUAGCAUACUGAGCACUAAUCCCUUCCGAUGCAUCCACUUAUCCCAUGCCAACCUUUCUUGUCCUUUGUUGGAUCGGAGAGUUGCAAUCAAGAGUGGGACAACUUUUCACUCCGUCCGCAAGAGUUGUUGUCGCUGCGCUUGCACCUCAUUUAUUGUUGUUGUAUGAUUGAAAUUAUUUAGGGCAUGUGUGGCACAACAUGAAUAAGAAUAAGAGUUUAUGCACAUAAAUUUAUAUAUAUAUAUAUAUAUAUAUAGAGUCCGGCUACUAUACUCUUAUGAGUAUGAUUGUCCUCGUACUUAUAAGUUGUUUUCGAUGAUAGAGCUUCCGAAUCGACGAUCCAUACUGUUAAAUAUUAUUUAGAGCAUUUAAAACGUAUAGAAAUUAAAUUUUAUAAUUUUUCGAUAUCAUUUACCUUACAAUCAAAAGGUCACAAAAUUGACAAUUUUUAACGGCCGGUAUGAAAUAUUUGUUAGUUAAACAGUAUAAAAGAAUCAAAAUAAGUUGAUUUUUUGAUAGAAAAUUCUAUUCAGUAUAUAGAUAAAGAUCAAUAGCUCCGAUCUUAAAUUGAAGGAUCCGAUCAUAAAUUUUUAAGACGUCGUUCGAUUUUGACAAUUCAUUUUAUACCCGCUUGAUGAACUUUAUUAUGAUUUCAAAAAAUUACGAAAUUUAUUUUCUAGAAAUUUUAAUAAACUAUAUUUAACGGAAUGGAUCGUCGAUUUGGAAGCUACAUCAUUGAAAACAACUUAUGAGUAUGUACGAAGUGUUCUAUACUCAUAAGAGUAUAGUAGCCCUAACAUAUAUAUAUAUAUAUAUAUAUAUAUAUAUAUAUAUAUAUAUAUAUAUAUAUAUAUAAAACUAGGCUGGUAUACUAUCGGUAGCACGGAGGCUGAUAUAUAUAUAUAUAAAAUAGAGCUUCUACAUUUUUAAAAGUACCAAGUUAUUGGUACUUAUAUAUUUUUUGCCAUUGAAAUAAGAGAUAUACGGUUAGAAUGAUGUGGGACCAUUAAAAUUGAGUGGUGGUUGGUUCGGAUGAAAAUAAUCAAAUGUAUAGAUCUAAUAGUAAAAAAUUUACAAGUAUCAAGUGUUUGAUACUUUUAAUGUACCAUAUAUGCAGAUUUCUGAGACGGUAAAAAUUUUGCUUUUGUCUAAAUAAAUGAAAGAUGGAAUGGUUAAUUUGAUUUGAAAUUUUGUUUUUCUCCCGUUCAACUCGUUACGUUCUACUGGUUACAUUCUAUAUAUUUGUAGUGGCGUUGAACCACACCGUACAUGUGAGUAAUUAAGAUACAACCUUAUUUUCUAUAGAUAUCUGAGAUUUGGGUAAAUAGCUCUACAUGUCUCUAAACUUAAAUUAGUUUUUAAACUUGUAAAUUUGGUAUAUAUUUAAGACCGGACUGUUUGAAUUAUAUCAUUCUAGUCCUUAUUCUGAAUAAAAAAAAACAAAAAGCGGUAAACUAUAGUAAAACCUUCCAGUACUGCAUGUAUCAGUUAACACCCUCAAUUUAAUUUUAAAUAUGUUGAAUGGGGAAAUUAAUUGCACUACUAAUUAAUUUCCAAACUUCUAUUUUAGUCCUCAAUUUUUAAGUUUCACAAUAUUUGGGACUCAUUGAAUGUUUCAUUCUAGCACUUAGUUAAAAAACUAAAAAAUAAAAAAAUAUAAGAGAGAAAGAGAAAAGCUAAAUUUGUAGAAAACCUCGCCCCUUUCAUAUGUUAGAUUUUAUACUUUAUUUUCUUCAAAUUAUCAGGCCAAAUCAUUCUGUACCGACUAAGAUUUGAUAUUAGAACCACUCACCCAAUCAUAAAAUAAGAAGCGAAAAAAGCUCUAUUAUCGUGUUAAAGAACUAGAAUAUAAUCUAAAAACUCAAACGGAGUGGUAAAAAUAACCUUCACAUUAUGUAUACUAUUUUAUUUUUAUCUAAAAAGAAUCUAAACACAAGUACUCUAAUAAUAUAAUUUUGUAUUUUGUAUUUCAAUUAUAUGCACUUUCUCUAUAUAUUGACCCUCACAUUACCCCAUAGAUAUUCAAAACAAAUAAAUCUACAAAAAUAUUAUUUUUGAGACAUUUUCCUAUCAUAAUGUUGUACUAGUGUAGAGACCCGCGCGAUACAGCGGGUAGAUAAUAGAAUCAAAACUUAAAAAUUUUAAUAAAAUUUAUAUUUAUAGUUUAUUAAAUUCAACUAUUAAAAAAAUAAAAUUAUAGCUUAUAACCCACACAUUGAUAAAAUAUUAAUAUGAUGCAUGUAAUUAAAUGUUGCACUUUACAUGUAAUUAGAGAAGUGGAGAGGUGAAGAGUUGGACGUUGAGAAGAGAAAAUAAUUUGAUUUAAAAUUGGGCUAUGAGAAUAAAGAAUAACAUAUGGCAAAAAAAAAAUUUUUAUGGUACAUGCAAAAGAGUUACAAAAAAGAGGGCUGAGAGAUUAAUGGAGAAGAGAAGUUGAUUAAAGUUAUAAAUCUCACUCGAUGAUAGAAUAUUAAUAUGGUGCAUAUAAUUAAAUCUUGUUACUUACAUGUAAUUAGAGGAGUGGAAAGGUAAAGAAUUGGGCGUUGAGAAAAGGAGAAGAUGAUUUAAUUUAAAGUUGAGUUAUGAAAACGAAAGCUAACAUGCCACGUGGCAAAAAAAAAUACAAAACUGUAACUUCAUAAAGAUUUAUUUAUAGAUUUAUAGAUGUGCACGUGCGUGACUUUUCAAAUUGUGUUGGACCAUCCCAAUUAUUUUGCAAACAACGUAUUCAAUGCGGUGACAACUCAAAUUUAAUUAUUGGAGCAAGAAAAUGUAUGGAAACCCCUAAACUAUAAGCGACUUUGAAAUAGCUCCUUUAAUCUGGUUUAAUUCUAUCGACUGUUUCUAGAGCAAAUGGUCGGUAUCCGAGACUCAAGUUCGAAUUCUAGUUGAUUCACAUUUCUAGCUAAGUUUAUUUCAAAAUGAAAUAAACGAAGCGGGUAACAUGCUAUCUUUCUCUCAAAAAAAAAAAAAAAAAUCUGGUUUAAUUCUCCCUCGCUGCCAUAUUUUAUAUUAGCUUAUGGUGUUGAGUCAAUGCUUUGAGGUGUCGCUAAUAUGUUUGUAUUCUCUCUUAAAUACGUAAUUAAUGCAAGAGAUAAACUACACCCCACUCAAGUUUUUUUUUUCCAUUCUAAUUAGCUGUCAAAGAUUAAUUAAAUAUAUGGACAGUUGAAAGAAACAUUUCUCUGCUUUUCUAUUUUUUCUAAAUCUCUUACAUUUUCUCUUAUAGAUAUACGCAUGUUACGAUAGUCUUUAUAGUUCCAGUUCUAUCACUGUAACAAAAUAUAUUUUAAAUAAUAUUUUUUAGACAACGCUCUAUUAUAAUAUCUUCAAUAUUUGGUAUAUAUCAACAGUAUGACUAAAUAUUGUUAAUAAAUAUAUUUUUAUUAAAAUACUGAUAAAUUUUUCGACGCUAUAUUAAAGCGUCUGUAUAUAUAUCCCAACAUAUUUACUUAACGACUCUUUAUUCGAUAUUUUUACAGGUGUCGAGAUUAUUCUUACUGAUGCUUUAAAAACGAUCUCGAAUUUUUGUAAGUAGUAUUUCGUGAUGGACUAUUGAUGCAUAUAAAAAAAAAUUAUGUGGUUUGAUACUUUAGUUUAAAUCUAUAGAUGAAGAUGGAGCGAAAAUUUUAUUAUAGCCAAAAGUGCAGAAGAUAAGAUUUAUGCCCAUUGUUCACCCUUAUCUUGACCACAUGUUGCGGUCUAGGUUCUGGGGUGAAGAAGAUCUGCAUUAUUGCGCUUAUGUAUGUACUAUUUUCUUGACAAUUUGGGCAAUAGAAUUAAGCUCGUAUGUUUUUAAUAGUGUAAGUUAUUGAUGUUUGUAAAUUUUCGAUCUUUGAGUUAAGGGAUGUGCGGUUUGAAUGAAAAUAAUCUUCUUAGGUUGAUUGGAUAGUUGGUUGAAUAGUAUAUAUGCUCUAACGAGUAAAAAUAGUUAAAAGGAUAAAUCUAACGGCAGAAAACUUAUAAGCACUAAGUACUUGCUACUUUUGAAAACAUCAUAGUCGGACUCUCGAGCAAUAUUAGUUUUUAUAAACCGAUGAAAAAUAGAUUUAAGUAAUUGAUACCGUAAAUUUGAAAUUGUAGAUGUCGUGUAGCUUUUCCAGUUUAUAUAGUUUGCUCAGUAUAUAUUUAUCGUUUAGUUUAUGAAUUCCAUUUUUGUCUACUUCAAUAUCAAUCGAUUAUCAUAUUAUUCAUAAAUAAAAAUGGUGAAUAAAAAAGUGAAAUUGUAUCGUGCAAUUUGUGAAUAUAUAUUUUUAAUUUACCUUCUUUAAAUUAGUAUAAUUAUUUUAUUUAAUAUUUGUACAAUUUAAUUACUUUCAAUUAAAUAUAUUUUGUUUGCUAUGCAUUAAUUUUACUGCUUUAUGAAAUUUUAAAGGUAAAAAUAUAUGGUUUAAUAAAAAAGGAUUGAUGAUUUGCAAUGGGCAAGGUAGAAAUAAUUUUAAAAGAGUUGUCACUAAUCUUAAUAUUUUGAAUAAUUUUUUUAAAAUUAGGUAAAUAUAUUUUUUUGGCAUUAUUAUUUUAGAAACGCUUCUAUGUAUAUUAUGUGACUGAGGAUCAGAAGGAAAAAUUUUAGAAUGCAACUGGUAUAUUGGUGACGUGGCGUAACAAACUAAUCAAAUAUCUGGUAUAUUGGUGACGUGGCGUAACAAACUAAUCAAAUAUCUCCUUUUAGAAGUAUAUAUGUUCCAUCAUGAUUGUAAAAAAAUAUCGAUUAGAAGAGGGUACGUAGUUUCGGGACCACCUCCAUAUUGGUUAUAAGAUUGGAAUUAUUGGCACAUGCACGUGUUACGUGUACGUAGCUCGAUCGGAAUAUAUAUAUAUAUAUAUAGAACAAUAAUACAUAAUUAGCAGUAUGGCACUAUUAGGUAAUAAAUAAUAUGAAGUAACGACGAAAUUAAGCGUGCUUAUAUGGAUAUGCUUCAGCAUUAAUUUUUCAAAUGGGACCGCAAAUUAUGAUGCAUGUAUUAUCUGCUUCAAACCUCUUCAUCAUCAAAUCAUCUGCUUCGCCGAGAGAAGCCAACGACGAAGCCCACAUCACAGAAAGAAACAAAAAAAGAAACAAUACUUGGUACUUGGAAGCCAUAGCUCACACUUACGACUAGUUUUGUUGCUGAGAGUAAGGUUCUCCGCAUCGAGUUUAUGUACAAGUUCUCGACCUACUAAUUAAAGUUGCUGGACCAUUAAUGGACGUGAGAGGUCAAUUAUUCGGGGCUAUUAUUAUUAUUAUUAUUAUACGAUAUCAUUAUUGGCGGCAAUUUGCACCGCUGGUCACUGAGCCCUAAUAGCUACAUUUGGUUUGGGAACAAAUUUUGAGUAAUAAUUCGUUUAUCGUUCCACCAACAAACGAUAUUUGGGAAUUAUCUAGAAUAAGCACUAAAUUACAUUUGGAUGCUGUUUAUUGAGUUGAGUUGAAAUGCUAUUAAUAGUCUUUAAAUUUUUUUACUAUCGAUUUUUUAAUUCUUAGAUUUAUAUUUUAAUUAAUUUCUUAUUUAGGUCAUGCUAUUGAAUUUUAUAGGGAUAUAUUUAUAAUUAGUUAUGUUUACAAAAAACUAUACGUAAUUAACCCUAAAUUUAAUUAAAUUUUAAUUUUAAAAUUUUUUUAGAGGAAAAGACACAGUUUUCAGUUUCGUUCAUUUUGUGGUUUUUGUUUUUUUUUAUUUUUAAAGUAAAAUCUUAUUAUGUAGAGAGUUGGUGCUAAUGUGCAUGUGAUGAAAUUUCAUUAAUUGAUUUCUCUCUUCCGUUGUUCGAUCGGAAUGCCGCAAUCAUGAGAGGGACAGCAUUCCAGUGCUCCAUACGCCAGAGUUAUUGUGGCUGAGCUUGCACCUCUAUGUGGGACAAAAAUUUUGCGGGCACCAUCCCUAAAUUAAUAAUUUGGGGACCGUGCAAAUGGGUGUCACGUGAUUGGUUCGACGGAUGCCAAUUUUUACUAUUUUUUAUCUCUCUUUAGAAAAAUAGUAUAAUUUUUUUUUUUUUUUUCAUUGAUGGCAGUCGGAUGGACCACGUGACGCCCAUCCGCAUGGUCCCUCUAUGUGUUGUCCUUGUAUGAUUGAUGAUUGAUAGUACAACAUGUCUGGCACAACAGAAUAAGAAUAAGAGCCGCACGUAAAUUUAAAAUGAUAUAUGUAAAUUAACAAAUAUUAUUAUUGUUUAGAAUAGGUGUUUCUUUUUUUUAAGAGGGAACUCACCAAAAAUAGAAAAUUUUCUAGAUAAUGGCCGUUCCCUGAUACGUCAAUGUAUUGAAGGUGUUUUCGAUAAUAAAAUUGAGAUCUAGUAAAGUACAUUUACUGAAUAUAUAUGAGCGACGAUUUGUGAUAAUUUAUCUCUUCCUUCAAAAUCGUGUAGAAAUUAGAUAGAUUUUCUUUUAAUCGAACCGCUUCCGUAUUGAUCUAUAUAUAUAUAAUGUGAUUUGAAUACUCAUAAAAGGGGAUGGUGUACCAUUGCCCACUUUUAACAUGCACAAGACAUAGACUAUAAGUAAAAUUUACUUUUGUCUAAAUAAACGAAAGAUGAAAUAAUUAAUUUGAUUUGAUUUGAAAUUUAUAGUGGUGUUGGACCACAACAUACAUCUGAGUAAUUUAGAUACGACCUUAUUUUCUGUAGAUAUAUGAGAUUCGGUUAAAUUGCACUACAUGUCUCUGAACUUAAAUUUAAUUUUCAAAAAUUUGAUAUAUAUUUAAGACCGGACUUUUUGAAUUAUAUCAUUCUAGUCCUUAUUCUGAAUAAAAAAUGGGGUUAAAUUAUAGUCAAACUUUUCCCUGCAUGUGUCAGUUUACACCCUCAAUUUUUAAAUAUGUUGAAUGGGUAAAUUGCACUACUACUUCCCAAACUUCUAUUUUAGUCGUCAAUUUUUAAGUUUCGCAAUAUUUAGGACUCGUUGAAUGUAUCAUUCUAGCCCUUAGUUCAAAAAAAUAAAAAAUAAAAAAUAAAAAACUAUCGGAGAGAAAGAGAAAAGCUAAAUUUGUAGAAAACCUCCAUACAAAAGUUGUAUUUUACACUUUAUUUUCUUCAAUAUUUAAACUAUCAGGCAAAAUUAUUAUAUACCGACUAAGAUUUUAUAUUACAAUCACUCGCCCAAUCAUAUAUUAAGAAGCGGAAAAAGAUCUAAUAUGGUGUUAAUUAAAGAACUUGAAUCUUAUCCAAAAUAAGCGGUAAAGAUAGAUAACCUUCACAUUAGGUGUACUAUUUUAUUUUUAUCUAGUAAGAAACUAUACACAAGUACUCUAAUAAUAUAAUGUCUUUUCUAUUUCAAUUAUAUGUACUUUCCAUAUUGAACCUCACAUUACUUCAUAAAUAUUCAAAACAAAUAAAUCUAAAAAAAAAUUUCUCAAAAAACAAUAUAAAAAAAUAUUAUUAUUGAGAUAUUUUCGUAUCAUAAAGUUGCAUGUGAAUGUGCAGGACUUUUCAAAUUGUCUCGGGGGCCAUCCCAAUUAUUUUGCUGCCAACGUAUUCAAUGCGGUGACAACCGACAUUUAAUUAUUGGAGCAAAAAAAUGUAAGGAAACCCCUAAACUAUAAGCCUCUUUGAAAUAGCUCCUUCAAUCUAGUUUUUCUCUCAUUGCCCUCUUUUAUAUUAGUUUAGAGUGUGUUUGGUUCCACCUAAAAUUAUUUCAAUUUUUUUUUGGCAGUUGAAAAGUAAAUUCUCGAUGUUUGAUUGUUUGCAAAAAAAAUUUCUCAAUUUUUUUUUUUUACAGAUUCAAUAGAACUGGAGGAUUUUGUUCUCUGCUUGUUUCGAGAGGAAAACGAAAACUUCAGCCGCGAAAAUACGUGGCGUUUCGGAAAGGCGGGGAUGUGUAUCACGUGGUCCAAAAGGUGACCUCCACCUCGUGGACUGCAUGAGAGUCUCUCCCCCUUUUCUUAUAUAUAUAUAGAGUCCGGCAGCUAUACUCUAAUUAUGAGAACGAUCGCCCUCCUACUCAUAAGUCGUUUUCGAUAAUAGAGUUUCCGAAUCGACAAUCCAUACCGUUAAACAUUAUCUACAGUAUUUAAAACUUCUAGAAAUCAAAUUCUAUAGUAGGUCUUGUGUGCUUUUAGAAGUACAAGGCCUUCAUACUGCUAAACCGUUUUCGAUGAUAGAGAUUCUAAAUUAACGAUCGAUUCCGUUAGACUUGAUUUAGCAUAUUUGAAAUAUCUAAAAAAUAAAUUUUACGAUUUUUCGAUAUCAUUUAUCUAACGAUCAAAAGAGUUCAAAAUCAACGGUUGAAAAUAAAAAUCUCACAAAAAGCGGUGAUAUGGACACUAAAAUUUUUGAUUAGAGAUAUUGAUCUUGCUAUAAAUAGUAUAAAUAAUUUUUUAUAAAAAUUUUAUCUGAUUUGAAUAAUUAUACACGGUUAAAUUUGCAAACAGUAUAUAUAUAUCAACAAUUAACAAUUAUUAAUUUUGAUCCCUUUCGAUCAUUAAGUAAAUGAUAUUAAAAAAUCACAAAAUUUAUUUUCUAAAUAUUUUAAAUACGCUAGAUCAAGUUUAACGGAGCUGAUCGUUAAUUCAAAAGCUCCAUCAUCAAAAAUAGUUUAGAAGCACAGAGGCUCGAUCCGUGCUUCUAAUAGCGUAGUUGAAAUAUUCAAAAACUCCAUCAUCAAUGAUCGGUGCGAAUUAAGGAAGAAAAAAUUCAACUUAUCUUACAAAAUUAUUUUGGGAAAUCCUCGCUGCACAAUUAGGCGAAUCCUAUGCCCAAAUGAACAUCAAGAGAUUGAUAAAAAAAAGGGAGAGCAAAGAAAUGGGUUUAAAAAAACACAAGGAGGGCCCCAAUCCACCUCUCCUCCACCCAAAUAAAUGUACGCGGUACCGCCACGUUGGAUUAAACUGUGAUUUUAUAAAUUUUUAUUAUAGAAGAUGUUAUCAACAAAAAAUUUUAAUUCUUAUAUUUUUUUAUAUAUAAAGUGAAAAUUUUUAUUUUAGUUUAUUUUAAUAUCUUUUCUGUGAAACAAUCGUUGUACUCUAAAAACUUAAAUUGUUAGAGAACGAUGUUUAAACAUUUUUUAUAUUUAACACUCCCCCUCACGUCUGGGCUUGAGACUUUUUAGUCGGCCCAUGACGUGAGCUUGAAUUAAAUGGGAGGAAAUUAAUAUGUUAGGAGUCUGGCGUGACUCCAACUCAAGACCUCCUGCUCUGAUUUAGAUGUGAAACAACUGUUGUACUCUAAAAGCUUAAACUGUUAGAGAACGGUGCUUAAACAUUUUUCAUAUUUAACACUCCCCCUCACGUCUGGGCUCGAGACUUUUUAGUCGGCCCAUGACGUGGGCUUGAAUUAAAUGGGAGUAAAUUAAUAUGCUAGGAGCCUGGCGUGACUCGAACUCAGGACCUCCUGCUCUGAUACCAUGUGAAACAUCCGUUGUACCCUAAAAGCUUAAGCUGUUAGAGAACGGUGUUUAAACAUUUUUUAUAUUUAACAUUUUCCUGCAUUUGAUUCAAAAUUUAUUACAAACUAAUAGGUUGAUGAUGUCUUCUGUUUUUAUUUAAUAUCUAAAUUUGAGGGCAGUGAGUACCCCAAUUUAAUUUUUUUAAUUCAAUAUCAUUUGAUUAUCAAAUUAUUCAUAAAUAAAAAUGGUGAAUAAAAAGUGAAAUUGUAUCGUACAAUUUGUGAAUAUAUAUUUUUAGUUUACCUUGUUUAAAUUAGUAUGAUUGUUUUAUUUAAUAUUUGUACAAUUUAAUUACGUUCAAUUAACUAUAUUUUGUUUGCUAUGCAUUUUACUGCAUUUAUGAAAUUUUAAAGGUAAAAAUUUAUAGUUUAAUCAAAAAGUAUUGAUGAUUGGCAUUGGGCAACGUAGAAAUUUUGAAAGAGUUGUCACUAAUCUUAAUAUUUUGAAUAAUUUUUUUUCAAAUUAGCUAAAUAUUUUUGGCAUUAUUAUUUUAGAAAAGCUUCUAUGUAUAUAAUGUGACAAAGGAUUAGAAGAGGGUACGUAGAUAUGAUGUUAUUCCUAGGUAAUACACUAAUUACCUUAACUCUUUGAAUGGUUCAUAAGGCGGAAACAUUUUGAUAAUUAAUAUAAAGGGUACAACUCGAUCUUUCUUUCUUUUUUUUUCUUUUUUUUCUUUUUUUUUUUUUGAGAAAAGGUAGUGAAGCUACCUGCUUCAUUCAUUAGGCUAAAUAAACUAAGCAUAUAUGAUUGAGGCAACUAAGGCCUCCGGAAGGGUCUUGAAGAAAAACAAAAUAAAUGGAAAAAAAAGGAAAAAAAAGAAAAAAGACAAAAAAGUAGACAACAGUGAAUAAACCUUACUAAAAACGGUCGUCCCAAUAAGGUACCAAAACAGGGUGCGCGGUCGAGUCAAAGUGCGUCAGCCCAGUCUUUGAUCAAGUAAGUGACACGUUCGAUGGCCCGGGCAGCGUUAGAACGUGUAUCGCGAAAAAUAAUAUUAUUACGUUCCGUCCAUACCACCAACCAGAUUGCCUCUAGAUGAGCCCGGCUUUGACUCGAUCAUUACUAGGCUUUGACUCGAUCAUUACUCCGGUACAUUCUAGUUUUGUAUACUCCAGCUCCGAGGAGAACACAACGCUCGUUUCCGAGAUGCAGAACAAAUUAAACAGAUGCUGUAGCAUCAUGUCACGUUUCAAAUUGUUUCGUGACCACCUCAAUAUAUGUUCACUUUUUUGUACACAUGGUUACUGCAGAUUGAACCAGCACGUGACCGAUACGUACGUUUAGUCCCCAUUAAGAUUGGAAUUAUUGGCACAUGCACGUGUUAGGUGUACGUAGCUCGAUCGGAAUAUAGAACAAUAAUACAUAAUUAGUAUGGCACUAUUAGGUAAUAAAUAACAUGAAGUAACGACGAAAGCAAGCUUAUAUGGAUAUGUUUCAGCACUUUUCAAAUGGGAUGGCAAAUUAUGAUGUACGAAAUAUAUUAUUACAUACAAAAAUAAAUAAAAUAUUUAUUUAUCAUAUUUUUUCUUUACAGGUGGCACAAUCUUUCAAUAAUUUCAAACAAAGCGUUAGUGUAUUAGAAUUUUAAUUCUUGAAUGAGAAAUUGUUGGAUUAAAAUGAUAUUAGUAUCUUAGAGUUGAGUGAUUCCUCUAAAGUUGAGUGGUUCCUACUGAAUUAUAAUAUUUAAUUCAAUAAUUUAAAAUAAUAAAAAGAAUUGAUCCAAAAAACCUAUAGCAAAAAUGGCCUUUUGGUAUCAAUAGUAUUCUAUCCCAUCUCUCUCUCUCUCUCUCUCUCUCUUUCUCUCUCUCUCUCUAUAUAUAUAUAUAUAUAUAUAUAUGAAUCAGGCUGGGAUACUAUCAAUAGGACCAAGCGUUUAGUGCUAUCAAGUUUUUCACUGUUAGAUUUAACUCUUUGACUAUUUUUAUCUGUUAGAUUAUACUAUUAAACCGAUAACUUAUUCAACCCUAGGAGGCCCACAUUAUUUUAACCGUAUAUUUUUUCAUCCAAGGACCGAAAAUCUAAUAGCACCAAUAGUUUGGUGCUAUUGAUAAUAUUCCAGCCUAGUUCUAUAUGCACACACAGGUCUUGUGUGCUAUUAGGAGCACAGAAGUCUUCGUGCUCCUAAGUCAUUUUUUAUGAUGAAGUUUUUGAAUCGACGAUCGAUUCCAUUAGACUUGAUUUAUCUAUUUAAAAUAUUUAGAAAAUAAAUUUUAAAGAAAGCGCUAGUGGAUUAGCAUUUAGCGAGUUAGAUUUCAAUUUCUUACCUCACAUGUAGUGUGUGGGCUUAGAUUUCAACUUCUUACCUCACAUCUAGUGUGUGGGCAUGUACGUAAUUGCACCGCACAGAGCAAUAUAGAUGCACAAUUCUAUUAACUGCUACAGGCUUUACAUACCAUUACUUGAUGAUCUUAUUCGGAUAAAAAUUUGCUAGGCAUCAUCCCCAAAUUAUAAGUUGGGGGACGAUGCGGAUGUGUGCCGCAUCGCCCUUCCGACACGCGCCCAUGGAAGGAAAAAAAAAAAAUGGCGCCCUGUGUUUAUAUAGAGAGAGAGAGUGAGAGAGAGAGAGAGAGCAGAGGGAGGGAGGAGAGUGAUCGUCGGAUGGGUCAGGCGGCGCCCAUCUGUAUCAUCUAGUUUGGAGACCAUGCCCAGCAACUUUUUGUCCAACUUACUCAUCAAAACAGCAUAAACUUACAAAAUUAAAUACAAACAGUUGGCUACUAAAUAUAUAUUAGGCAGCCAGUGGAACUGAUAAUAAUGCAACAAAAAUACAAAUGAAAACAGCAAGCCCUACUCGAUCAUACAGAUAAUCUUCGCACGAGCAUCGCCCGAUUUAUUACAUAGCUUAUAAGGUACGUAGCACACAGGGCACUUCAUUGCAUGCUAAAUCGCAGCUUCGAUAACCCUUACAUGGAGCUGACACGAUCAUCCGAACCCAUGUCAGAGGGUUCUGUAAUGCGCGGUGACGAAACAAGAGUCGGGUAAAUACCAUAGCUAGCCAGACCACAUAAUCCAGGAUAUGCCGUGUCUCUUAACAUCCUCACGUAUCCAUUUUCUCCCCACCUGUUGCCCCAUGAAUUCUUUAUUAUCCAAUACUUGUCUCCGGUGCUGCUGUCCUGCCCGUAACCUACGACGGUAACGGCAUGGAAAAUAUUUGUCCCACAAGGUCCUUUAAAGAUACCGCCAUUGUAGUAAUUGAAGUAAUAAGAGCUAGCAUCAAUAGCAAUAACUGUCGGCUGGUUCGCCACAGCAUACAUGAUCGCGCGUUCAUCGUAGCUAGGUUGUACAUAUUGAUAGCCGGUAAUAUAAGCUGCAUUCGGUUUGUUAUUUCUGCAAGUGCCUUUGUAUCCUACAUAGGGAUAGUUCGCCUCCGUCGUCACGCCCUUGUUAGCGAUGAUAAAUUCGUAGGCUUUGUGUACCCAACCAGAUGUGCACGCGUUGCUAACAGUACAAUCUAAAACUUCUUGCUCCGAUAGAGAUAUUAGUUGCCCUGUUUUAAUCUUGUAGAUGCCUUCUACCGUCGCGAUUGAAGAGAAUGCCCAGCAAGAACCUAUUUCAAAACAUAUAUUCAAGUUAGCACAACUCGUACAAGCAAAAGUUACGUAGAUUGUUAAUUAAGAUGUAAGAAGAACAUUCAAACAAGUAUGGACAAGGUCAAACAGAUGAUUACUGUGUUACUUUAUGCUUACUUGAGUGAAAAUGAUUAAUGUUGUCAUACUUCUUGUCGGAAAUUAAUUUUUCUAAAAACUUAAUUAAACUACUGAAGAACGAUUUCUAAUUAUUAAGAAUUAAUACUUCUUAUUAUGUCUAAUCUACAAAUGUACAUAUAGUAGGUGAUAACAUGUGUUCGUACACUUUUAGCUAGUCUGAGACAUGAACUUUGCAUUCAAAUGCGGUGGAGGUUUGGUUCUUUUGUCCACAUAAAUGGCUAAUGGAAUGGUGAGAUUUGGGCCCAAGGCAUCCUAUUCUCAUGAGGUUAAUUAAAAAAAUAACAUUUAUUAAGGUUCAGGCUGCUAUAGCUAGAAAUUAAUGCGCUUUAGUUCUCUAAACUCUACACUUGGUUCUUACCGCAAGUUCCUUGAUUCUUGACUGGUGUUACGGCACCGUAAUCCCUCCAAUCAAUGCUUUGAGGUAUCGCGGACAUGUUUACAUCCUCAAACGACACCGAUGGCUCUAAAUUUGUCAUAUUUAGAGGGAGAGAUAGACCGACAUGCUGAGCCACGAUUUCAUCAUUUGUCAUGUCAGCGAAUUGAUUAAUGCCCAGAGUAUACGAGUUGCCGCCGCGCCUGUUGAAGGCUUCAAUGCGGUUCACAUUGUCCUUAAAGAUCUCAAAACGGCGCAUCUUCUCAGCAUCGUCACUGUAAACUCGGCCGAAAUCGGCCAUCCAUUCAUCAAACCUCUUCAUCAUCGAAUCAUCUGCUUCACCGCGAGAAGCCAACGGCGAAGCCCACAGCACAGAAAGAAACAGAAAGAGAAACAAUACUUGGAAUCUGGAAGCCAUAGCUCUGACUUACAAAUGCUUUUUUUGCUGAGAGUAAGGCUCUCCUCAUCGAGUUUAUAUAGUAGUUCUCGGCCUAUGUACGUACUAAAGUUGCUGGACCAUUAUUGGACGAGAGGUCCAUUAUUGGGGGCUAUUAUACGAGAUCAUUAUUGGCGGCAAUAAUAGCUUCAUUUGGUUUGAGAACAAUUUUUGAGUAAUAAUUUUUUAUCGUUCCAGUAACAAAUGGUAUUCCGGAAUUACAUUUCGAUACUGUUUAUUUUGUUGAGCUGGAAUACUCUAUAUUAAUAGUAUUUAAAUUUUUUCGCUAUUAUUUUUUUAACCGUAAGAUCUAUAUUUUAAUUAAUUCCACCAUUUAAAUUAUACUAUUCAAAUAGCUACCCAUUCAAUGCUAAGAAGGACCACGAUCAUUCUAAUUCUAUAACUUUUCAUCAAAAAAUUAGAUAAUCGAUAGUAAAAUAGUCAAAUACUAAUAAUAAUAUUUCAGCUCAAUUCUUAUUUAUUUGUUCUGAAAUGAUAUUAUUUUUUUUUUUUUAGUGAGAAAGGUAGCACGAUACCCGCUUCAUUCAACAGAACGAUGAAUUAGGCUACAAGAGUGGGGCAGCCAAGCCCCGGGCGAAGGCGCAAACAAAAAAUAAAAAAAAAAAAAACAACAACAACGCACGCACACACUUAGGAGAGAGGAAAGAAUCCCACUCCGACACUAAUAGCUUGAGCCUCUGGACAGCUAACCCCGGAUUUGGUUGGCAAUUCCUGAAUAUCCAAUUGUUCCUCACCUUUCAAAUAGUCCACCAGCAGCCUGCCAGAUCAGUAAGUCUGGUUCUCUUCUUGUGCUGAUCCUUUCUAUCCGACCACUUUUCCCAGACGAGUUCCACGUCGUCCCCCAGGUCCUGGGCCUAGAUAUCGUCCACCUCUGAAACUAUGAUGAACUUGGUAAAUAUGCACCUACUGAACAAGUGAUCCACGGUUUCCACUUCCGCCCCACAAAGUACACAGGUAGGGUCGUCCGCCAGCCCUCUCAAAACUAGUUUAUCACGAGUAAGAUUCCUUUUCUUGAGUACCAACCAACAAAAUACUUUGUUUUUCAAAAGGAUUUUCAGGUUCCAGAUCCUGGAUACGCGUACAUCUCUCACACUCUCAAAAACACCAUGAGGUUAGUGCUUUUGAUAUUAUUAGUAUGUGGAUAUUUUAUGUUUGAAUAAGGUAUUGAAAUGAUUAAAAAUGUAUGAAAUAUCAGUUUUGCCCUUAUAUAUAUAUAAUAAUCAAAAUAAGAGUUGAGCUAGAAUACUCUCAAAAGCACCAUGAGGUUAGUGCUUUUGAGUUUUUAACUCUUGGAUGAAAAAAUGUAAGAUUGGGAUGAUGGUAGUAGGUGGUGGUAGGUGGAAUAGUGUUUGAUCUAAGGGCUAUUAGUAAUCAAUGAAUAGACUUAAGGGCUAGAAACCUAAAAGCAUCAAGGGGGUGAUACUUCUAAAAGUAUUCUAGCUCAAUUCAUGAAAAUAAACAUAAAUUAUUAAAAAGCUAAAAAUAUUAUAUUUGUCUCGAUUAUCAAAUUAAAUAUUAAUUUUUUUUAGAGAGAUAGAUAGCACGCUACCCGCUUCGUUUAUUUCCUCUAUAAAUAAACUUAGCUAGAAAUAUAAAUCAACUAGGAUUCGAACUUGGAUCUCGGAUACCAACCACCAAGCCCUUUGCCACUUGUUCUAGGGACGAUCAAUAUCUUUUAAAUGUGAAUCAAAUUUUAAAUAUUAAUUAAUUAUAAUUUAGAAAUAAACUUAGCUAGAAAUAUGAAUCAAAUUAAAUAUUAAUUAAUUACAAUUUAGGUACUUUUUUUUCUCCCUAAAGAAAAACUAGAAGCAAAUUAUUAGCAAAGAAAACACCAUUUUUUGAAUAGAAAAUAAAAAUAAUUCCCACAAUAAAUAAAAAUUAAUUCUCAACCAAAAAAUAAAUUGAUUAAUUUGGAAGAACGAGCUCGGCGACGGAGGCGUUGUUCUCAAAAGUUAGAUCUCCCUGGUGGGAGAACCAAGCUUAACGAGUUAUUAAGAUAUAAUUCGUAAAGUCCUCUACAAGAUCAGCUUUCAAUUCUCUCUUUUUUUUUUUCUUUUUUUUUUCUUUUUUCCUAUAAGUUUAAGAAUAUCUUCCUCGUUCCGGAAAUAUUCCCGAAACAAACUCUUAGUCUCUCUAUUUCAUCAUGAUGCCAUAUGAAUGCAAUGUAUAACCCCGAACCAAACACGGGCUAAAUUUACUACCAUAUAUGUGUUUAGUUCUAUCUUUUAUUUAAAGAUUAUAAUUUUUUUCUUUCUGUAGUUAAAACAAAUUUUACAUGUCUCAUGAUUUCCUACAAGUUGUAAAGGGCUAAGUGGUUGGUACCCGAGGUUCCAAAUUUGAGUCCUAAUUAAUUCACAUUUUAAGUUAAGUUUAUUUCUAAAUAAAAUAAACGAAGCGGGUACUACUUAUCUCUAUAAAAAAAAACUAUUUUGUCGAAAUAUAUUAUAAAGUCACCUGUUAAUGCAGCUAAAAAUAUUCCCAACAUUCAAUGGAUGAUAUAUAGGUAUAGCGUUGUUAAAAGGAGCUUUUUAUCUGAUAAAUGAUCGAGUUGAAUAUAUUUGCUCAUCAAAUUUUAAUAGACGCAAGGCAUAGUCUAUAAAUGUAUAGCCUAUAAAUGUAGUUUAGUAAAAGUAAAAUUACUUUUGUCCAAAUAAAUAGAUGGAACUAUAAGAUUUGAUUUUUUUUUUUUUUUUCUUACUGGGUUCGUUCUAUUUAUGGCCGCAUAGGACCGUACCACGAUAUUCUUGUUGGUUAUUCAGAUCCAACAUUAUUUGUUGUAUAUAUUUAAUAAUUGGAUAAAUUACACUACUGGUCUCUAAGAGGUAGUGAAUUUGCAACCCACCUUAAUAUCGCUUGUUGUGAAUAGAGUAUUCACUUUUAUAACAAUUGUUAAGAUUUCAUAAUGAGAGCAUUAAAGCGAAUAUUUACUAUAAAUCCAUUUUUUCAGCAAAAACUGAUCUUAGUAGUCCAAGAAAAGAGAGAAAAAAAAUCAAAUAAAAAUAAAAGUGAAAUAAUAUUCACUAACUAAAAGUGUAGAACGCAGGGGAAGUAUUCGUUUAUACCUUUUUGCGGAAGUGAUUCGCGCUACAAUGCGACGAGUCCGGAUUAUAGAGGUUGAUUCAUGUAUCCUUGGAUCGUCCUUACAGGUCUUCUAAUGUUCCAAACUCGCGGUGGAUCGAACUACAAACGAGCACGAUCGCAAAUCCACCGUUUAAGACCCUCUAGAAUAGUUGGUUAAUGGAGAAUGUGGUUUUUAUGUUUUUUUCUACGUUUUUCUCUUAGUUUUCUUAUUCUCUUUCUUAUUCUCUUGUUCUUAUUUUUAAUGUGAGAUCACCCGCAUAUUUAUAAGAGUUUCCAAAAUCCUAAUAGGUGCGUAAGAGAUAAGACCAAAUCGGCUAUUAAUUGAUAUCCUAAUAUGAUUAGAAUUUAUUUUUAAUUAGCUUUUCAAUUUAAAAGCGAGAUUAAUUCUAAUCCAGUUAGACAAUAUAAUAACUGUCGGAUCGAGUCCGAUCAUGGAUGCACCCAAUUCGAUUUAAUCGGAUGCCAACAAAAAAAAUAAUUAUAUCCUACUCUUCUGCGCGGAGUAAUUUCAAUUCGAGCUCUCUUUGCAAAUCUCUCUCACCACUUUCUCGUCCUCUAAUCUAACGGCGUCUCUUCUGUGCACGCGUGUACAAAAUGCACAAACGACUCACAGUAUAACAAAAGCGGCCCGCACACAUUGAUGAACAGAAUUACCAACUGGACCAUACUAGGCCAGACAAAACUGUAGAUUAAUUACUCGGCCUUUUUUUGACACCCCGGGCUGUUUGCUUCCAGGAAAAAAUAUCUAGAAAAAUUUAGAGGAAAGAAGUUUUUACAUGAAAAAUUCUUAUUUAAGUUUUCCGCUCGUUUGUUUUCAAGAUAUAUUAGAAUUUUUUUUUAUUUUUUUCUUAAGUUCAUGAAAAACUAGUAUUUUUAUUUUUUAAAUUUUUUUUAGAAAACGAUAAUACUAGUUNUUUUUUUUUUUUUUUUUUUUUUUUUUUUUUUGUAAAAUCUGGAAUAAUAGAGUUUUCUGAUAAAACUGGUUUCUUUGGGACUGAAUGGAGAAACUAGUAAUGUGUGUUAAUUAGUGACACAUUUAUUUUGUAUUAGUGCUAGAGGCCUGAGCCUAGAGGUGGCCUCACACAGUACUUAUUCAAGUUCCCGCUGUGUCAUCCUGACCCAAAUGUUCCUGAACCAUGGUCCAGCCCCACUAGUUUGGACCGCACGUACAUUAUCAGGCCACGGUCCGAUCCUAUUUGCUUUUACAUUUUUUAAUAUAUUUUUAAACUUUCAUUUUUAAGAUUAUAUUGUUUAAGUUUUUAAUAUAUUGAUAUAGUUAUUCAUUCAAUAAGUAGGGAUUUUAUAACUUUUUAAUAUCACUAGUCAAAAUUUAAAUAGUUUCAAUUAUGUCUGAGAGAUAAAAAAAAUAAUUACAAAUACUAAAAGAAAAUAAAACAAAAUAGAAAUUUACGAUAACAUAGCUAACACCGGCGAAAUUAUGUCGAUUGCUCAGACAUAAUAAAACAUUUUUUUUUAAGAGAUAAGUAGCAUGCUACUCGCUUUAUUUAUUUCAUUUAGAAAUAAAUUUAGCUAGAAAUAUGAAUCAACUAGGAUUCGAACUUAGAUAAUGUAGCUUAUUAUUUGGAGCUGUUUUUUUUCCCCUUGUUUUCACUAGUAUAGCUUGCCUAUAUUAUAGAGGUCACGUUGUUUGUUUGGUUUUUUUUUUUUUUUUGAGAGAGAGAUAUAAGUAGCAUACUAUCCGCUUCAUUUAUUUCAUUUAGAAAAUAAACUUAGCUAGAAAUAUGAAUCAACUAAGAUUCGAACUCGAGACCUCAGAUACCAACUAUUAAGUAUUUUGCCACUUGCGCUAGAAACGGUCGGUAUAGAGGUCACAUUGUUAUCUACUUGGUUUUGGUGAAUAGGGAUGAUUAAGAAUACGAUCAAAUUAACAUCUUGGGCAAAAAUUAAUUAAUCUAAAAUGCUUAAUUAUAUAGUUUAUUGCGCCUAUAUUAAUCUUGACAUUUGUUACAACACCAUUAUCUUUCCAAUCAACGCUCUGAGCUAGGUACCGCGGACAUGUUAACAUCCUCAAAUUAACGUCAUUUAUAGAGUCUGAUCUAAUAUUUCGUGGGAUAUAUAAUUAAACCAGUGUGUUGAGCUACAAACUCAACGUUUGCUUUAUAAGCAAAUUGAUUAAUGCCAAGAGUAUAGGAAUUUCUAGAUAGGCAUCGAUAUGGUCGACAUUGUUCUUAAUUAAAGAUCUAAAACCGGUGCAAUUUUUCAUCUUCGUCAUUGCAAAACUACUCAAUCUGACUCGACCAUCCAUUCUUCGAACUUCCUCGGAAUCAUCGGGUUCGCCAUGGAAGGCUGCCAACGGCGAAGCCCACAUCACACAAACAAACUGGAAAAGAAACAAAGCUAACUUGGAAUAAAUGUGGAAGUCAUAUACAUGGCACUAAUUAAAAAGCAGCUAUAUUUAGAAAGGCAUUUGUUGGUGCGGAACAAGGUCCUACCAUCGAGUUUAAGUAUCGUUGACUGAUUCAAAUUAAAUAAAUUGAAAGAUUGAAUAGUAAAUUAGAAUUUUGAAAGAUUAGAUAGCUGAUUCAAGGUGAUCAAUAAUUCAGAGAUAAGCUGCAUACUUUUUUACCGACAAAGAAAUAAAUCCUAACCCUAAAUGCGCGCGCACGUGCACAGUUUUCCUGUAAUAAGCACUAGUUCGUACUCGAUCGGGGUAAUUAAGCAACACACUUUUAAUACUCGAUCAUAUUCUUAUCAAGUCAUAGUAGAAUACACGUACGUCACAACACACGAACGAAUUGAUAUAUAAUAUCAUAAACAUUCAAACAACAUCCAAUACAGAGGACACUCGAUCGUGAGGGCGAGAAUCGCUCAAAUUGGAAGACACGUACGAGGAAUUAACACGAACCAUUUAAGCACGCAGAAUCCAAACAAGUUAACUCAAUCUCCACGCGCACGUCGACGUUAUUUAGUAGCUAUACGAGUUUAUAGUGUCGCGAACGGAUCGAUCGAUCACUUCAUCAAAGCCGAAUUAUAUAUGCAUACAUAGCUAGCUUUGAUCUGAAUUAUAUAGCGCUUAUGCCAUCAGAUCCCACGUCGGCGAGCUCGAGAGGAGUCGAGUUGAUAAUCGGGAUGACCGGCUGCUGGGCAAUACCACAUAAUCCUUCAACUGAAGAGACAUCUCUUUCCAAACGCCCGAACCCAUUUUCGCCCCAGUUUUUUCCCCACGAGUUCUUCAGUAUCCAAUACUUCUCUCCGGUAUUACUGUCCUCGCCAUAACCUAUGAUGGCGACGACAUGGUUGACUGCAGUUCCGCAAGGUCCCUUAAAGAUGCCACCGCCGACGUAAAGCUGGAAGUCCCUGGUGGCUUCGAGAUAGGAAGCUACCGGUUGCUUCGACACGGCAACCUUAAGACUGGUUUCGUUGUUUCUAGGCAGAUGUUGAUAAGCGUCGAUGUAAGCCGCAUUCGGCACGAUGUUGGACUCACAAUUGCGUUGAACUCCUGUAUAGGGAUAGGAAGACUCGGUUGCCACACCUCCAUUCCGUAUGAUGAAUUUGUAGGCUUGGUGCGCCCAGCCUCCACCUAUGCACCCGCUGCCAACGCUGCAAUCCAUAACCUCCUGUUCUGAUAGGGAUAUCAGUGCUCCUUUUUUGAUCUUGUAGAUUCCUUCCACCGUCGCAAUCGCAGCGAACGCCCAGCAAGUUUCUAUUCAAAAUUAAGGUUCACUUUAGCAUUUGCAAGAGAAAUUAAUUAUGUCCGUUAUUAAUUAAUUAAUUAAUUACGACAAAAGAAAGUAUAUACGCCACUUAUUAAGACAUAAUAAUAAUAAUAAUUAUGUAAUAACAUUUAAAUCUAUAUAAGAGAACCGUAUUAUUAUUAUCAUUAAAUUAUUAUUGUUGGGUACAAAUAGCGGUAAUAACUAAUAACUUUUUUUUUGUUAUUAGUACGCAUGCAGCACAAUAAAAUAAUAUGUAUUAUAAUAUAUAAUAUGUUAAAAUAUAAUAUCUUUUAUUAUAUUUAUAUAUUUACAUAGAGCUAGGCACCAAUACUAUCUAUAAUAGCAGGCUCCAGUACUAUAGUCUUGUCUUCAAUCUUACAAUAUUCAAAUUAAUGAUUCAUCCCGUUAAAACCUGGUCCAGCGUAUUUGAAGUUUUUAAAAGUAAAAUUUUAUAUUUUUUCGAUAUAGUUUACUUUAUGAUCAAAUCAUUUGAUAGAAAAUAUUUUAAACUAUCUAUAUCAAUAUCAACAUCCUUAAUCUUGAAUUUAAAAAUUCUAUCCUCAAAUUUUAAAGUUUAUUCAAUUUCAACCGUUCAUUUUGAUAUGCUUUACUUACUAAGUAAACAAUGUCGAAAAAAAUUAAAAUUUUAUUUUUUAGAACUUCAUAAAUUCUAGAUUAUAUAUAACAGUGUGGAUCAUUGAUUUGAACAUUUUAAGAUCGAAAAUAAGAUUAUAAUACUAGAGUAUCGACACUAUAUAUAGUAUAAUAGCCUAAUUCCGUUUAUAUAUAGGUAUUAUUGGGGGACGGUUUAUAAUUAUCAAGUUUCACUAUCUCACAUUCUCAUCCCAUAUCUGAUAUGAUUAUAUGAUAUAAUGCCCGCACACUGUUGGUGGGCUUAAGACAUAAACUUUCAAUUUAAAUGUGAAAAAAUUAUUUAUCUAAGGCAGAUGGAAUGGUAGACCGAGCACAUUUGUUCUAGUGUACGUUAACAUUUAUUGUUUCCGAAAACAAAGAAUAUUUUGGUACAAGAUAAAACAAUUGUAAAUAUGUAUUUGGAUACAUUCGAAGAUAUUUUAGAAGAUAUUCUUCGUAGCGUUUAGAUAAAAAAUCUAGAACAAUAUUUAAAUAUAUUUUUAAAAAUAAAAUAAUUAAUUUAUAUUAGUAUAUUUUAUAUAAAAUUAUUUCAUAUAGUAAUUUAUAAUAUAAUAUUUUAUGUAAUAAUUUAAUUUAAAAUAGCAUAUUUAUGUUAAUAUAUAUAAUAAUUUAUUUUCUAUAAUAAUUUAUUUUAUAUAAUUUAUUUAUAAUAUAUGUAAGGAAUAAAGUAUAAUACUAACAAUAUCCUUAUAAUUUUAAUUAAUAAUAUUAUAAAUUUUAAUACAAAUUAAAAAUAUUUGUAAUAUAUGAAAAAUGAUUUUAUAUAUAAAAUACUUAAUAUUAAAUAAAAUAAUUAAAUAUUAAUAAAUAAAUAAUAAAACUUAAUAAAAUAAAUAAUAUAUCAAAUUUAAUUAAUUUAUAUUAUAUAAUAAAAUUUAAGUAUAAAUAUAUUAUCAUAAAAAUAUUAAUAUAUUUAUNAUAUAUAUAUAUAAAGAGAAGAACAAAGUUGUGUUUAGUUUUCCUUCGAACCAUUUUUAACGGAUUGUUCCAGAAUAACCUGCUUUUAGCGGAACAACCCAUUCUCUUUAGUUCUUCCAUCGGUUGGUUAUAAAUUGGAGGAUAUACCGUCUUGUUCCAGAAUAUCUCCGAUACCAAAUACAGCCUAGAGGAAUAGUAAUGUAUUUCCUAUUCAAACUUUGGUUCCUAGGAGGAGAACUUUGUGGAAAAAAUGGAUUACUAUAAAAGGUACUAUGAAACUUUUUGAAAGAUUCAAGACAUGAAAAUUAAUUUUAAAAAAUGGAAUAAUGAGGUUAGAAGACUAUUGGAAUUUUAACUUAGGGCGUCCUAAACUGCUAAGUAGAUUAAAUUCUGAUGGCAUACCAUGUUAGACCGUCAAUUAAUUGAUUAUUUCUAAUAACUUAGGCUUUUAUUGAUAAUUAGUUGUUUUACAAAAUUAAGCUGAUUUAAUUACUAUAUUAUAGUCAACACUUCUUACCGCAUGUGCCUUGUUGUUUGACUUCUGUCACUGCAUCAUAGUCCCUCCAAUCUAUACUAUCGGGCACUGCGGACAUGUUUACAUCCUCAAAGGACGUCAAGGGCGCCUCUUGCUUCACGUUUAGGGGGAUAGAAGCACUGGUGUACUUACUCAGAAAUUCAUCAAAUGUCAUAUCAGCAAAUUGGUUGGUGCCGAGAGUGUACGAGUUUCCGCUCCGAUUAUUGAAGGUUUCAAUAUAGUUCACGUUAUCCUGAAAUAUCUGAAACCGCCGCCACUUCUCCGCAUCAUCUGCAUAAACACGGCCGAACCGAGCCAUCCAUUCUUCGAACCUCUGCAUCAUGGGAUGACUAGGAGAAGUUGCCCGGGGCGAAGCCCACAUCAGAGAAACAACCAUGUAAAAAAACAAGAGUAGAUAUUUGGAACCCAUGUGUAGCAGUACUAAUAAUAGCAGCUGCACUUGGAAGGGAGACUAUUUAUAUGAUCUAGCUUUCGUUGUGAGGAUGAGCUUCUCGCAUCGAGCUUAUAUAUAUAUAUAUAUAUACACUCAUAUAUAUAGAAGUGCGCGAUUGCUACAUGGAGUAUUAGUGGGAGAUAGAUGUGGACCAUUAUCGAAGGAAAAUAAUUGCCUUUCCUGUUUAAUAAUUAGUUGAGGGAUCCAACACUAGCUUGAUAGGUAAUUAGAAUUAGAUAGGUACAUUAAUUCAUAUCCGUUUUUAUUAACGUAAAGCUAUAUAUAGAUCCAUGGUUCGUACCCUCAAAUCAAUCUUUAAAAAUAAGGAUUGAACCCAGUUCUUAAAUUAUUGUCUAAUUCUAGACUUAUUAGAUAGCAUUCUAUUUUGAAGGAUCAAUUUCUUGUAUACUCCUGUAAGGACUGAGCCCUUGAUGAUUAAUAUCUAAGGUCUCAAAUUCGAACUUUAGUUAUUUUAUAUUUCUAGCAGAGUACAUUUCUAUAAAGCUAAACGAAGCUGAUAACUUGUUACCAUUCACUUUCUCAAAAAAAAAAAAAAAAAAGAAGAGAAAACUAAAAGGUUACUAAUAAGAUAAUAGCAGUAAUAAUAGUACAAGGAAAUGUAUAGAGUUCCUCUUGAUCAAUUAUUAGCUAUGACAAAUGAAUGAUUGGAUCAUUGAGGAAAAAAAAAANAUAUAUAUAUAUAUAUAUAUAUAUAUAUAUAUAUAAUGAAAACUCUAUUCAAACAUAUAUUUUUGGGAUGUAUGAUAUACACCUAUUCUUUCUAAGGUGCUAGUAGAAUCCAUUCCAUCUUUAAAAUGGAUGGGUGUAUAUCAUACAUCCUAAAUAGGGAUGUAUGUUUAGUAUUACUCUUUUGAAAUAUUUCUAGCCCCAUCAAUUGAGUUUACAUAUUUUAACUUUUAAGUUGAGUUAUCAUUUUAGCAAAAUAUUUUAAGAAUUUUCAGAAUUUUUCAAUAUUUCCAUGAAAUUUUAUAAUCUCAAUUACUUUUUAAAAUUAGUAUAAUUAAUUGCUAUAUAUCUGAUAGAGUGCUUUUUUAAAUUAAAUUCAUUUUUUUAGUUAAAUAACUAGGAAUUUUUAAAGUGAAAAUAUAAGAUGGCAAUUUUAAAAUGUCUUAUAUACAUUUGAGGAGGCCUCCGUUCAUCCAUUUAGUGGGUAGGCCUCCGUGCAUUUUUCUCAUUUAAUGAAAAUUUGAACUGAAAUUAUACUUAGAUAUUCUUGCCAUAACAACAUUCUAAAAAAAAAGAAAAUGUAUUUUGAUAUAGUUCCGACACAGACUUUGAAAAAAUAAAAAAAUUGACAAUUUUAUUGGUAGAUGUGAUGCGUUUGUAAAUUUAACGGUAUAAAAUAAUUCAAAUCUGAUGAAAUUUUUAUAGAAAAUUUUUUUCACUAUUUAGAGUAAGAUCAAUACCUCUAAUCUUAAAUUCAAAUCUUUUGUCAUCAUUUUUUAUGAGAUUUUUAUUUUCAAUCAUUAACUUUUAGACUACUCAUUUGAUAGGUAAUGAUGCCAAAAAAUUAUGAAAUUUAGCUUCAAAAUACUUUAAAUAAUGUAGAUCAACUCGAGCAGAGCCGAUCGUUGAUUUGGAAGCCGCACCAUUAAAAAUAACUUGGUAGCACGGAGGUCUCCAUGCUACCGAUAGUAUACCAGCCUUGCUUUCUUUCUCUCUCUAUAUAUAUAUAUAUAGAGAGAGAGAGAGAGUCCAGUUGUGAUACUAUCGAUAGCACCAAGGACUUAGUGCUAUUGAGUUUUCUACCGUUAAAUUUAACCGUUUGGUUAUUUUUACUCAUUAGAUUAUACUAUUCAAUCAACCACCCACUCAACUCUAGGGGACCCACAUCAUCCUAACCGCAUAUUUCUCAAUCCAAUGGCUAAAAAACUAAUAACACCAAUAACUUUGUGCUAUUGAUAGUGUUCCAGCCUAAUUUUAUCAAUAACAUUAAAUUAUUGGUGUUAUUAAAUUUUCAGUUAUUGAAUGAAAAAAAUAUACGGUUAUGAUGAUGCGGGCUCCUCGAGAAUUGAGUGAGUAAUUAGUGAGUUGUUAGUUGAGUUAUUAGUUGAAUCGGUCAAACUGGAAGCCACGAGGAACACGAACCACUUAAGCACGCAGAAUACAUAACGCACACAUCCAAACAAGUUAACUCGAUCUCCACGCACACGUCGACGUUAUUUAGUAGCUGUCGAGUUUAUCGUGUCGCGAGCAGAUCGAUCGAUCACUUCAUAUAUAGCUGAAUUAUACAUCGCUUCGAUCUGAAUUAUACAGCGCUUAUGCCAUCAGAUCCCACGUCGGAGAGUUCGAGAGGAGUCGAGUUGAUAAUCGGGAUGAGCGGCCACUCGGCAAUACCACAUAAUCCUUCAACUGCAGCGACAUCUCUUUCCAAACGCCCGAACCCCUUUUCGCCCCAGUUUUUUCCCCACGAGUUCUUCAGUAUCCAAUAUUUAUCUCCGGUAUUACUGUCCUCGCCAUAACCUAUAAUGGUGACGGCAUGGUUGACUGCAGUUCCGCAGGGUCCCUUAAAGACGCCACCGUUGUAAAGCUGGAAGUCCUUGGUGGCUUCGACAGCGGAGGCUACCGGUUGCUUCGACACGGCAACCUUAAGACUGGCUUCGUUCUUUCUAGGCAGAAACUUGUAAGCGUCGAUUUCAGCUGCAUUCGGCACGAUGUUGGACUCGCAAUUGCCUAGAACUCCUGUAUAGGGAUAGGAAGACUCGGUUGUCACACCUCCAUUCCGUAUGAUGAAUUUGUAGGCUUGGUGCACCCAGCCUCCACCUUUGCACCCGCUGCUAACGCUGCAAUCCAGAACCUCCUGCUCUGAUAGGGAUAUCAGUGCUCCUUUUUUGAUCUUGUAGAUUCCUUCCACCGUCGCAAUCGCAGUGAACGCCCAGCAAGAUUCUAUUCGAAAGAAAAAUUUUACUAUAGCAUUUGCAAGAGAAAUAUAUAUAUAUAUAUGUCCGUUAUUAAUUAAUUAAGGCAAAAGAAAUUAUAUAUGUCAUUUAUUAAGACAUAAUUAUGUAAUAAUAUUUAAAUCUAUAAGAAACCCGUAUUAUUGUUAUCAUUAAAUUAUUAUUGUUGAGUACAAAUCGUACUAAUAAAUAAUAAUUUUUUUUUAUUGUUGUUGUUAUUAGUACUUAGCACAAUAAAAUAAUUUGUAUUAAAAUAUAUAAUAUGUUAAAAUAUAUUAUCUUUUAUUAUAUUUAUACAUUUAUAUAGAGCUAAGCUCCUAUACUAUCUAUAAUACCAGUCUUUGAUACUAUAGUCUUGUUUUCAACUUUAAAAUAUUCGAAUUAAUGAUUCAUGCCGUUAAAAACUGAUUUAGGGUAUUUGAAGUUUUUGAAAUAAAAUUUUAUAUUUUUUCGAUGGAUUGCUUAUGAUCAAAUCAUUUAAAAAUUAUCAAUUUUCAAUGACUAGUAUGGUGAGUUUGUAAUAUAUAUAACGGUAUAAAAAAUUCUAAAUUUAUUCAUAUUUUUAUAAAAAAAAUAUUUUAAACUAUUUAGAUCAAGAUCAACAUACUUAAUCUUGAAUUUAAAAGUUCUAUCCUCAAAUUUUAAAAUUUGUUCAAUUUUAACUGUUCAUUUUAAUAUGAUUUACUUACUAAGUAAAUAAUGUCAAAAAAAGUUAAAAUUUUAUUUUUAAGAAUUUUAUAUAUUCUAAAUCAUAUGUUACGUUGUGGAUUAUUGAUUUGAACAUCUUAAGAUCGAAAAUAAAACUAUAAUACCGGAAGCAUCGAUACUAUAUAUAGUAUAAUAGCCUAAUUUCGUUUAUAUAUAUAUAUAUAUAUAUAUAUACUAUUGGGGACGGUUUAUAAUUAUCACAUUUGACGGUCUCACCCCAUAUCUGAUAUGAAGACACAUGAUAUAUGAUAUAAUGCCCGCACACUGUUGUUGGGCUUAAGACAUAAACUUUCAAUUUAAAUGUGAAAAAAUUAUUUAUCUAAGGCAGAUGGAAUGGUAGGCCGAGCACAUUUUGUUCUUGUGUUAACAAGGGCUGCGUUUGGUUGAAAAACUAAAUUUUGUAAAACAACUUUUGUUAUUCCCGAGAACAAAAAAUAUUUCGGUAAAAGAUAGAAUCAUUGUAAAUUUGUGUUUGGAUACAUUUGGAGAUAUUUUAAAAAAUAUUCUUACUAGCGUUUGAAUAAAAAGUCUAGAAUAAUAUUUAAAUAUAUUUUUAAAAAUAAAAUAAUUAAUUUAUAUUAGUAUAUUUUAUAUAAAACUAUUUCAUAUAUUAAUUUAUAAUAUAAUAUUUUAUGUAAUAAUUUAAUUUAAAAUAGCAUAUUUAUUUUAAUAUAUAUAAUAAUUUAUUUUAUAUAAUUUAUUCAUAAUAUAUGUUAUGAAUAAAGUAUAAUACUAAUAAUAUCCUUAUAAUUUUAAUUACUAAUAUCAUAAAUUUCAAUACAAAUUAAUAAAUAUAUAUCAUGUAUGAAAAAUUGAUUAUAUAUACAAUACUUAAUAUUAAAUAAAAUAACAAAAUAUUAAUAUAUAAACGAUAAAACAAAAUAAAAUAAAUAAUAUAUCAAAUUUAAUUAAUUUAUAUUAUAUAAUAAAAUUUAGGUAUAAAUAUAUCAUCAUAAACAUAAUAUUUAUAUUAAUAUAUUUAUUUAUAUAUCUAUUUAUCUAAUAAAAUAAAAAGAAGAACAAAUUUAUUCUUAGUUUCCCUUCGAACAAUUUUUAACAAGUUGUCCCAGAACAAUCCGUUUUGAUCGGAACAACCCCUUUUUUUCAUCUUUCACCAUUUGGUUACAAAUUAGGAAUAUGCCGUUUUAUUCCAGAAAAUCUCCAGUGCAAACGCAGCCUAGCUAGAGGAAUAGUAAUAAAUUUCCUAUUCAAACUUUGGUUCCUACGAGAGAGAUCUUUGUGAAAAAAAUGGAUUACUAUAAAAGGUACUAAUAAAAUGUUACUUUAAAUACCAUACUUUCUAAACUUUCUUCUAUUUAGGCUCGAAAUUUAUUUGACACAUCCAAGACACAAAAAUUAAUAAAAUGAAAGAGAAUUAAAUGAGGUUAAUUAGAAGCCUACUGGAAUUUUAACUCAGGGCCUCCUAAACUGCUAAUUAAGUAGAUUUAGUACUCAUGGCGUACAUGUUAGACAGUUAAUUAAUUGAUUAUUUCUAAAAACUUAGGCUUUUAUUGAUAAUUAGUUGUUUUACAAAAUUAAGCUGCUUUAAUUAAUAUAUUAUAGUCAACACUGCUUACCGCAUGUGCCUUGUUGUUUGACUUCUGUCACAGCAUCAAAGUCCCUCCAAUCUAUACUGUCGGGCACCGCGGACACGUUUACAUCCUCAAAGGACGUCAAGGGCGCCUCUUGCUUCAAGUCUAGGGGGAUAGAAGCACCGGUGUACUUACCCAGAAAUUCAUCAAAUGUCAUAUCAGCAAAUUGGUUAGUGCCGAGAGUGUACGAGUUUCCGCUUCGAUUAUUGAAGGUUUCGAUAUAGUUCACGUUAUCCUGAAAUAUCUGAAACCGCCGCCACUUCUCAGCAUCAUUUGUAUAAACACGACCGAACCGAGCCAUCCAUUCUUCGAACCUCUGCAUCAUGGGAUGACUAGGAGAAGCUGCCCGGGGCGAAGCCCACAUCAAAGAAACAACCAUGUAAAAGAACAAGAGAAGAUAUUUGGAACCCAUGUGUAGGAGAAGCUGCACUUGGAAUGGAGACUAUAUGAUCUAAUGAGGAUACGCUUCUCGUAUCGAGCUUAUACAUAUAUAUAGAAGUGCGUGAUUGCUACAUGGAGUAUUAAUUAGUGGGAGAUCGAUGCUGUGGAACAUUAUUGAAGGAAAAUAAUCGCCUUUCCUCUCUAAUAAUUAGUUUGAGGGAUCCAACGCUAGCUAGAUAUAGGUAAUUUAGAAUUAGAUAGGUACAUUCAUAUCCUUUUAUUAUCGUAAAAGCUAUAUCUAGAUCGAUGGUUCGUACCCUCAAAUCAAUCUUUAAAAAUAAGGAUUGCACCCAAUUCUUAAAUUAUUGUCUAAUUCUAGACUUAUUAGACAGCAUUAUAUUUUGAAGGAUCAAUUUCUUUAUAUACUCCUGUAAUGACUGAGCCCUUGAUGAUUAAUAUCUAAGAUCUCAAAUUCGAACUUUAGUUAUUUUAUAUUUCUCGCAGAGUUCAUUUCUAUAAAACAAAACGAAACUCAUAGCUUCCGACCCUUCUCUUUCUCAUAAACAAAAAAAAAAAGAAAAACAAAAAAAAAAACCUAAAAUGCUACAGAUAAAUAGUCGCAGUAAUAAUAGUACAAAGAAAUGUGAGAGUCUCUUGAUCAAUUAUGGCUAAUGACAAAUGAAAGAUUGGAUCAUUGAGGGAAAAAAUAUAUUGAAUCCCCUCCAUCAAUUAUAGACCAUUGCUCUUUGAUAAUAUAUAUAUAUAUAUAUAUAUAUAUAUAUAUAUAUAUAUAUAUAUAUAUAUAUAUAUAAUAAAAACUCUAUUCAUACAUUUUUUUUUAGGGUGUAUGAUGUACACCUACCCUUUCUAGGAUGCUAGUAGAAUCCAUCCCAUCUUAGAAUGGGUGGAUGUAUAUCAUACAUCCACACUUAGAAUAGGUGCGUGUAUAUCAUACAUGCUAAAUAGGGAUGUAUAUUUAGUAGGGAAAAUUUCAUAGAUGCCCCUGUAGGAGACCGAAAUUUCAUCAAUAGCCCUCUAAAAUUCAAAAUAUCAUGAAUGCCCUUCUAAAUUUAAAAAAUAUUCAUGAAUACCCCUACAGGUUAUGUACCGUUAGAAUCUAACGGAAUAAGGUGUAAAUACCAUUUCUGCCCUUGCACUGCUCCUUAACUAUAGGGAUAAUAUCACAGAUGCCCUUCUAGAAAUAGUUAAUUUCAUUAAUACCUAUCAAAAAUUGAUAAUAACACGAAUACUCUCCAACAUAUUAAAAAUUAUCACAAAUGCCCUCCACUAGUUAAUAUCCGUUAAAAUCAUUAAAUUUUUAAAAUAUCAUUUUUACCCUUUAUCUCUUAUCAAUAAUAGAAACACUAAUAGGUAUUUCAAGAUAAUUUUUAUAAAUCUAAAUUUGACUAUUUAAUAUAUAAAUAUUAAAUUAAUUUUUAAAUGAUAUAUAAAAAUUGUAUUUUAUAUAUAGUAUGUUUUUAUAUGGUUUUGGUUUUGUUUUUGGCUUCGAGUUUUGGUUCAAAUUCGAUUUGGAUAUAGACCAAAAUCAUAACUAAAUUUAAAUACGAUGAGAGUUCAUUUUUUUGUACUUAUAAUUGAAACUAUCCCGCUCAGCAUCGAUUAAGCUCAUCUCAUUCAAAAUUGAGUUCACAUAAAAUUGUAUACCUAUAUCAUUUCACAUUCCUAAUCAGUAAUAGUAAUUUGAAAUAAAUUAUAGAUUUUAUGUUUUUCCUAUUUAAUCAAAAAUAAAUUACAUAACUAUAUCAAUAUGCAUGCUUUUUUUAUUGAUUUUUUUAAAAAAAGAGAAUUUUGUUCAAAAGCUUAAAUAUAUUAUAUUUCAGUUUUUAAUGCAUUUAAUGCAGAUAAAAUUAUUGAGAAUAAUUUAAGCUUCCAAAAUUAAAGAAAGAUCGAAAAAUCCUCAACAUUUACUUUUAUUUAAUUUUUUAUACAUAGUUAAAAUAAAUGGAGCCACUAGAUUUGGUGAAAUCAUAAAAACCUUGAUAAAAUUUUUAUUUUUCAUACACUAAAAUUAGUUAAUUUUUUAAAAAACCAAAAGUUAAUGGGAUGUUAACUUAAAAAAAUAAAAGUUGAGGGAGCCAUUGAGGGGCUCUCCAUACAUUUUUAUUAAAGAGAUAGGUGAGGGUAAAUAGGUCAUUUUAAAAGUUAACCCAUCUUUAACCAUUAAACAACUAUGGUAAAGGUAAUAUAACUAACUGUAGGGGUAUGGGUGAUACUUUUUUAUAUUUAUAGGGGCAUAUAUGAUAUUUUAAACUUUAUAGUGGCAUCCAUGAUAUUUUCAGCUUUAGGAGGGUUAUCUAUGAAAUUGCCCCUAUUUAGUAUUACUCUUUUGAAAUAUUUCUAGCCCCAUCAAUUGAGUUUACAUACUUUAAUUUUAAGUUGAGUUAUCGUUUUAGUAAAAUAUUAAUUGUAAGAAUUUUCAGAAUUUUUAAAUAGUUCCAUCAAAUUUAUAAUCUCAAUUACUUUUUAAAAUUAGUAUAAUUAAUUGCUACAUAUCUGAUAGAGUGCUUGUUUAAAUUAGAUUCAUUUUUUUACUUAAAUAACUAGGAAUUUUUAAAGUGAAAAAUAUAAGUUGGCAAUUUUAAAAUGUCUUAUAUACAUUUGAGGAGGCCUCCGUUCAUCCAUUUAGUGGGUAGGCCUCCGUGCAUUUUUCUCAUUUAAUGAAAAUUUGAACUGAAAUUAUACUUAGAUAUUCUUGCGAUAACAACAUUCUAAAAAAAAAAUGUAUUUUGAUAUAGAUCUGAUACAGACUUUGGAAAAAAAAAAAAAAAAAAAGGUUCUUUGAUAUACUUAUCAUAUCAAUAUUCCUAAACAAUAAAUAAAUAAAUAAAGAUAUAGGUCCGAUAACAUAUUUGCUUACCUUUUUUUGUUACUGAAAAAUUUUCUGUUGGUCUUUGCAUUCAGAGAAAAAAAUGCUUAGUGUAUGUAUAUAUAUACACUAGAGUUAUUAUGUAUCCAGAAAAAUAAAGAUCUAGAAUUUGGUAAUUUUAAUUUUUUUGCCCUUAGAUCAAGAAUUAUAGAGUUGGGAUUAUAGUGGUCCCACCCUAAGAUUUAAUGGUCUCCUUAGCGGAAUAAUAUUAAUUCAAGAGUUAGAAAUGGUCAAAAUUUUGAUUAAAGAUUAAAAAUUGAAACCACCAAAUUAAUGAGUCCAUUCUCCCAACCCUUUAAAUUGUUAUGAUUGUGUCCUUAACCUCUUACACAAUUUUCAAUUGAGUACUUUCGCUCUCAAUUGUUGCAAUUAGAUCCUUAACUUGUUUCAUUAGUAUAUAUACAUGGUAUGAUUCAUGCAGUCGAAGUACUUGUUAAAAAAUAGGUCUUAUAAACGCUUAAAAUGUAGUGGAGAGGCAGGUUUAAAUUAUAUCUAGAUUUAACAUUUCAUUUAAAAUCAAAUCUGAAACUCAUAAUAGUUCAUAACAUGUCGUCACAAACUUUUAGCAGGUCCAAGACAAGAACUAAGUUAAAAUGGGUGGAAUUUUGAUUCUUUUUCUCCAAAUAACACAACAAUUUUUUGUGUAAAAGCGUCCGCCGCUCCAUAUAUAGCAUAUCUCAUCGGAAAAAAAAAAACAUUUUUAAAUUUCUUUUUUGUAUGCAUAUAUAGUAUAAGAUGAUAAGUAUUUUAAUUUUUGAUGAAUACGUACAAUUUUUUAAAAUAAUAUAAAUAAGUUAUAUAUGGUGAAUAAUUUAUUUUUAAAAAAUAUAUGAACUAUUAAUAAAAUAUAUUAACUUUUAUUCAUUUGAAAAAUAUAAUAAUAUUUUAGCAAAAUUAAUAUUUUAUAUAUAAAAAAAUAUAUUAUAUUAUAUUAAUAAUAUUAUAUUUUAUUAUAAGCGGUGUCUUGCUAUACCGCAUCCGUAUCUUACUUUCCAAAAACUGCUAAGUCAUCGUGUCCGAACUGUGUCGUAUUUCGUAUUUUGUGUCCGUGUUUCGUGUAUGUACCGGUGAUGCCUAACUAGCUAGCUAGCUAGCUAGAGAAAAUUGUCGAGCUUUAAUCAUCUAUAUAUAUAUAUAUAUAUAUAUAUAUAUAUAUAUAUAUAUAUAUAUAUAUAUAUAUAUAUAUAUAUAUAUAUAUAUAUAUAUCACACACGUAGUUCAUCACAGUAGUAAUAAGCAGCACACUUUUAAUUACUACUUGAUAUUCUUACUAGCUAGUCAAAGCAGAAUACACAUCGAUCACAACAUACAUAUACAAAUGGCUUGAUCAUAAUACGAUAAUUAUUCAAACUUGCGAAGGAACGCGACAAGGUGAGGAUCACUUGAUCAAAUUGGUAAUAAACGACGAGGAACUCGAAGCACCUCCUUAAUUAUUUGUUAUAUAUUGGUAGGGAACGAUCGCUUCAUAUAUAUAUAUAGCUAAAUCGCAGCUUCAACCUUAUGCAGAGCUUCUUAGGCUAUCAGAUCCAACAACGGCGCCGGCGAGUUCCGUAGGAGCAGUUGAUGUGAUAGUUGGGUAAACUAGCUGCUUGGUAAGACCGCAUAAUCCAGAUUUGGAAGCGACAUCUUUUUCCAAUCUCAUGAAGCCAUUUUCUCCCCAGUUUGUACCCCAUGAAUUCUUUAUUAUCCAAUACUUAUCUCCAGUACUGUUGUCCGCUCCAUAACCUAUGACAGUGAUGGCAUGGUUAAUCAUAACUCCGCAAGGUCCUUUAUAGAUACCGCCGGUGUAAAGCUGGAAUUUCUUAUCUGCUUCGACGGCCGCGGCAACCGGUUGCUGCGACACGGCGUUCAUAAGUUUACUUUCACUGCGAGGCAGAAACUUGUAACCGGUUAUAGAAGCUGCAUUGGGCACGAUGUUGGAAGCGCAAUUGCCUUGAACUUCUUUGUAGGGAUACGAAGCUUCCGUUGCCACGCCUUUGUUAGAUAUGAUGAAAUCGUAGCCUUUGUGCACCCAGCCUCCGCCUUUGCACCCAUAACUAACGCUGCAAUCCAGAACCUCCUGCUCUGAUAGAGGUAUCAGCGAUCCUUUUUUAAUCUUGUAGAUUCCUUCCACCGUCGCAAUUGCAGUGAAUGCCCAGCAGGAUUCUACUCCGAAAACAAAGAUUCAAUUAAUUGUUUAGCAUUUACAAUAGAAAUUAUGUCCGUUAUUAAGACAUAAUUAUGAAAACAUCCAAACAAUAGGUUUUCUUUUUCUCUUUCUUUUUUUUCCAAGAGAAAGGUAGCAAGUUGCCUCCUUCCUAUAUUUUUUUAAAAUAAAUAAAUUUAGAAAGAAAUUUAAAAUAAUUAAAUUUUGAAUUUGGAAUCUCGAAUAUCAACCGGCAAACUUUUAGCCAACUGCACUAGAUACGAUCGGCAGCAAAACUAAUUAGAAGUUAUUACGAAACCAAAACGUACUGCUUCUAACAAUCUCCUAAGAAGUGAAUUCCCACAGCAGAUAUAUAUCCUCUUGAAAAGAGGAUGGCCAAGUGAUUAACAUUGCGGUUUAUAAUAAAUUAAUUUUACAAUAAUUUAUUUUUAUUAAAUUAUAUUUUAUAUCAAAUUCAAUUAUUAUAUUUUUUUUUCACUAUCCUCUGCUAAUUAAUCAAACACAAUUUUAACUAUUUCUGAGAAUAGCAACAUUACAAACUAAAUAUAAUUUUAUUUUUAUUCUUGAUUAGCUCUUGAAUAGUAAAUUAUUCCAGAGAUAAAAAAAAUUUAUUCUAAUGUUUGUUAUCCUGAAACCAAAUAGGACCUUAUUAGUGCAUUCCAAUAGCAUAGACUACUGUUUUGUAAUUAGGUACACUUCUUUUUUCGGGGCGUGCGCGCUUAUUUUAGGUCUAUUUUUAGGUCAAAAAAUGAACUUCUUAAUGAUAUAUACUUGGUUGUAUUCACCAGUAUCAGCAAACAGUAACUUAUUGCACAGCAAGGCUAACUUCAUUUCAUGUGUUUCAAGUACCUUUUCGAGGAUAUUUAUUCACGUGCUUAUUUAAUUUCAAUGCUAGCUACAGUGAAGGUCCGUACUAUUCAAAACUUUUCUUGGGAAAAGGAACUCUAAAAGGAGACCAUAUAAAUUUGUUUUACUGAUAAUGCAUGAAAUGGUCUCUCUUUUUUUUUUUCCAAAAUAAACACGUCCAAUUAAUUCUUAUCACGUACGCUACUACCCUGUGACACUUCAUUUCGUUCGAGUACAAGCAAGAAUUAUUUAUUUUAGAAAUAGAUACAAAUUUUGAAAUUUACGUUUAGAUAAAAAUUGAGUUGUUCUCGAAAAUAAAAAAAAAAUAACGUUUGAAUAGAUAAGAUACAAUAAAAAAAAUAUUGAAUAGUUAUAAAUAGAAAAUAAUGAUAUUAUUCCUUAUAUUAUAUUUAAAUUAAUAUUUUAUAUUUUAUAUUUAAAUUUUUAAAUUUAAAUAUAUAAUUUUUAAAUUUUUAAAUUUAAAUUUAAAAUUUAAAAUCUCGAAUUCGAGAGUUUGAGCUAGCUAGGAGGGUCUUGUUCUAAUGUUAACUGUUAAAUAUAAAAAUGUUUAAACACCGUUCUCUAACAAUUUAAGCUUUUGAGUACAACGGUUGUUUCACAUGCUAUUAAUUUCCUUCCAUUUAAUUCAAGCCCACGUCAUGGCCGAUUAAAAAGUCUCGAGCCCAGACGUGAGGGGGACUACUAUGCUAUCGAAAGCACGGAGCCUUCCGUGCUUCCAGCUCGUUUUCGAUGUUGCAACUUUCGAAUUGUCGAUCGGCUCCGUUAAACUUGAUCUAGAGUAUUUGGAGUAUCUAGAAAAUAAAUUUUAUUAUUUUUUGAUAUCAUUUGCCUAGUGAUCGAAUGGGCUCAAAAUCAACAAAUUUCAAUGGCCGUAGUGUGCUGUUUGCAAGUUUAACGGUGUAGAAAUAUCUAAAUCACGUGAAAUUUUGAUAGAAAAUUCUUUAUACUAUAUAAAACAAGAUCAAUAUCUUUGAUUUAAAAUUUUAAUGUCAUAUUAUUACAUUUUGUAAGAUUUUUAUUUUCAGCCGUUGAUUUUGAGCCCCUUCGUUCACUAGGCAAAUGAUAUCGUAAAAUCAUAAAAUUUAUUUUCUAGGUACUUCAAAUACUCUAGAUCAAGUUUAACGGAGCCGAUCGACGAUUCGAAAGUCGCAACAUCGAAAACGAGCUAGAAGCACGGAAGGCUCCGUGCUUCCGAUAGCAUAGUAGCCUCACUCUAUAUAUAUAUAUAUAUAUAUAUAUAUAUAUAUAUAUAAAUAAUACGUACUUAACACUUCUUACGGUGUAUGCCUUAUUGUUUGACUUUUAUGAUAACAUUAUAGUCCCUCCAAUCUAUACUUUGAGGCACUGAGGACAUUUUACGUUCUCAAAUUAUGUCAACGGCGCCUCUGACUUCAUAUUUAGAGGGACUGAUUUUAUGUUCAUGGCAUGUCAUGUUAGAAUGUCGCUUAUCUUUAAAAACUUAAACUUACAUGUGAAACUAGCUAGUUGCUUUACAAAAGGACACUGCUUUAAUAUAUAUUACAUUUAACAUUUCUUACCGCAUCACUUAAUGAAUGAAGCAGGUAGCAGCUUGCUACCUAUUUCUUAAAAAAAAAUACUUCUUACCGCAUGUGCCUUGUUGUUUGACUUCAGUGACGGCACCAUGGUCCCUCCAAUCUAUGCUCUUAGGCACCGCGGAUAUAUUUACAUCCUCAAAUGAUGUCAAGGUCAAUGUCUCUGACUUCAUUUUUAGAGGGACAGAUGUACCGGUGUACUUAGCUAGAAAUUCAUCAAAUGUCAUAUCAGCAAAUUGGUUAGUGCCGAGAGUGUACGAGUUCCCGCUUCGAUUAUUGAAGGAUUCGAUAUAGUUCACGUUAUCCUGAAAUAUCUGGAACCGCCGCCACUUCUCCGCAUCGUCUGUAUAAACACGAUGGAACCGAGCCAUCCAUUCUUCGAACCUCCGCAUCAUGGGAUCAUCCGGUAGGCUACGAGAAGCUGCCCGUGGCGAAGCCAACAUUACAGAAACAACCAUGUAAAAUAACACAAGUUGAAAUUUGGAACCCAUAAUAUCACCUACACUUUGGAAUGGUUUAAUUUCGUUUGUGUGGAUGAGCUCCUUGCCAAAUCGAGCUUAUAUAGAAGUUCGUGACUACAACUAGAAGCAUUAGUAGGAGAUAGAUGCUGUGGAAAAUAAUGGAAGAAAAAUAAUCGAAGGGCCUAUUGAAAGCGGCCUUUUGGCCGGUGACAAUUAGUUGAGGAAUCCAAAGCUCGGUAGAUAUUUAACAAUUAGAUACCUGGAUCAAAAUCCUUUGAACAAUUAGAUGUUUACUGCUAUAAGCUAGAACUUAUAGAAACAGCACAACGGUAAAAUUUUCAAUGAGUUGUAUAGAUCAUCUGAAAAAAAAGCUCGAGUAUCUCACAAUAAUGCACUAAUGUUGUUUAAAUUUUUGUAACCGGAGGUUUCAAUUUGGGAGAUCAAUUAUUACUGUGGGCCUACUCAGCCCUAGUAAUUAUAACCUAUAUUUGUUUUACACGUAACUUCUAUUAUACAUUCAAUAAAACGUGUAGGUAAUACCCUGUACAUUCCUUUCACAAAAAAAAAAUCACAAAGCUAUAGAUUAUUUUCAAUUCGAUCACAAAACAAGUAAAGAAAUAUGACAAUAUUUGAAACGAAAUCUUUAUGGCCCAAUGCUUGCUCUUGCAAGUAUGAGUAAAUAGAAAUAGAAUUUGUGGCAAAUAAUUGAUUGUUUUAACUGUGUGCGUGCGUGUGUGUAUAUAUAUUGGAUCCCUUAAUCAAUUCUAUACGUUAAAUUAUGUUAUUCUAUCAACUAUCCACUAAAUCUUAGGAGACUACUAUCAUUUCAAACCUACAAUUUUUUAUCUUAAGGGUUAUAAAGUUAGUGGUAAAAAAGUACAAAUAUUAUUAAUAUUAUUCCAACACAAUUAUAUAAAUGUAUACGCAUAAAUUGCACCUUAAUUUCCAUGAUUAGAUUAAUAAUUAUAUAUUGUGAUGAUGUAAUUAUCGACUUUUACAUUCUUGUUCGAUUUUCUCUUCAAGGUGACCGCAAAGCAUUGCUCUUAUGGCUAGUCCUUAAUUCACAUCAAUCAUUAUAAUCAUCUAGCUUCCAUGAUUCAUAAGUUUUUUCGAUCGACCCGACUUUAAUUUUAUGUGUAAUUUAAAAAUUGUUAGUGUUAUUAAUUUAAAAGAUCAAUUUAAUUAAGAAUCUGCUUAUGAAUAGUCUUAAAAUUGAUAACUAUGCUGUGAUGGAUACAGAUUAUGUUUUUUUGAGAAAAAGAUAGCAUACUAUUAAUUUCGUUUAUUAUGUGGAGCGUAGAGCUUAUAAUAAUUGAACCCAUGCGUUAAUGCGUUGUAUCCAAAGUAGGAGAAGGACUAGGUGANUAUAUAUAUAUAUAUAUAUAUAUAUAUAUAUAUAUAUAUAUAGAGGUUGAGUAGUUGAUAGGCGUUUGUCAAUUGGCAGCUGCAUGUGUACCACAAUCUGACCUAAAAUUGAUUUAGGUACAUAAAUAGCUCCUGUAUUGUAAAAGCUCUAUAUAAGGUAAAUUCACAAAGCCCUCUUUUACAUUACCCCACGUCUCAAUUACCUCUUAGUAAUCGAAUUGUUGGUAUAUAUCUUACUACAGAGAUUGCAAACCCACCAUUCUAAAUCACGAUUUCGAAUUGCUCAUUCUGAUAUCCACCGAUUUCUUAUCAGAAUAGAAAAAAGUUGCAAACUGAUGGAGAAUUGAAAAAAAAAGGGGCAUGCACAUAAUUAGAUUAGAAGAGCAUGAGCGAUUCAACAGGAACGAUUCAACUAAUCCUGUGUAGCUGUGCAACUUUCCACAAUAUAUGCCCCAUUAAUUUUAGGUAAUUUUAAAGGAGGCACAUUAAGGUCGAGGGAACUGGUGUCAAUUGCAAGUACUUGGGGGAUUAUCUGGCUUAAACACAACAGGAGUAUUUUUUAGAAAAUGGAGGUAUUGGUGGGAAUAACCAAGAAUUACUAUUCUCGGAUAAAAAAUUAGUGUUUGGGUAUAAAAGGGGGAUAAGGGCCUAUUCCUAUCACUAUGUAGCCUAAUUUACUAUCUAAUUAAAUGAAGCAGUGGCAUGCUACUAUUUCUCAAAAAAAAAAAAAAAAAAAAAAAAAAAUAAAAAAAAAAAAAAAAAAAAAAAAAAAAAAAGGGUAAUUUUUACUGAAACCAAAUUCACCUUCUGUUUCUCUUUUCUCCUUUUCUUUUUCUUUUCUUUUCUCUCGUGUUUUCUUGUAGACUUCCUUAACUGAUGUCGAAACACUGUAUUUUAUUUUUAAUUAAUUGACGAUUUUUUUUUCCUCUUUCCAAAAGGAAAAAAGAAAAGAAUCUUUAAACUAAGAUGUAUGAAUUUGGUUUCAAGGUAAGGAUGAGGAUUAAAAUUUUCAUUAUUUUACCAAAAAGUCUCCACCAUCCUUAUAUUUUUUGAGCAAGAGAAAUAAAAGAAAGUAAACUUUUCUAUAAGUUUUUUGAGAAAUUAACUCAACUAGAAAUGCGAAACAACUAAUUUUUAAAUUUAGAAUCUUUGGUACCAACCAUUAAUUAGUCUCAGAUAUCAAUUAUUAAAUCUUUAACCAAUUUCACUAGAUACAGUCAGUACGUAGUAGUCUCUAUCUGCUUAUUGAUGUGAUGAGAUAGUGUGUUGGAUUAAUAAAGUAAAUUUUGGACGAACCCUGAAUUUUAGCUUGCGGUCGUAGUUUCUACUUAUAGCCUUCUGUGUGUGCGUGUUAAUGUCUAACGUGAGUUGGACCAGAAAUAGAUAAAAAUUAUAGGACUCAGAAGACAAAACCUUCCACUAGGCUUUUCUAGUAUACCAAAGGAACAAAUUAAACGAUCUUAUAUAGCAAUAUGAAUAAACUUCUCCUAUAUAGAUAUAGUCCAUAUUUUUAUCUGUGUUGGAACCCAAUUAAGUAAUUUACAUUAACCUCAUCCUACAAAAUGAGAUAUAAAUAGUUCACAGUAAGUAAACAGCUCACUUCAACUAAUACUUGAUAUUCAUGUCAAAUUAAGCUGAGUACCCUCGCACAAAGUACAAACAGUGGGAUAAUUAAUAAUACAUAUUCAAACUCGGAAUACGAAGCAAGUAACGAGCGAGGGAGAGAACCAUGCACACAACAGCCCUUUUUGUGACUUAAUUACAAGCUUAUACAGGAGCAAACAAGCACUUAAUUAAUUAGAUAGAGCUAGUUAUGCUGUCCGAUCCCGUGUCAGAGAGUUCGGAAUGAGGCAUUGAUGUGAGAGUUGGGUAGAGGGCGUACCGGGCAAUACCACAUAAUCCAGAAAAUGAUCCGGAUUCUCUUUGCAGCCUUAUGUACCCAGCUUCGCCCCAGUUUUGGCCCCAUGAGUUCUUUAUGAUCCAAAAUUUGUCUCCAGUCGUAUCGUCUUCUCCAUAUCCUAUAAUCGUGAUGGCAUGGUUAAUUUUGGUUCCACAAGGUCCUUUAAAGAUACCACCGCGGUAUAACUGGAAGUUCUUAUCGGCAUCGACUGCAGCAGCAACCGGUUGCUGCGACACAGCAUUCAUAAUGCUUCUUUCAUUUUUAGGAAGAAAUUUAUACCCAGUAAUGUAAGCUUCAUUGGGCACGAUAGUGGCGUCGACGCAAGUGCCUAUAACUCCAUUAUAAGGAUAGGAAGGCUCAGUUGUCACUCCUUUAUUAGCUAUGAUGAAAUCGUAUCCUUUUUCCACAAAGCCACCACGUUUGCACCCGUAGCUGUGACUGCAAUCUAGAAUUUGUUGUUCUGACACAUCUGGCAAUAUUCCUUUCUUGAUUUUGUAGAUCCCUUCCACCGUCGCAGCUGCCACAAACGCCCAACAAGAACCUAUAUAUAUAUAUAUAUAUCAAAAGAGAGAUUCAUAUUAGCUUCUACUGGAGAAAUUUGUGGAUUGCUUAAUACCAGAAAACAUUCGAACAAUUGAGCUUUUAUAUAUAGUUUUUCUAUAUAAAACCUAUAUACAUUUGCUAUGAAAAGAGAAAAUUUUCAAUCACUGGUUGUGACGGAAGGUUAAGCUACUAAAGAAUAGUACUCUCAAUCUCAAAAAAAGUAUUUUUUAACCUUUAUUUUCGACACUUCCCUUAAAUUUAGAUUCAAGACAAUUUGGUAGGCCCAAAAACAUGAAAUUGAAUUAAAUUGGAGAAAAUUAAGGAGUACACUGGGAUUUAAAUUUGCGGUCUUUGAUUGUAAUACCAUAUUAAACAAUCAAUUGUCUCUAAAAGCUUAAAAUUUAAGAUUUAGUAGAUGAUUAAUUGGGUGUUUCACAAAAUUAAAGUGCUUUUACAUAUUAUACUGAACAUUUCUUACUGCAUGUGCCCUGUUGCUUCACUUCUGUGACAGCACGAUCAUCCCUCCAAUCAACACUUUGAGGCGCCGAAGACAGGUUUACAUCCUCAAACGACAUCAAGGGCUCCGACUUCUGAUUUGCAGGGACAGAUAAACCAGUGUAUUGAGCCAAAAAUUCAUCAGUCGUCAUAUCAGCAAACUGGUUAACACCGAGAGUGUACGAGUUUCCGCUGCGGUUAUUGAAGGUUUCAACGUAGUUCACAUUGUCUUGAAAUAUCUGAAACCGGCGCAGCUUCUCGACAUCGUCAUUGUAAACUCGACCGUUCUCGGCCAUCCAUUCUUCAAACCGCUUCAUCAUGGGAUCACUGGGUUGGCCGCGAGAAGCUGCCGAUGGCGAAGCCCACAUCAAACAAACCAUCAGGUGAAAAACCAGUAGGUGAAACUUAAAAGCCAUAGCACUAAAUAGCAGCAAUACUUUGGAAUGGAAACUACAAGAGUUUUCGUUGGUGAGGAUGAGGUCCUCGCAUAGAGUUUUUAUAGAAGUACGUGGCUACUUGUUGGAGCAUUAUGAAUACAGAUCGAUGCUGGGGAAAAUAAUUCGAGGAAAAUAAUCGAAGGGGCUGUAGUUGAGGGAUCCAAAGCUGGGUUGAUCCAAAUCCUUUUAUAAUAUCAUAAUUUUACGUAUAUGCCAUUAUUAGUGCACAACCGACCGAACGGGUUGGUGAGUUACCAAAUUAAAGAAAAGUAGAAUCUGUUCAAAUUAUUUCAGGACCGUUCCCAUUAUUCAGCGUACGUAACUAAUUAUAUAUGUGGUAUGCUCACAAGUGAUUGAAAUUAUUAAGCAAACAAUGUAUUGAGAACCCCUCAUACAUGAAUUAUGAGAUAGUGUGUUGGAUUAAUAAAGUAAAUUUUGGACGAACCCUGAAUUUUAGCUUGCGUACGUAGUUUCUACUUAUAGCCUUCUGUGUGUGUGUGUUAAUAUCUAACGUGAGUUAGACCAGAAAUAGAUAAAAAUUAUAGGACUCAGAAGACAAAACCUUCCACUAGGCUUUUCUAGUAUACCAAAGGAACGAAUUAAAUGAUCUCUUAUAUAGCAACAUAAUUAAACUUCUCCUAAUAGUCCAUAUUUUUAUGGGUAAAAUUAUAUUGUUACCUCCUGAACUUUUAGCAAAGUUUUCACUUUAUCCCUCGAACUUCUAAAAUGGACAUCUAAUACUCUAAAUUCCAAUAUUUUGUUCAUGUUACUCUUUCCGUUAGUUUUUUCAUCAAGCUCCGUUAACCGGAAACUGACGGAAGGGAUAAAACGAAUAAAAUAUUAGAGUUUAGGGUAUUAGAUGUUUAUUUUAGAAGUUUGGAGGGUUAAGUAAAACUCGCCAAAAGUUCAGGAAAUAGCAGUGCAAUUUCACAUAUGAAAAAUUAAGGACCUAUUUAGCUCCUUAAAAAAUAGUAGAAAACUAUUUUUUGCGGAAAAUUUUUUUGUGAAAAAAGAGAAUUUUAAAUUUUUAUUGUUUGCUUCGACAAAAAAAAAAAAAAAAAGUUUUUCAUUCAUGCAUGUUUGGUGACAAGAAACAAAUGACGAGAGAGUGAGUGAGUAAUAGCUUGCCAGCGCGAUGCAGCAUAGCGUACGCAGCAGCCGUAACUUUCACGCGUGAUGGGGCAGUAGUUUGUGGACGCGACAUAGCCAUAAGGCAAUGGUGGCGCGGGCAAGAUGCAGUCGGAUUGGUGGCAACGAUAGCAGCAGAAUGCCGAUGUAGACGGAUAGGGAGAGAGAGAUGGUAGACACCGCCCGUUGCAAUUACGAGAUAAUGGGUAGAAAGUAAAGAAAGAUUCUUUUUUUUUAUAUGAGUGUAGCUAUCAUACAUUUAUGAAUAUAAACUCUUUUAUAUUUAUAAGCUUUUUACCAUUAAAUCUAUUUCUUAAUUAUUUUCACUCGUUAGAUCAUACUAUUUAAUUAAUCACUCAUUCAACUUUAGGAGGCCACCAUCAUUUCUAACCGCACAAUCAUUUAUCAACCGGUAAAAAAUUUAGAAAUACAAAGAAAUCUAUACUUAUAAGAGUAUAAUAGUACUAAUCCUUUAUAUAUAGGGUUAAUUUUAUACAGAUCCCUACAAAUAUAGUGAAUAACAAAUAUAUUCCUACAAAGUUCAAUUUUCAUAUGUUGUCCCUACACCGACCGUCCUUAGAGCAAGUGGCAAAGGGUUUGGUGGUUGGUGCUCGAGACCCAAAUUCGAAUCCUUGAUUCAGAUUUCCAACUAAGUUUAUUUCUAAAUAAAAUAAACGAAGCGGGUAACAUAUGUUGUCCCUACAAAUGUUCUGAUAUUUUCAAAUAUAUUCCUCUGAUUUAUUGCUUUUAGAAAACUGUUUAUAUUUUCAAUUUUGCCAUCACAAAUAUAUCCCUUCAAAAACUAUAACAAAAUAAUAUAAAAGGGUAAAAAUAUUAAAAGCUAGUUAGAGUUAAAUAUUUAAUCUAUGGUUAACUAAAAUUUUCUAACGAAUUCUACUGGUAGGGACAUAUUUAAAAAUAUCAUGAUUUUGUAGGGACAAUAUAUGAAAAUUAAACUUUAUAGAAGUAUAUUUACCAUUCAUUAUGUUUGUAGGAAUCUGUAUGAAAUUAACAAUAUAUAUAUAGGACGGGUUCGGAUUCGGGUCGAGUAUAGUCAAAAUCCAUAUCCGAAUUCAUAUCAAUUUUCCAUCAAGCUUCGUUAAUCGGAAACUGACAGAAAGAAUAAAACGAAUGAAAUAUUAGAGUUUAGAGUGUUAGAUAUAUAUCUAUUUUAGGAGUUUGCAAGGUUAAGUGAAACUUGCCAAAAGUUCAGAAAGUAGCAGUGCAAUUUACCCCGUAGAACUCUUGACUAUAAAUUAUUUUAUUAUAAUAUGUUACUUAUAAAUUGACUAUUAACCCUCAACUUAGUGAUCAUGCUUGAUUUUGAAUUUAUAUAUAUUUUUUAUCCUAAAAUAAAUUAUACCAUAAUUUAUCCUACAUUUUAUUGUAGUAAAAUAAAAACGAAAAAAAUGAAUUAGAGUGGCUUAAAAAUAAGAAAAGUGCGAUACUAAUUACCUACGAUACUCGAACACUCUACUAUCCUUAUUUACUCGCUAAUAUGGUUGAUUUACAAUAGGUGUACUCACUCAGAUAUAGAUAUUUUAAUUCUUAGUUAAUUUUCUAUACUACUCGUUUGUCCUUUUUAUCUUUAGAAGUAUUGUUAUAAAAAAUGCAUUUAUUUUCUGUAAAAUUAUGCAAUGUAACUUUAUUGUAGUCUAAAAUAAAAUUUGUGUACUUCAUUUCAGCCAAUUAAAAAUUUUUAAUAUAAAAAUAUAAAAUAAUAUUUUAUAAUACUUUAGAACAAUGUUUCUAAAGUAUGAUAAAUUAUGAUAUGAUUUAUUUUAGUAUAAAAUAUAUAUAUAUAUAUAUAUAUAUAUAUUCAAAAUCAAGUAUGAUCACUAACUUGAAAUUUAGUAGUAAAUCCAUAAGUAACAUAUUAUAAUAAAAUAAUUUAUAGUUGGGGUAAAUUGCAUUGUUACCUCCUGAAUUUUUGGCGAGUUUCACUUAACCCCCCAAACAUCUAAAAUAGACAUCUAACACCCUAAACUCUAAUAUUUCAUUCGCUUUACCCCUUCUGUCAGUUUCCGGUUAACAGAACUUGACGGAAAACUGACGGAAGUGGUAACAUGAACAAAAUAUUAGAAUUUAGGGUGUUAGAUCUCCAUUUUAGGAGUUCAAAGGGUAAAGUAAAAUUUCGUCAAAAGUUCAGGGGAUAACAAUAUAAUUUACCCAUAUUUUUAUCGUGUUGGAACCCAAUUAAGUAAUUUACAACCUCAUCCUACAAAAUGAGAUAUAAAUAGUUUACAGUAAGUAAACGGCACACUUCAAUUUUUACUUGAUAUUCGUGUCAAAUUAAGCUGAAUACACUCAGACAAAGUACAAACAGUGGGAUAAUUAAUAAUACAUAUUCAAACUUGGAAUACAAAGCAAGUAACGAGCGAGGGAGAGAACCACACAACAGCCCUUUUUGUGACUUAAUUACAACCUUAUACAGGAGCAAACAAGCACUUAAUUGAUUAGAUAGAGCUUGUUAUGCCCUCAGAUCCCGUGUCAGAGAGUUCGGGAUGAGGCAUUGAUGUGAGAGUUGGGUAGAGAGCGUACAAGGCAAUGCCACAUACUCCACUGUAUGAUCCGGUUUCUCUCGCCAGCCUCAUGUACCCAGCUUCGCCCCAGUUUUGGCCCCAUGAAUUCUUUAUAAGCCAGUAUUUUUCUCCCGUAUAAGAGUCUGCUCCGUAUCCUAUAAUUGUGAUGGCAUGGUUAAGUUUAGCUGCACAAGGUCCUCUGUAGAUACCGCCGCGGUACAACUGGAAGUUUUUACCGGCAGCGACUGCAGCGGCUACCGGUUGCUGCGCCACAGCAUACAUGAUGCUGCGCUCGUUCUUAGGAAGAAAUUUAUAACCAGUAAUGUAAGCUUCGUUGGGCACGAUACUGGCGUCGUAGCAUUGGCCUUUAGCUCCAUUGUAAGGAUAGGAUUGCUCGGAUGUCACACCUCUAUUCGCUAUGAUGAAAUCGUAUCCUUUUUCCACCCAGCCACCGAGUUGGCACCCGUAGCUGUAACUGCAAUCUAGAAUUUGUUGUUCUGACACAUCUGGCAUUAUUCCUUUCUUGAUUUUGUAGAUCCCUUCCACCGUCGCAGCUGCGACGAACGCCCAACAAGAACCUAUAUAUAUAUCAAAAGAGAGAUUCAUAUUAGCUUCUACAGGAGAAAUUUGUGGAUUGUAUACAACCAGAAAACAUUCGAAAACAUUCGAACAAUUGAAUGUUUAUAUAUAGAUUUUUCCAGAAAAAAAAAAAAAAAAUCUCAGGCGGUAUUCCAAGCUCUGUGUUUCUUUUAACUUCUUUUCACUAGCUAGCGUGUCAUUCCGCGUCCGAGUCAAGUUCUUAUUUGUUUUACUGAUAGAAGGUUAAACUACUGGAGCACCAUUUUUGACUAAAUAUCAUUUCAUCUCACAUCUUAUUUGAAGAUUUGUAGUAGGUGAUACUCAUGCUGAUGCAUUUUUUAUUGGUUUAGGGCCUGAACUUUGAAUUUUAAAAUAGGGAAAAUAUGGCUAUUUUUAUCAAAAAUAAUUAGUAGAUAAUUAACUGGGUGUUUCACAAAAUUGAAGUGAUUUCAUAUACUAUACUACUGAAAAUUUCUUACUGCAUGUGCCCUGUUGCUUGAUUUCUGUUACAGCACGAUAAUCCCUCCAAUCAAUACUUUGAGGCACUGAAGGCAUGUUUACAUUCUCGAACGGCAUCAACGGCUCCGACGUCCGAUUUGCAGGGACAGAUAAACCAGUGUAUUGAGCCAAAAAUUCGUCGGUCGUCAUAUCAGCAAACUGGUUGACACCGAGAGUGUACGAGUUUCCGCUGCGGUUAUUGAAGGUUUCAACGUAGUUCACAUUGUCUUGAAAUAUCCGAAACCGGUGCAGCUUCUCGACAUCGUCAUUGUAAACUCGACCGUACUCGGCCAUCCAUUCUUCAAACCGCUUCAUCAUGGGAUCACUGGGUUCGCCGCGAGAAGCCGCCAAUGGCGAGGCCCACAUCAAACAAACAAUCAGGUGAAAAACCAGUAGGCGAAACUUAAAAGCCAUAGCACUAAAUAGCAGCAAUACUUUGGAAUGGAAACUACAAGAGUUUUCGUUGGUGAGGAUGAGGUCCUCGCAUAGAGUUUAUAUAGAAGUACGUGGCUACUUAUUGGAGCAUUAUGAAUACAGAUCGAUGCUGGGGAAAAUAAUUCGAGGAAAAUAAUCGAAGGGGCUGUAGUUGAGGGAUCCAAAGCUGGGUUGAUCCAAAUCCUUUUAUAAUAUCAUAAUUUUAUGUAUAUGCCAUUAUUAGUGCACAACCGAUCGAACGGGUUGGUGAGUUACCAAAUUAAAGAAAAGUAGAAUCUGUUCAAAUUAUUUCAGGACCGUUCCCAUUAUUCAGUGUACGUAACUAAUUAUAUAUGUGGUAUGCUCACAAGUGAUUGAAAUUAUUAAGCAAACGAUGUAUUGAGAGUCCCUUCAUACAUGAAUUAUGAGAAAUUAUUGGCUACGCUUGGUGUUUUACAUCCAAGGACCAUAUAAAAAUUUAUUUAGCUGAAAAUGUAAAGCAACAAUCCUUCGAGCUUGAGACUUCGGAUAUCAAUCACUAAACUUUUUGCUACGUAUUUGCGCUAAGAACGGUUGAUAAGAGUAAUAAUUAUCGUGUUUGUAAAAUAAAAUGAGUAAAAAAAAAAAGCCGGAAUCAUAUAGUUUUUUAUAAUUAAGUAGGUAUUUUAAAUAUUAUAGAUCCUUUCAAUGAGUUAAAUUAAUUUUGAUUUAACACUCUUAUAUAUCAUAGAGUUAGAGUUACACGUAUACGAUGUAUUUAUACACCUGUUGCGGUCAACAAUUUUCCUCAAUUAUAAAACCUUGGAAAUAACAUUGUUCCCCACGCAGUACUCCAAGAUGUAUUCUUAGCUGCGAGAGUGUUCUUACAAAUCUUAAUUAAUAAAAAGAUGUUAUUUUCAACUCACAUGCAUUAUUAUACGGUACACGAUCGAUCUCUCUCUUUCUAUUUCUUUUUGUUAAAUAUGAAAUGCCAAUUUGUAUAAAAGAUUUAUUAGUUUUAAGCUUUUGUAAGAAUAGGUCGUCUUUUUUUUUCUUUUUCUCUUUCCUCUUUUUUUCUCUUCUUUUUUUUUUUUAAUCUCCGACUCUACUCCACCGCCUCCCCGAUUCUUUAAAAUAGUAAAGAGGGUAGCGUCACAUAUUCUUCAUCUUCUUUUUCUCUCUCGUUUAUUUUUUUCUCUUUGGCCCUCUUAUAUCGCCUCCUGAGUAUUGCGCCGCAUCCUCUUACUCCGCCUUUGUCGACGCAGACACCGACGCCAGUGCCGAAGAAGGAGGUCUCGCAGCGAGUGUGGGUGAGAGUUAGAAAAUAAAAAAUAAAAAGAAUGAAGAAUAAAAUAUAAAAAAUAUAGUUUUUUCUAUAAAAAAAUGAAGAAUCGGAAAGAUAAGAAAAAAACGAGGAAUUUGCAUUAUUUCAGAGGAAUGUUGUACUAUUUUAAGAAAACAUUGAAAUGUUUUACAAAAAAAUUUACACUUUUUGAGAGAAAAAAUAUAUUUUUUAAAUGAAAUUUGCACUAUUUGAACAAAAGUUAUACUUUUUGAACAAAAAUUAUAUUAUUUCUUCUCCUUCUCAUCCUUCUCUUUCUAGCUAAAUGGUGCAAUUUUCGACCAAAUAGUAUAAUUUUCGUUCAAAGAGUAAAAUUUUCGUUUAAAAUGUGCAAUUUUCAUCCAAAAAAUUAUAUUUCUUCUUUCAAAGAGGAUAAAUUUUUUCAAAAAUAGUGCAAUAUUUUUCUGAAAUAGUGCAACAUUCUCCUGAAAUAGUGUAAAUUCAUCAUUUUCUUCUUUUCUCUCUAAUUUUUUAUUUUUCUUGUAGAAAAAAUUAUUUUUUUUUUUGUUUUAUUUUUAAUUUUUUGUUUUUUUUUAUUUUUUGCAUAUUUUUUCCUCCGCUCAACUCUCACCCGCACUUGCUCCAAGUUCUUCUUUUCUGACACCGACGUCGGUGUCUGCGUCGGUGAAGGCAAAGAAAAAGAAUGCGGUGAUGUCCUCGUUACCAUCGUGCAGAGUUGCAAAUGCGAUAAAAGAGAGUUGAAAAGAAAAAAAAAAAAGAAUGAGAGAAAAAAAAAGAAAGGAAGAGAAUGUGACGCUACCUUCUUUGAGCAAACAGUAGAAGAGAGUCAGAAAGAGAAAAAAAAAAAUAGGGUCGAGGCGGAGCCUCGACGGGAUCGGAGUCGAGGAAGGCGGUGGGAGGGUGCACGGGCGAGAGCGAGGGCGAGGGCACAGGAGACAGAAGCGGGGCGCCUCCGCCUCCACUGCCCUCUUCGGAGAGAAAGAAAAGAAAAAAACAAGAGGAAAAAAAAAUAGGAGAAAGAAAAGAAAAUAAGAGUAUUUUGGUCAUUUUUUGAAAAUUCGACUUGAAUCUGUAAAAUUCAAAAAGACAGUCUAUUUUUGCAACAGUUCAAAACUAAUAAAUAUUUUAUACAAAUUGGCCAAUAUAAAAUUAUUAAAUACAAUCAUGUUUAAAUAUUUUUAUGGUCGCAACUGCAGCGAAUGCCCAACACGAACCUAUUUCAAAAUAAAACUUCACUUUAGCUCGUGCAGUUGUUCAGAUACCAAAAGAAAUUCAAACAAAUAUUCAUGGAGUAGUGACCGUGCAAAUUAACUCGGAGCUGCUUUUUAAUGUUUUCUAGCUAGCUAGCAUAUAUAUAUAUAUCAUUGCGUAUAAAAUGUCAAAUUCUUAUCUAGGUAGCUUUUCUUGAACAUUGAAUUUAAAACGUGGAACUUUUAUCCUGCUGUACAAACAGAGAUGAGAUCAAAACUCAGAACAUAACGUUCGAAUGUCCUUCAGAAUAAUAGUUUUCCUAUAAGAGCUUUGGUUGCUAGGUAGAGAAAUUUAUGAGAUUACAACAGAAGUGCACAAACAUAAGUGAGUAGAAAUCAGCAUUUUUAAUAUUUUUUAUUUUCAAUGCUCGUCUUAUGUUUGAGCUCAAUUAUAAAUAGUUAAUAGGCCCAAGAUGUUGGAAUUGAAUUGUCAAAGAUUUAAGACUAUAUUACCGAAAUUUUUUUUUGUCAAUAUCCGUUUUUUUACUUUCACUUUUCAAUUUUUAAAAAUCUAUAUUUUAUCUUCUUAAAUUUUGAGAAAUGUUCACAAAAAAAUUAUGGUGUUAAAAGCGAUGAAAAAAUAAUCAAAUUAUACUCUCUCUUUUCGUCUCCUUCCCAACCCUCCGUCAUCCACAGGCCACAACCUCUCCUCCUCCGUCUUUCAUGCCUCUCUCGACUAUAGUUCUGACUAUAUGCUUGCUCCAUCUACUCCCCUUGCUUUUCCUGCACCCUCACCGCCCCUCCAUUCAGCGACAGUAGGGAGAGGACGGGGUAGGCUUGAACGGAGGGGUGGGCGAGGGUGCGGCGGCGGAGGAGAGCGAGAGUGUGGAUGUAGGCAGGGAACUUAAGAUUGCCAUGGAGAGAGGCAUGGAGCAAGGUGGUGCAAUUGAGGACGUCGGCGAGGAGAGAGGCGGGCACGGCUGAGGAGAGAGGUUUAAGAAUAUUUUGAAUAUAAAAAGUAUAUAAUAGUAAAAUAUAGAUAGAAUCCUGACGAAACACCGAUGGUAGGAACCGAACUAAACAUUUCUUAAUUUUUAAGAGGAUAAAAUAUAAAUUUUUAAAAAUUAAAAUGAAAAAAUAAAAAAGUUAAUAUUGACAAGAGUGUUUUCUAUAAUUUACUCAAAAUUUAAAAUUAAUAACAUCAUAAGUCCGCUAGAAUUCAUGAUCCGGCAAUAUAUUGAAUAGCCAAUUAUCGCUAGAAAGCUUAAUACUUUGUAAAUAGUGUUUGGUUGUUUAACAAAAUUAAGACGAUUUAAUACUUUGCUGUCAAUACAUAGUUCAUAAGGCAUUUGCCUUGGUGCUUCACUUCCGUGACAACCAUCAGGCACCUGGAGAAAAUUUUUAAAAAAAUAUAUGAACUAUUAAUAACAAUUUAAUUCACUUUUAUUUGUACUAAUACGAGAAAUAUAAUAAUAUUUUAUUAAAAUUAAUAUUUUAUAUAUAAUAAAUAUAUAUUAUUAUAUUAAUAAUAUUAUAUUUUAUUAUCGGUGUUGAUACAGUUUUUGUAUUUUAAUUUUUUAAAAGCUGCUGAGUCAUCGUAUCGGAGUCGUGUCCUAUCCUGUGUCCUAUAUCAAUGUAUGUGAAGCCUAGUAUAAAAGUGAUAGAUAUCUAGCGAAACUAAUUCGAAAAGAAGUUAAUAACUUGCAGGUUUGUGCCAUGAAAAGCUUGUUCCAGAUCUAGUCUAGCAUUAUUCCCCAAUCAGAUCCGUUUAGCGUACAAUUGCAUUGGACCACAAAAAAAAAAAUAAAAAAAAAUAAAAAAAAAAUAAAAAAUUUAUAUUCAACAUUAUUUCUUUAAAAUUGUAAAAUUAAUUAAUUCUAUAAAUAUUUUUGAAUUGAUUAGGUAGGAAGAAUCCAAAAUCUUUUAUAGGUCAUUUCAUCACCACAAUAAUCUCCGGACAACAUCCUUACGGCCUACGUUAUGGAUUUGUGCCCUAUCAGUGAAAUAAUUAAAUUAAUACAUUUUUGCAUUACUAUCAAAAGUAAGAUAACAUUAAUAAAUAAAAAUUUUAAAAAGAAACUAAUUAAUUAAAGAAUAUGCUUUUGUAAAACACGUUGUUCUCAGCCGAUUAAUUAUCAUAUAAAUUGCAUUGCAUGCAUUGUCACCUUUCAAAUCGUUUUGAGACGUACACUCUCCACCGUUGAGUGACGUGGUUGCUGUGGCUGCUGAGCUGACACUUGGUAAUUAAUUAACGUCUGAUCCAAAAUUCCAAAUUAUUACGGCGAAAUGUAUGGAAAGCCCCUCAAUUAUCAACAAGAAUAUAUAAAUAGCCCUCUCAGUUUUUUUUUUAAAAAAAAACUUGAUAUUUUCAUUUACUAUUAUGCUUUUAGAAAUUAAUAAUUUUAAAAAAAAUACAUUAAUAAUUUUAUUAUACUCAUCAAUAAUUAAUUAUAUCAAAUUUAAUAAUUUUAAUCAUCUUAUGCUCAAUAAAAUUAGAACUAGUAAUAAGUAAUAGUUUUUAAAAGUGCGAAAAUUUAAAACAAAUUUGUAUAAACUAACAUAAAAUUGAAGGAUUUAUUUUAAAAAUGCCAACGGGUUGAGGGGUCUCAUAUUUUUCUUUCGGGCUCACGUGUGCAUACUAUAGCCAUAAAAAGGUGAAGAAAAAAAAAAAAAAUCCAGAAUACAUCAGUUAUAUUACUAAUGUAUAUCAGCAAUCAAUCGGAUUAUUCACCUUAGAUUCAUCCGUCGCAUCAUAGUUAAUAGAAAAAUAUUUUUAUUAUACAUUUUACUUGAAAGAAAAAAUAUGACUAACUGUUAAUAGGUGAUAUAGUAUAAUAUGACCGGUGCCUAGUAAAAUUUAUGCAAAAAGAUUCAGGCUAAAAUUUUGUACUUACAUACAGAUCAAAUAUGUAUAUUUGAAUGAGUAAAGUUAGAAUACUUUGGAUAUUUAACAAUAUAAAAAAAUUUUCUCUUGAAGCAGAGCUUUGCUGUCUCACUCUAUAUAGUUAAAUUUAUUGUCUGAAUGAAUGAAGCAGAUAGCAUGUUAUUUUUUUCUCAAAAAAAUUAAUAUAAAAAAUUUACUAUUAAUUUUUUAGUCUUUGAAUGUCAAAAGUUUAGUAGUGAAUAGUGAUAGAUGGAAUAGUAUUAAUCUAAGAAGUGGAAAGUUGAUAAUAAAUAUAUAUUAUUCAUUUAUUAUUAAUAAUAUUUUAGUUUCAUUAAUUCAGACAAAUAUACUGAACCAAUGUAUAAGUACAAAUUUCAGGUCGGAGACUUAAUUUUGAAUAUAGUAAGGUAUCCGAAUUGAGGAUAGACAUAUAGACAUCGUUGAUCUUUUUUUUUUUUAUUUUGACUAAGUUGCUUGUUAUUAUCCAGCAACCUUGUAUUAUAGAUUAAUAAUCAAUUAUAACAAUAAAAACAUAUAUUCACCGCUAUAUCUAUUUAUAUAAAAUUUAUAUUUUUAAAAUAAAAUAAUUACUUAUAUACCUCUUAAAAUUUUGAAAAUAUCUUAUUCAUUCUUUUUUUUUUCUUUCAAAUAUAUCCCUUAUGUAUUCCUCCAUUAUUCCAAAAUAUUCCUACAGUUAUCAUCCGUUAAGUUAAUUUGAAUUAAACAUAAGUUAAAUAUCUAUCCGAGUUAAAAAAAAAUAAAAAUAACUUUCUUGUCCUUAACUUAAAAAUAAAUAAAAAAUAUUGAUAAUAAUAAAAAUAUAUAUUUAAAAUGCUCAAAAAUUAAAAUAUUUUUUACACUACUUAACCUAGUUAGCUUCGCCAAGAUAUGAAGGUUUUUUUUUUUUUUUCUUUUUGUAUAUUUGGUCUGUUGCCUCCUUAGCCGUGUGCUAUUAGGAGUACGGAGCCCUCCGUGCUCCUAAACGUUUUCGAUGAUAGAGCUUCCAAAUCGACGACCGGCUCUGUUAGAUUUGAUCUAGUGUAUUUGAAGUAUCUAAAAAAUAAAUUUUAUGAUUUUUCGAUAUCAUUUACUUAGCGAUCGAAAUGGUUCAAAAUCAACGGUUGAAAAUAAAAAUAUCUCAAAAAGUGGUGAUAUAAUACUAAAAUUUUCAAUCAGAGAUAUUGAUCUUGCAGUAAAUAGUACAAAAAAUUUUCUAUCAAAAUUUUAUCUGAUUUAAUACUUUUACUCCGUUAAACUUGCAAACGAUAUAUAUCAACAUUAAAAAUUGUUGGUUUUGAACUAUUUCGAUCGCUAGGUAAAUAGUAUCCAAAAAACGUAAAAUUUAUUUUCUAGAUACUUCAAAUAUACUAGAUUAAGUCUAAUGGAGCCGAUCGUUGAUUCGAAAGCUACAUCAUCGAAAACAGUUUAGGAGCACGAAGGCCCCCGUGCUCCUAAUAGCAUACAAUACCUACUCUCUCUCUCUCUCUCUCUCUCUCUCUCUAUAUAUAUAUAUAUAUAUAUAUAUGGGUCCGGCUACUAUACUAUUAUGAGUACGAUCACCCUCGUACUUAUAAGUUGUUUUCGAUGAUAGAGCUUCCGAAUCGACGAUCUACACCGUUAAACGUUAUUUACAACAUUUAAAACUUCUAGAAAUCAAAUUUUAUAAUUUUUCGACAUCAUUUACCUUACGAUCAAGAGGUCACAAAUUUGACAAUUUUUAAUGGCCGGUAUGGUAUACUUGCUAGUUUAACGAUGUAAAAGAAUCGGAAUUUGUUGAAUUUUUGGUAGAAAAUUAUAUUCACUACAUAGAUAAAGAUCAAUAACUCCGAUCUUGAAUUGAAGAUCCGAUCAUCCUUUUUUAGGACGUCGUUCGAUUUUAACCGUUCAUUUUAUGCCACUUGAUGGACUUUAUUAUGAUUUCGAAAUUUAUGAAAUUUUUUUCUAGAAGUUUCAAAUACUCUAGAUCAUAUUUAACGAAGUAGAUCGUCGAUUCAGAAGCUCCAUCAUUGAAAACAACUUAUGAGUACGAGGCUCCAACUAGUCAUAAUAGUAUAUAGCCAUGGCCAUUAUAUAUAUAUAUAUAUAUAUUAUUAUUAUUAUUAUUAUUAUUGCCAACUUCAACGCAAAGCCAAGGGACUGAAGGUGACAAAACACAUCAAACUAAUAUACAAACUCGAUCUCAAAGCCAAAGCACGCAGCAUAUAUAAUAAUGCACGUCCCAACACUAACGUACGUGCACAUCAUUAUUCAUUAUUCAUUAUUAUUCAUUAUUCAUUAUUUUAGCUUAUUACACGCACGCUCGAGCGAGCAUUGUUUCAUAUCGCUAAGACGUCGACGUAGCUUCAUUCCUAGAUCGAACUUAUACCAUCAGACCCCGUGUCAGAGAGUUGGGCGGUUGCCUUCGAAUUCAGAAGCGGACGGAGGACAUACUGGGCGAUCCCACAUGCUCCGCGUAAUGUUCCGGAGCCCUUUUGCAGCCUUAAGUACCCGUUCUCGCCCCAUGUUUUGCCCCAUGAGUUCUUAAUUAACCAAUACUGUGUUCCGCUGCUGUCUUUCCCGUACCCUACAAUGGUGAUGGCGUGGUCAAUCCUUGUCCCGCAAGGUCCUUUAAACACGCCGCCAUUGUAAAACUGAAAGUUCUUGUUUUUCGUAUCGACGGCGGAAGUUAUCGGUUGCUGCGCCACGGCAGCCAUCAUGGUGCCUUCGUCAAACGCAGGCAGAAAUUCGUAACCAGUAAUAUAUGCUACGUUGGGUUUGCCCUUUGCGGCGCAACUGCCUUUGGUUCCCACAUAAGGGUAGCUCUUCUCAUUUGUCACACCUUUAUUAGAUAUGAUGAAUUUGUAGGCAUUCUGCACCCAACCACCUAUGCACUCGACGCUGUCGGCGCAGUCUAAAACUUCUUGUUCAGAUAGAUCUAACAAGUUUCCCUUUUUGAUCUUGUAGAGCCCUUCUACUGUCGCAACUGCACUGAACGCCCAGCAUGAACCUAUUUCAAAAUAAAACGUCGAUUCACUUCAGCUAGCCCAUGUUAAGAGAAUUUAUGUGGAUUGUUGUAGUUCAUCAGAUUCAAGAAGAAAUUCAAACAAAAAUUCAUGGAGUACUCGACCAUGCAAACCUGGAGCUGUUUUUUAACGUUUUCUUACUGUAUUGCUUACAUAUCAUUGCGUAUAAAAUGUCAAAUUCUUAUAUAUCUACGUGGCUUUCUUGAAGGUUUGAUAAAUGUGGUCCAACCUAUACUGAUUAAUUUUCUUCCGAAGAUUAAUUAAACUAUUAAAGGAAGGGUUUUAAUUUUCUCGGGCGAUUCAUCAUUUUAUCUCGUAUUAGAUUUGAAGACUUAUUAUAUGUGAUCUUAUUAUAUGCGAUAACAUGCACUCUCAUGCUUUCCAUGGGCUAAAGAUAUGAACUUUGAAAAUAAAGGUGCGGAGCUUGAUUUCAUCUUCUUGUACAAAUAAAGAUGCAUGAGAUCUAAACUCAGAACAUUAUUUUUGAAUGUUGUUUAUAAUAAUAAUUUUUCUAUAAAAAAAUUAUGUUAAAUAUAAAAAUAUUUAAACAUUGUUGUCUACAAGUUUAAGUUUUUAGAGAAUAACAAUUGUUUUGUAUUAUUUAACAAGAUAUCAGAAUAGCAAGUUCUGAGUCCGAAUUACGCCAAGCUCCCAUCAUUAUUAAUUUUUUUUAUUUAAUUCAAAUCCACAUCAUAGGAUUUGCGAAAAGUCUCGAGUUCAAGAAGUGAGAGAAGUGUAAAAUAUAAAAAUAUUUAAACAUUGUUUUCUACAAACUUAAGUUUUUAGAAAAUAACAGUUGUUUCGUAUUAUUUAACGGUUUUAGAUAUGUAGAGAAAUUUAUGAAAUUACAAUACUGUGUAAAUAUAAGUUAAUUAGUACGUAGAGAACAAUCUUUUUAUGAUCCUCUUAUAUAUGUUUGAGCUCAAUUACAUACAUACUACAACGAAUUCAUAAUUUAGCGGUAUUUACUUCGCAGCAUUUAUUUAAAUAAUGCUAAUUAAUAUAUUUAACAGCAUUACUUGAUAAGUGCCACUAGAUUUAAUAAUUUAGUAGCAAUUUACUAUUAAUGUUGCAAAAUAUAACAAAUUAGCAGCAUAAAUUAGUGAAUACUGCUGACGUUUUCAGAAUUUUAUAAAAAAUGACACUAAAUGUAAUAAAAUAAAAGUACUUAUUGCUAAAUGCGCAAUAUUUACUCCGCAAUAUUUAUUUAAAUCAUGCCAAUUAAUAUAUUUAGUAGCAUUACUUGAUAAUCGCUGCUAGAUUUAAUUAUUUAGUAUCAAUUUACUAUUAAUUAUUUAGUAUCAAUUUUAUAAAAAAUCGCAGAAUAAAUUAGUGAAUACCGCUAAAUAUAAUAAACUAGCAACACUUUUUACUAAAUAAGUCAUCUAAUUAUAUAUAAUUAUUAAUAUAUCCUUUUUAUUUAAAAUUAAAAUUUUAAAAUUAAAGUUUAAAAUUCGAACAUAUAAUUUCAAAAUUAAACUUAUAAUUUAAAAUUUAAAAUUUAAAAUCUAUAUUUUAAAUUUUAAAUUCAAAUAUUUUUAUUUUUAAUUUUUACAUUUUACAUUUUUUAAUUUUUUAAAUUUAUUUCAAUUUAAAAUUUAAAUUUAAAACUAUUAAUUUUGAAACUUAAAAUUUGAUAUGGUGAAAAUUAAAAUUUAAAUUUAGUAUUUUUAAUUUAAAAUUUUAAAUUUUAAAAAUUUUAAAUUUUUUAAAUUUUUUAAAUUUUUAUUUUUUAAUUUUUAAUUUUUUAAAUUUUUAAAUUUUUAAAUUUUAAAUUUUUAUUUUAAUAGAAGACUUAAGAUUUAAAAAAUUAAAUAUAUAUAAACUAAUAGUUACUAGCGCAAGUGGGUAAAGGAUUUGGUGGUUGGUACUCGAGGUCUCAAGUUCAAUUCCUAUUUGAUUCACAUUUUCAACAAAAUUUAUUUCUAAAAGAAAUAAUGAAGCCGGGGUAGCAUCUCAAAAAAAUUAAAUUUAAAAUAAUUUUAAAUUUUCAGUUUAUAAAAUUAGAUAUUUAUAUUAACGACAUUACAUUUAUGUGCCACUAAUAAAAAAUUAAAAUUAGUAUUUAAUCCUUUUUCUUAAUGACACUAAUAGAUUUCUAUUGACGACAUUUAUAAUAAAUGCUGCUAAUACUUUUAGCAAUAUUGGCAUAGGCAGUAUUUGGUAUCAUAUGCUGCUAAACUUUUAGCAGCAUAUGUUGAUCAAAGUUGAAACCAAGAAAUAUUUGUUACUUUCCUGAUGUUUCCGAACGUUUUCAAUGGUAGAACCCUUGAUAAAAGAAAGAGAUGCUGUGUAUGAAUCACUCACAUAUCCUCAUAAAAAAUUAUUGACUCUAGAGAUAUGGUAAUAUGGAGAAGACAAAAUUAUUUAAAGCAUGCAGCAUAAAUAAAUACCAAUAAUGAUUAAUUUUCUAGUAGUGACAGUUAAUAGGCCAAGUAUAUAUAUAUAGGAUGUGAAUUAUGAAAGAUUUAAAACUAAAUACCAUCAUAAGUCUGCUAGAAUUCAUUCCCUGCCAAUGUGUUGAAUCGCUAAUUAUCCCAAAAACGUCUAAUAUUUUGUAAAUGGUGUUUGGUGGUUUAACAAAAUUAAGACAAUUUAAGCCACGUUGCUUCCCGCAAUUUGCUAAAUUAACGUUCUACUGAAUGAAGCGGUACCAUACUAUCUUUCUCUAAAAAAAAAAAAGAAAACAAAAUUAAGACGAUUUAAUACUUUGCUGUCAAUAGUUCUUACCGCAUUCGCCUUGAUUCUUGACUUCCGUGACGGCACCUUUCUGCCUCCAAUCAAUACUAUCAGGCAGUUUGGACAAGUCUACGUCCUCAAGCGAUGCAGUUGGCUCCGAUUCAAUAUUUUGAGGGAAGAACGUACCAGCGUAUCGCGCAACGAAUUCUUCAUUUGUCAUAUCAGCGAAUUGAUUAAUGCCGAGAGUGUACGAGUUUUCGUUGCGGCUAUUGAAGGUUUCGAUAUGGUUCACGUUGUUCUUAAAGAUCUCAAAACGGAGGGACUUCUCGUCUUCACUGUCGUAAACUCGGCCAUACUGUCUCAUCCAAUCUUCGAACCUCGUCAUCAUGUGAGCAUCCG
rnacentral:lncRNA from 1 species